UUUUUUUUUUGUAUUUUCUUUGCUUUUUUUUUUCUUCAAUACUCUCCACAAUUUUUGGUUGCCCGGAUAAUGAUCUUCCAAAAUAUAUAUGUACCUUUUGGACUUUCUAUGGUUCUACUCAAAAGCUACCCCAACUCUCACCUUACUCUUCUAGCGACUUAAGUGCUUUCGAAGGUAACAAAUUGAAAAGAUUUAAUGAAGAAUAAAAUGGGAAUCAGCUUGUAAUGUUGGUACCAAAGAAAAAGCUUAUAUGCUCAAAUGGGCUAUCUAAGGAUAAUUUUAUUUAUGAUGGCAUAAUAGCUAAAUGAACAAUCAAAGAAAAGCCUACAUAAUCUCCUAGACUCACAAAACUUACUUAUUUCGCUUCGACUAACACACGGGGCAAGUUCUAGACAAACACAGGAUAGUACAUAAUGUAAUCAAAAUCUCAUAUCACACAAUGCACAUGACCCCAGUCGGGACGGUUCCAUUCCAACUCUCAAGUUUAGGCAAGUAAUCACAAAGUCAAUAAUUAUUAAGCAAUAAAGCACUACAUGAACAAUAAGUCAAGUAACUAAGAGAAAGCGCCGCAGUCAAGCUAUUCAAUCUUUCACGUCAUCAAUUUUUAUUAAAACAUGUUAGGAAGGUAAUUUGCAUGCUAAGGCCUAACUAUGCUAGCAUCAAACAGGUCAAAAGUCACACAACUACACUGAAGUUUUCCUCCCUCGAUUUCCUAAAAAAUAAAAAUAUUCGGUUCAAAUUGCAUCCCCUGAAAAAGAACCGAUGCCAAAAGAAAAGCCAAUGGAGAUUAUUAUCUACCUACAACUAACUAAAAAUAAAAAUAAAAAUUUUUGGAAUUUUCUUUCAUUGGACCUUAAUCCCUCAAGAAAGUUGUCCAAGAGAUUUAUCGUCAAGAAAAAUCCCAAUUGUUUUUUGUGUUUUUAAUUUUAUUUGUUUUAGAUAAACUAACACAACUAAACUAUCAUAGAAAAUCACCCAGAUAAUCUCAUCACCCCACACUUAAAAUUGUGUAUUUUUUCCAAAGCUCACCAUAAAUAACAAGAUGGUGAAAGAAACUCCCUGGUAGGCCAAAGGCCGAAGCAUUAGCGGCUCAUGGGUUACUCAGACUUCUCCCUGGCCUGGUCCUUCGUACGAGUACCUCACACUUAGGUUCAACCAUCUGGUUUGCUUUUUCUUCCUUCCAAUGGAUUUCCUUUCCAUGCUCCUACAAAAUAAAAAAUAAAAACUGCAUUACAAAAAUAACACAAUUAAGAAAAGUAAAAAAAAAAUUAAAAAAAUAAAGUUGGGUUGCCUCCCAACAAGCGCCUAAUUUAAAGUCACGGCACGACAUGAAUCACUUUCUGCCUCCACUUUGAACUUAUGAAUUGGACCCCAAGUUUUGAUUCUGCUCUACGAUUAUGCUUUGGGGUGGUGUAAAGCCUUGAAAGGCAAAGUUAAAUAAUUCCUUAUGCACUUUUUGGCUUUAACCUGAGGAGUAUCACCUUGCCUAGAUGACCUAAAAUAUUUAAAAAUAUAUGGCUCAUGUACCUCCUCCCUUGUCUCCUUUCUACGCUAGUAAGGAUCCAUUCUCAUUUCACCAUCCGAAUACAAUUUAGAGAAGUGUUUUGAAUGAGGUCCAACACGCUCAAAUACAUGAACUUCGAGAUGUUCAACAUCCUCUACACCAAUGACACUAGAGUCAACUGAAUAUUUAUCCUCGAUGUCCUCGGUUGACUCUAGUAUCACGCUUUCAAUAUCGGCAUCCUCAAAUUCUGGUUGGCUAGAUUGUUGGUGUUCUACUCUGACCUCCUCCAUCAGAAUGUCAACUGCUGACUCUAAUUCACAUUAUUUUUAGCUACUAUCCACCAUAUUGACUUGUUGAUCAUUCAAAGCUUCUACCAUUUGACUCACUUGAGCCUUCAAGUUGUGAAUAGUUGCCUUUUGCCUUUGUAUCUGUAAUUAUAUUUUAUUAUUUUGUUCCACAAGGUACAUUAACAUAUCCUUGAUCUCUUUUAGGUCAUCAUCCUCAAGUUGUUUGUUCCUAGUAACUUCACAGUAAAAGUAGAACCAUCAUAAUAAGGGGUAGGGGAGGAUAAGAAAUAUAAGCACAACCAUAAAAGUGAUCAUCUUGACUAUCGCACAUCCCACACAUGAGAUUGAGUUGAUGCACAUAACUCGCUCUCGGGAAUAUAUUGAUAAUUUUGGCACAAGUGAUUUCCUCCACAAUUUGCACAAGGAAGAUCAAAAGUUGAAUUACCAAUAUCAAAACUCCUAUAAUUCCAAGAUUUCAUGUUUCUCAAAUCAACAAGUAAACCUAAAAUAAAAAAAAUCAAAUACGAAAAAAUUAAAAGUUCAAACUUGAGUUCGCUGAAAAUGCUCUCCGUACAAGAUGACAAUUCGCUACAGUAACUCUGACGUGCCUUAUGGCAGCUGCUCUAUUUUCCGGCAGCCAAAAACCACCGGACCAUAUUCAAAAGAACACCCUAUCUAUUACGAACCUUCCCCAAUUGAUUUCACUUUCAAACUCCAACCAAGCUACUACAGAUCUUUAAUUUGGUGGCGCAAUUACUGUAGCUCAUGGAGGAGAUAAGGAGGCAACAUGGAAUCGAUUUAAAUCUUCCAUGUCAGCCACGACCUCGACCCAACCUUUGGGUGACGAAGAGCCUCUUCAAAAUCCCAAGGAACCACAUUUAAACUCUAGCAACUCCCCCACGUAUGCAUCUAGCUUGAAACAAACACAAACAGCCCGAUCUCUUACCACAAAACUAAUCUGAACGCCAUGUCAUGUCAUGCGUCCUGUCAUGGCCACGCCCUGCCAUGUCCUGCAUCGUGCCAUGGCCAUGUCUUGCCACGUCUGACGCCGUGCCAUGGCCACGUCUGACGCCGUGCCAUGGCCACGCCCUUCCUACUGAGUUUAUUCAUGGAGUACCAACUCUACAAUUCUCUUUGGAUGAACGAGAAGUUUUUGCUAAUGAAUAAGGAUUACAUCAAGCAACUGUGAUUAAGGUAUCCUUCGGUGCGCCGAAUUUGCAUAUUUUAAGGACCAUUCUGCCGAAAAUACUUGGCAUUAAAGGUAACUGUUUGUUAGGUCUUCUUGCACAUCGUCAACUUCUCAUUCGAUGCGACCAAUAUGAGGAUUAUGUGAUGUCCUCGUCAAGAGCUAUGAAUUAUUUCCAGCAUAAUGGUAAAGAGCACCAAAUCAGAAUGUUUCCAUGGAGUAUUGGAUUUAAUCCAAAGUUCGAAACUUCGAUGACAGCUGUUUGGAUUUCACUGCCAAACUUAUCGCCUGAAAUGUUAGCUCGAUAGACACUACUGUCUAUUGCUGAUGCAAUUGGAAAGCCAAUUGCAAUUGACAAGGCAACACAAAUAAGGUCGCGUCCUAGCACGGCGAGAGUUAAGGUAAUCUUCACUUGUUGGACAAGCAUCGAGACAAGGUUAGACUUCAAUAUGUCAACGCUAAAACUGGUAAAAUCGAAGAAGAAUUCCAAGAAAUUAUCUAUGAUAAUUUGCCUUCGUAUUGCUGUCAGUGUAAGCGCCAAGGAUAUGAAGCGCUUAAUUGUCGUGUGUUAAGAGGAAAGGCAGUAGAAAUAGAGCAUUCUGGGAAUGUAAGAAGUGAGAUAGACAAUCACUCUGUUGAAAAAUUACAAGGUGAUGCAAGGGAUUUUUUGAAUGCAAAAAAACAACGACAGGAUCUUGUUGAUCACAGUUUACUUAAGUUUGCACCAGCUAAUGCGCAACAUCUUUUGAAAACAGAAUUAACAAAGGUUAAGGAAAACAAAUAUCUAACUUUGGUAGGGAAAAUGAAUGAGGAGUAGGUUAUAGGGAGUUUGAUCUUGGGCAAUGCUGGACAACAUGGACAUGGUCAUGUAGAUGGGCAGAAGGAUCUUGAUUCAAAGGAGAAUAAUAGUACAUCAAGUUUUGGAGUUGAUCGAGCAUCUGCUGUUACCCAUCCAACAGCAGCAGUUGCAAAGCAAUUCGCACAUGCUGAAAAAUCAACUGUCUUUUGUUCGACAUUGAAUGGUUCAGCUGCAUUGAAUAAUGAUCAACAUGCCAACAACAUGGCUAAAGUUGCAGGGCAGUUACUUGUUACUCCAAUGCAUUCAACUACGACUCCAAGGAAAUCAGAUACAAAAUGUAACAAUUGGACAGGGGUGACCAGAUCAUCUAGCAAGAAGCAAUCUCCAGGCCAUCAAAUGUAGAGUAUACCAACAACAGCCAUUGGGAUUUCCAUCUAUUUUGAUGCUUUGUCGAUGGAGGGUGAUCAUACUUUGAAUGAGUCUGAAAAUGAGGAGCAACAGUUAGAUGAAGAGCCACAAAAAACUGGGAAGGAACUAGCUAACACUGGUUCGAAUUUAGGUGACACUAUUGCACAGUAUUUUAGUACUUAUGUAGAUGCACCUGGGAUUGUUAAAACCGCAGGUGUAGUUGAUAUUGCUGAAACAAUAUCAGAUUCUGAUUACUUUCAUAAUAGUAAGGCUCUACCUAUGUCUAUUCAUUCAAAGGCUAAAACUUCUGGCCAGAUACAUGAUACAAGAAGGAAAUCGACUACAACGGAUCGAGGAGUUCCAGUAGUACUCAGUCUGUUGGUGCAUUAAAUACAACUGGGAAAUCUGAUGAGUAGAGAAUUAUCACUAAUGUUGCUCUGAAUAUGGAUGCUGCAAGGGUUAAUGCAAUGGAAAAGCAUGGGCAUCUUCAGUAGAAGAAGGAUGAUAGUGCUAAACAUUGGUUGGUUGUAUCACCUAGCAAAAAGACUGCUAUAGAUCAAACAAAAAAGAAAGUUGCAGCAGCAAACAUCUGAUGUGCCAAUUCUUUUCUAGCUAACACUGGUUCAAAUUUGGAGGACAUUGUUGCACACAAUGUUUCAACUUUUCUAGCCAUACCUGGGAGUGUUAAAACUGGAGCUGCAGAUGAUCUUGAAAUAACAUCAUCUUCUGCAGUUUCUAAUGUACAGAAGGAAGGACAAGAACUGGAAGGUGUUAGUGUAUUCUAAAAUAACACUACUAAAGGUUCUGGGAGACCAUUUGAAUAUGCUCAACACACUCCAAAAAAUGUUUCUGGUGCGCAACAAACUGAUUUGAAGCUAGGCGACUGGGCAUUGCAAUUUCAUCCAGUUGUGGAUGAUGUUGGGAAGAAAGGGCAGCAUCUUCAACAUGAGGCAGCCUCAAGAAACAGUACAAUGCUGUAGAUUUCUAGCCCUCGCGUGGAAAAAAUUAUCAAGGACGCGCAUCUUAUGCCAAAAACUGAAAGUACUUCGACUGGAAAACUAAAGAGGAAGCUUAAUUUGGAUGCUCCAGGUUUCAUUCCUAGAAAGUCUCCUGGUGCUUGCAUUCACAAUGCAGUAACCCCACCAAAUGUUGGGCAAGAACAUAUUGGAACAAGCAAAGCAGGUGCUAUCUGGAUGAAAAAUACAACAACAAAAAGACUGGGCAGCAACAGAUUUUUGCAAACACUCCAGUUGAUACUCUUGUGUCUAGUCAAUAUGCAACAACACCAGCAACUGCUGGACAGUAGAAGCAAAUUGCAAGCAUGCCACAAGCAGUAAUAUCAACUCCAAAUGCUGGACAGCAGCAGCAACAUUUACAACCAUGUUUUGUAGUAACGACUACACAAGCUGGACAUCAGCAAUUGGUUACAACCACUCCAGCUAUUUCUGUGAAUGAGGAAGUAAACGUUAGGCGACUCCUAAUGAGAGUUGCCAAACAAAAACAAGCAGCCCCAACUACAUCUACAAGGUCCAAACAUUCAAUAAAAAAGUCAUGAAUUUUGAAGACAUUCUGAAGAGGUUUGAUGAAGAUGAUCAAGAACUAUAAAUUGAAGAAGUUACAAGUUUGGGCAACAAGGGACAAGAAUCAAAUUCCUACUACAUCUUAUUUUACCAUUUUAUUAGUAUAGUCAUUUGUAAUAUCAUCACGGAGUAUGUUAUAAACUCUGUGAUGAUCAUAGAAUAUUUAGUGCUCUCUAGCUCUUUCUUUUUACAUGCUUGUUAGUAGGCGAGGAUAUUUAUGCCUCAACAGGAUUAGUAAGGUAAGGUUAUGCCCAGUAUGUGGUUGCUCAUGCCCUAUGCCUUUGGAAAGAUAUCCAAAUGGCUAUGAGAUUAUAUGCCCUCGUGAGACUUUGCCGGAAGAUCCAUGAUCCUCUAUAUGAGGCUGCCAUCAUAAGGCAAUGUGAGGCACAGAGGAGUGAUUAUAUAGCCAAGGCAUACAGGCAACACUACUGGUACUAUUGUCCCCCUUAUUUAUACUUUUCCUAUGUGUCGCGCUUUCUUUUCUAUUAUUAAUAAAAUAACUACUGGGCACGCCUAGUAGUAUAAUUUGCCCAAAAACAUUUCAAACUUAAAACUAGCAAUAUAUACAGCUACAACUACACCGUUCGAUCCCCCGACAAUGGCACCAAAAUUUGAUCACACCCAACUCUAGUCCUAAAAAGAAUAAGUGGUUGCUGCAAAUAUAAUAUCGGGUCUAAGAGUCCGGAGUCGCAUCCCACAUAAAACUAAGGUUUAGCUACAACUGUUUACUAUCACUAAGAAGACAAGCUCGAACAAUUCCUAAGUAAUAAGAUUCUAGUUUCUAACUAAUUAAUUAACAAAUUAAAAUGGUAAAUUAACAACUAAAGAUACUAAGGAUUAGAGAUAUUACUCCGUCUAGAGUUAUGAUUUCCUCAAUUUUCGGAAUCCUUCCUGCUAUGUAACGAUCCGACCUGUCAUUUUGAGUGUAUUAUCCCCGAUCCCCUAUUUAUUAUUUCCCCCGUAUCUUUUUCUGCUUAUGUUACUUGCCGCGAGGUUUUGUUGUGGUUUCGGAUUGAAUUGGGACACUUAAUCCCUAAAAUGGAAGCUUAAGUCUUAAGAUUUUGACCGUAGUUGGAACUGUCUGAAGAUAAUUCCAGAAUGUAGUUUCGUCGGUUCCCUUAGUUUUGUUGGGUGAUUUUGUACUUAGGAGGGUGUCCGGACUGUGAAUUGGAGGUCUGUAGUUGAUUUCGACUUGAAUUGGCGAAAGUCGAAUAUUUGGAGAUUUUGAUCGGAAGAGGAAUUUUUGAUAUCGGGGUAGUAUUCCUAUUUCGGAAGUUGGAGUAGGUCCAUAAUAUUGAAUAUGACGUGUGUGCAAAAUUUGGGGUCAAUCGGACGUGGUUUGAUAGGUUUCGGCAUCAGUUGUAGAAUUUUGAAGUUUCAAGUUCAUUAAAUUUGAAUCGGAGGGUGAUUCGUGUUUUAGCAUUGUUUGAUGUGAUUCGAGGCCUCAACUAAGUUCCUAUGAUGUUUUAGGACUGGUUGGUAUAUUUUGUUGAGGUCCUGGGGGCCUCGGGUGUGUUUCGGAUGCUUAAAGGAUUGAAUUUGGACUUAGGCAAUUGCUGAAGUUUUCUGGUCUUUUGGUGUUUUGCACGAGCGGAAGGAGGAGCGCAGGUGCAGUUUGGUCAAGCUUGGUCUGUGGGCGCAGGUGUGAGAUUGGGCCACAGAAGCGGAGCUGCAUCUGCGGAAGGUGGAGCACAGAAGCGGACGAGGCCUGGAGUGUGAGGAUCGCAGAAGCGGAAGAUAUCCACAGGAGCGGGAGCGCAGGUGCGACUGGUGGUCCGUAGAUGCGGAAAUGCUGGACAGAACACUUAAAUGCAAGGGUUCGUGAUUUUUGCUCAUUUAUUUUACAUUUUUGAGCUCGGGUUUGGCGAUUUCUUGAGAGCAUUUUUUAGGGUAUUUCUUGAGGCAAGUCCCUUCUGCUUAUUUUUUAUCAAUAAUCUUGCUUCCCCAUUUAUUUUCCUACCUAGUUAGUGUAUAUUUAAGGUGGAAUUUGGGAGUUUGAGGCUAGAGAUUUGGUGAGUGAAUUUUGGGCAUUUGAAAGACCAUUUGGUGUCGGAUUUUAUUAAAUUUGAUAUGGUUAGACUCGUGAGCGAAUGGGUAUUCAUAUUUUAUGACUUUUACCCAAUUCUGAGAUGUGGGUCAAGGUCGACCUUUUAGGAUGGAUUUAAGAUUUUUUGUUAAAGUCUUGAUUUCAUUAAUUAGAUUAGUCUAUUAUAAUUUUAUUUAUGAUAUGUAAUUUUUUCUGGCUAGAUGUGGGCCAUUCAGAGUCGGAUAAUCGAGGAAAGGGCAUUCUUACUGAUUGAUUGAGCUUGGUUUGAGGUAAAUGGCUUGCCUAACCUUGUGUGGUGGAAAUCCCCUUAGGAUUUGGUACUGUUGUGAUAUGUGAGCGCCAUGUACGUGAGGUGACCAGUACGUACACGGGCUAUUUGUUGUAAGAACCCGAUUUUCAUUGAGUAGUGAUCUGUUUUCAUUUUAAUUGAGUUAUACUAGAUGUGUAGUUAUCCUGUUAGUCUAAUACCCCAUGUCUACGUGCUUUAACUGCUUAUUUGAACUUUGUGCAGCAUGCCUAAUUGAUUUCCUUCUUUUCCUUGAUCUUUAUCAGUCUUAACUGUAGAAUUCUUACUGUUAACUGUUGUAUUUAUCGGUUUGAGUUGUGUGUUUACUUUUGAGACUACGAGGUGGUACCUCGGGAGUUUUCCCUGCACAUUGACUUUUGAGACUACAAGGCGGUACCUCGAGAGUUCUCCCUGCACAUUUACUUUUGAGACUACGAGGCAGUACCUCGGGAGUUCUCCCUUUUGGGACUAUGAUUGUUAUAUCAUUGUGCGGUGUUGUUAUUUCUUGGUGAAUACUUUCUGUUAUUUUCUCCGUUUUACUUCAUUUUAUUAUAUCCCGGUAGGGCCCGGACCUGACCACGCCACUACACUAUCGAGGUUAUGCUUGGCACUUACUGGGUACCGUUGUGGUGUACCCAUGCUACUCUUCUGCACAUAUUUUGUGUGCAGAUCCAGGUACUUCUUAUCAGCCCCGCUACCAGCUGAGAGUGCUGGCUGCUGUACGGAGACUUCAAGGUACAUCUUUCGCAUCCGCAGACCUCAGAGUCCCCCUCUAUUCCCUCAUAUGUAAUUUACCUUCCGUAUUUCUUUUAUUAGACUCUUGUGUGUAGAGAUUUUAGUUUCCUUCUGUAGCUUGUGACUUAUGAUUUUUCGGAUUUUGGGAAUAUUGUGUACUACUAGAGUGUUGGAUAUUGUACAUGCCAAGCGGUAUUGUUACCAGCUAUUUAGUUAUCUGUUGCAGUUAGUUGUUAGGUUUUACUUUCAUAUUUGUUAUUUUCGUAUUGUGUUAAGCUUACCUAGUUGUAGAGACUAGGUGCUGUAACGACGUAUUACGGAGAGAGAAUUGGGUGGUGACACGCUAUGUCUUCUAUAAUUUCGCCUAGGUUUUAUCUACCGAUCAUGAGUACUUUGGGUGUCGUAGUUCUAUCUCGAACAACUACUAUAAUUUACUAGAUAUAUUCUCUCGAACUACACUAGUUGGCACUAAUUUAUCGCUCACUACGAUCACACUAAUGUUUCGUUAUCUCUAAUCCCGCAUUUAAACCCUCUGUAUUGAUCUAUCACAUACGUUAGGAGUGAUGUUGUUCAACAACUACCUAAAUAUGUACCCUCUCUCAAGCAAUACACACCAAAUAGGCACAGUCAAUUGAUGGACAUUCAAUCAACGACAAUAAACACGUAGUUGAACAAGUAGAGAUAUUCAAAGGAAAAAUUAUAUUAAAAUGUAACAAGAAUUCAUCCUUCAAAAGAUUUCAUCAAACCCUAUAUGAGAAAGUUUAGCUACUCAUAGUCAUACUAACAAUCAUGAUAAUAAUUGAGAGCAUUAAAAUACAGAUUAAGGAAGAAUAGAGUAGAAAACUCUUGUGAUUCGUUGCUUCCAAGUGUUCCCGUAGCCUUUUCCCUCUCCAAUAAUGUAUCUCCCUUAAGAAAUAGGUUUAGAACCCCUUUUAUACGUGUUGAGGGCGUAUAGGAUCAAAACUACCAAGUCCUAGCCGAAUUAGGAUGAAAUCCGCCUUUAGCCGUCUAGCUUGGCGCUUGGCGCCAACCUGGACACCGAAAUGUUUCCAUUUUUGUGCCAUUGGUAUUUUGGUUGGUGCUUGGCGCCAACCUGGGCAACAAAUCAUAAUCCCUCCAAAUUUUUCUAUUUGUUUAUUUCACUUUGCAUGCAGGCUUGCCAAAUCAGUUCAAAUUGACUCCUACACGCGUAAACACCAUUAUUAAGCUCGAGUCACAAAUAUUUACACCAAAGUUAACAAGAUUGAGGUAUAAUGUAAGACAAAUUACAUGCAAAAGUAUGAAGUUUUAGCCUAACAUCAACCAAUUGUAGGGAAAGAGUUGACAAGAGUUGAGUAGAAACAACGGGAAAGGAAAAUUGGACGAUAUUAGGGGAUCUGAUUUGUUGUUGUAGGAUAAGCAAUUAGGGUCAUGUAUGGGCCUAAAUAUGACUUUCUAUACAGUAUUUUUUAUUAGGGGUACUGGUGAUUAAUAAAAUUUAUUUUUCAUAAAGAAAAUACAAUGCCACACCUCUUUUUUUCCUGGGAAAGUAGCUUUUUCACUUUAAGUGAUAUUAUUAAAAAAGAAUUAUUUAUUUUAAUUUUAAGAGUCGCUACUUAAAAUUAUUUAUUUACGGUUUUCCCAAGUUACCAUUUAUUUGAAUCUCAAUUCAAGGAAAUUUGACUCUGUUUAAAUCUGCGAAACACAGACGACCUGGUAAGAAAUUUUGUUAACCCGGGAGAAGGUGUGAGGCACUCCCAGAUUUCGUGAUUUUAGCAUGAUCGCUUCAAAAUUACACUCGCCUUAGUUAUCUGAUUAUUACAUAUUUUAAAACCUAUGUUCAUUUACGUUUUUAAUUAUACAUUUUUAAGCAUUUAUGGAAUUUAUCUAAAUAAGUCGCAAUGUCGCGCACUUGUUAUUUUUGUACACAUACCGGUGAUUCACAAGAAUUUGGAGUUAAUGGUCAAGGCACGCGAACGUGCACUUGAAUUUGGAAUUACGUAUCAUGACUAUGUCACGAGAACCGUAUCUAUAGUCAUGAUAAUUCAUAUUAUUAGUCGCUCCUAUAAGCAAGCUACAAAUGUUCUUGAGCUAUUUAUUUUCCUAAGUUUGACAUGGCAUGUAAAAGUCAACGAAUUAUGGAAUUUAUUUGUAGGUAAAUUGUAUAUAUGAAUUAGAGUGAAUCUAGAAUUUAAAGUAAACAAAUACUAUUAAACUAAGAUGAUCGUUAGUUUGUACAGAUUUGAAAGUCUAUGAUGAGGACUUGCGAGUUGGAAACAAAUUCAAUUGAUUUGCUUAAACAUUUCAGGGAGGUCUCUAUAGCGUCCUUGCUUUGGAAUUGUUUGACCAAGGUUAAUUAGUGAUCGAAAAAUAUCAUUACACGCUAACUUAAACGGAUUUUUACCUUCAUAUGCACUAUUUGAAAGCUUAUUACCCUCCAUAUUUAAGUUUAAAUUUAAUUACAUGGUCAUAUACAAUUUACCAAUUAUAUACAAAUAAGUUUUAAAUGAGUAUCCAUAUAUUAGGAAGUGAAUAAGGAAUAUUAGUUAUUUCCUUAUCCCUUUAUACUUGCCCAUUCUCUCUCUCUCUCUUUGUCUCUCUCUCUCAACCUCUCUCUCUCUCUGUCUUUCUACUCUCCUUCUCCGUUUUUUUCCCAAUUUUUCUUCAUUUGAUUUUCUCUAUUUUUUUAUGUUUUUUUUGUUGUAUGGAGUUUUAAUGGAAUUCAUCAAUGAAUUUCAAUCUUUUAACUUUGUAAUUUUCUUUUAUGUUGCACAAUUGGUGUUCAAAUAGAAAUUGACAAUCAAUAAAUUUUAAAAAUGUUUGACUCUCCACCAUUGACUGCCAUUAAAGCUUUGAAACUUUGAAAUCGAAUUUGAAUUUUUAAAAAUCAUUAUUUGUUUGGACUGGGUGUUAAUGCAAAUAAUUGAAAAUAUUGUUUGAAAUUUAUAUCUCAAUUUUGAGGGUGUUUUGGUGAAGAAUAGGCUUGAUUUUGGUUGAAUUUCAAAUUGAAACUCGUCGAAGAAGAAGAAGAAGAAGAAGAAGAAGAAGAAGAAAAAGAAGAAGACGACAUGACAUACAAUAUACUUACGAAAUUAUAGUAAAGUUGUAGUAUAAUUGUAUGUAAAUUGUAUUCUAUUGUAGUUAUAACUAUUUUUUUAUUUGAAUGUUGUAACAAAGUUAAAAAAUAAUUGUAUAAAGUAUCAAUUGUUGUAUAAAAUUUGUAUUUAACUUAUCAAUACUAUCUUUUUACAUAAAGUUGUUGAUAUGUAUCAAAAUUGUAUUAAGAAAGUAAGUUUUGAUUGGAAUUUUAGAGAGGAAGAAGCAUACACCACAUGUCACGACCCAAAAUCCAACUAGUCGUGAUGGCACAUAACCCAUCCCGUUAGGUAAGUCAAUUUCCAACUAAUAAAUUUCACUAAUAAGUAAUAAAGCAAUUUAAGUGAAUAAAGAUCCUGAUCUUACACAAUCCCCAAGAACUGGUAGUACAAAUCAUGAGCUUCUAAGAAUAGAGUAUACAAAGUGAAAAUGAAAUAAAUACAUAGUCUGUUUGAAUAAUACAUAAACAAAGCUUUUAUAAAUCUAAGGCUACCCUUAACUAGAGGCACCUACAACAGGAACGUAAGUACAUCUUUAGAUCUCGCAACCAUCGAACACAGCAACAACGCCAGCCAAUAUCUGCACGCAAUGUGCAGAAGUGUAGUAUCAGUACAACCGACCCCAUGUACUGAGUAAGUAAUAAACCUAGUUUUAGGUUGAAAGUAGUGACGAGCUUGUACCAAGGUCAGAGUCCAACUUUCAUAACCAACAAUAGUUCAUAAUAAUAUUAAACAAGUAAUACCAGAAGUAACUCAAAGAAUAAAUGCUCAGCUAAAUCAUGACUUCUAAAAAUAGUUUAGCCUUUUAAGUACAUCAAUGAAAACCCAAAUCGUUUACCGAAGUUACCAAAAAUAUGAAUAAGUUUGAAAACAAUAAUUUUUUCCCAAAAUCCUGUCAAUAAUAAAUGAUAUGUUUCAUUUUCUUUCUAGAUAACCCAUGUAAAACAAAUGCAUCACUAUGCCCAUCUGUCAACAUAUGUGAGAAAUCAUGAAUAAUGUGAUACCGUACAGCAUGAGAAAAACACAUCUCUAUGCAUAUAUGUCAUGUGUGCAUGUCAAUGCAAUGUAUCUCAGAGAUUGUACUCAUGUACUCACACUCUCAAAGUACUCAAUCUCACUGUCUCGCAUUCUCUCUCACUAUGCUCAGCACACUCAAUCACUCAGCGCUAUACAAUACCUGUUGCGGCGUGAAUCCCGAUCCCUAUUUAUAGUCGACUGCGCUCACUAGGGGUGUACGGACUCAUGAGGGGCUCCUACAGCCCAAGAGCUAUAAGCACGGACAACUCACGUGCUGCACAGACAACUCACGUGCCAUAAUAUAAAUAUCUGGAUCUGCACGAACAACUCACGUAUUGCACGGCCAACUCACGUGCUGCACGGCCAACUCACAUGUAAUAAUAAUAUAAGGAUCCGCACGGCCAACUCACGUGCUGCACGACCAACUCACGUGCAAUAAUAAUAUAAAGAUCCGCACGGCCAACUCACGUGCAAUAAUAAUAUAUAUAAAGCCAACAUGGCAUGCUGCGGCGUGCAGCCCGAUCCCAUAAAUAUCCUCACAAAUCAGGCCCUCGGCCUCACUCAAUCAUCAAUCUCUCCAGCCUCUCAGGCUCACAAUAUCAUGAAAAUAGCCCAAAAUGAUGAUAUGUUGUAUCAACAAAUAACAACAGAGACUGAAAUAUGAUAUGCAAUGAAAUGAAUAUGACUGAGUAUGAAUUUUCAAUUUAACACAAUAAUUCAUAGCAAUAUAACCUUUGUGGGUCCCAAUAAUACUGGCACAUAGCCUCAACAUGAUUUUUAAUAUGCUUUCCAGCUCAAUUUCUUUAACACAUAAAAUCGCAUGGAAAAUGCCAAGAUUAUUUAACUAUAAAAUUUCACAGAAACAAUUAUGUCACAAUUUCUAUAGUGCAUACCCACAUGCCCGUCACCUAGCAUGUGCGUCACCUCCCAACAAUUCACAAAAUACAUAUAUUCAGGGUUCAUACCCUCAACUCCAAGAUUAGAAGAGUUACUUACCCCGAACAAGCCAAAUCCAAUGUCAAGCAAGCUAAGCAAUGCUCCAGAAAUUUUAUUCUGCGCGUAUCAACUUCCAACGACUCGAAUCUAGUCACAAUUAAUUUGAUUUAGUCAAUAAAAUUAAUUAAAAUUAAUUCCAUAAGAAAAUACUAAUAUUUCCACAAAAUCCGAAAUUACGCCCCAAAAAUCACUCGUGGGACCCACAUUUCGGAAUCUGAUGAAUUACAAAAUAUUAACGCCCCUUCAACCACGAGUCCAACCAUAUAAAUUUUACUCAAAUCCGACAUCAACUCGACCCUUAAAUCUCCAAAUUAAACCAAGAGGGUUUUCACAAUUUUCCAACUUAAUUCACCAAUUAAAUGUUAAAAACAACCAUGGAUUCGGGUAAUUUAACAAAUAUUGAGUUAAGGACACUUACCCCGUUAUUUUCUCUGAAAAUCUCCCAAAAAUUAUGUCACGACCCAAUUUCACUUAUAGGUCGUGAUGGCGUCGGACAUCGCUGUCAGACAAGCCAACAAUAAAUACUAAAUAAAUUCUCAUUUUAAUAAUUUUGAAGUCAUAGUUGUUUCCCUCAAUUAAAUAGCAGAAGAUGACAUUUACAAAAUACAUAUUAAUAUCUUUAAAAAUUUCCAAUAUAGUGCAACCCAUAAUCAUCCCGUGUCACAAGUGCAUGAGCAUUUACUAGGGAAUUAAAAUAAAAUAUAGCAUCUAUCCAGAAUACAAAUUAGACAGGAAAAUAUAGUAACUCUGAAGGAGAUUAUGUUAGUUGCGGAUCGUAAUAUAGAAUGCAGCUCACCUAUGUCCCCACAAUUAUUAACCACACCUCUGCGCCCACAAGGUCGCUAUACAUAUAUGUACCUGCACAAUAAAAUGUGCAGCAAGUGCAGUAUGAGUACGAAAACAAAGUGUACCCAGUAAGUAUCAAGCCUAAUCUCAAAGAGGUAGAGACGAGAUGGUUGACUAUGACACUCACUAUGGGUCAAUAAUAUUAAAUAAUCAUAAAAAUAGAANNNNNNNNNNNNNNNNNNNNNNNNNNNNNNNNNNNNNNNNNNNNNNNNNNNNNNNNNNNNNNNNNNNNNNNNNNNNNNNNNNNNNNNNNNNNNNNNNNNNNNNNNNNNNNNNNNNNNNNNNNNNNNNNNNNNNNNNNNNNNNNNNNNNNNNNNNNNNNUUAUUAAGCACGAUUUUUGCCGAGGUCGUACGGUCCGAUCCAGAGUUUCGUGUACACUGCCGAGGGACAUGCGGCACGAUCCAUAGAUGCAUUUAUCCUGCCGAAGCGUUCGGCCCGCUCCACAAGAAAGGAGGACAUUUUUUUUAUGUACCUCCGGGAAUGAGAGUAUGUUUAUUAUAAGAUAAAUUCGAGAGGAAGAACAAUUUCUUUUAACAAUUAAUUAAUUUAAACAUAAAAUCAAGCAUAUGAGAUUCCCAUCCUUUAAUAUCUUCAUCUAACAAUUCACAAUAUAUUUAUAUAUAUCAAUUAAUAUUAAUUAAACAAAGAAUAUAAUUUACACAAAUAAUUUAUGCUUUGAGUCCUAAACUACCCGGACUUUAGUAUUAAUAGUAGCUACGCACGGACUCUCGUCACCUCGUGCGUACGUAGCUCCCCACAAUUAGCAACAAUUAUUCAAUUUAAUUUCUAUGGAGUAAUUUCCCCCUCACAAGAUUAGACAAGAGACUUACCUCGCUCCGAAGUUCCAUAGCCGUCUCCCAAGCCUUUCAAACAACUCUACCAAUGCCCAAUGCUCCAAAACUCGCUUUCGCUUUAUUAAAAUUCACAAGCUUUUAAUCCUCCUCCGACAUCGUAACAUUGAGUAAAAUGCUCAUACGCCACCAAAAAAUUGAUAUCUACAAUUACAAUCCCAAUUACAGUCAAAAUAUGACUCAAAAAUAUUUAUCAAUAUACAUUUAUAGCUCACAAGUUGGCUACAAGCCUCCAGCUCAAAUCGUCUAGUAGGUUCACUUACUAGCACAUUCAACUCCACUCUUAUCAUUCAAUACCCAUUUGAAGUCAUCAAUGGUACUACAUUAAUUCUCCAACACUGCCAAAUUACUAGUCAUCGUCUUCCUUAACCAACAUUUCUAAAAUAUUCAAUUUGGUGAUUACUUAGUUGAAUACUUCCAACUAAGCUAGAAAAUGAUUCCAUAGGUUCAUUGCAUCCUUUAAUUUCAUUUCUAAGAACACUAUUUAUCUUUCCCUCAUUUUCUCAAGAACACUAUUCGCCAUAAACUAGAGUUUAUGAAAUCAAUUAUCCAACCAAAAUAACUUGAAACAAAUAUUAGAAUUACUCUCACUGACUCAUAAGAAAUGAGCUUGAAGCAUUAGUAUUACCUUCUUGAAGCUUUUUCUUGAAAUUCUAAUGUUUGGGAAAUUUGGUGUUCUUGAACAACUUGAAAGAUUUCUAGGGAUUUCAAAGAUUGAAGGAUGUUAAUACUAGUGUUAAUAGGAUGUUAUUAACUUAAACUAUCCAAAAAAACUCACCUUCUAUUCUUAAGUAGUCUCCAAGGUCGAAUCCACCAUGAAAGAACCAAUCCCUAGCUAAAGAAAAUCCCUAAAAAUGGCUGCUACCCGUGACUGCCUUAUAAAGGCACGGGUGCUUCAGCGAGUUGUACCUUGCGCUGUGCAAGUUGUACCUCGUAUUACAAGUUUUGCCCUGCUAGACACCUUUUACUAAAACGUCCAUAAGUCCUUGUAGAAAUAUCCAAAUGAUGAAAGGUUGAAAGCGUUAGAAACUAGACUCGAAGAUCUUUCAUUUGAUAGGUUGUCCACCAUAUAAACCAUUAUAUAUAUAUAUAUAUAUAUAUAGGCAUGCUCGUCCAAAGUUAGGUUUUUUUGUGUGUACUCAUUUGGAACUUUAGUCUAUCAUGUAAUUUUCAACUUGAUUAAGACUUAGGGCUCUCCUUAGACCCUACAUCACUUAUAAUAUGACUCGUUCACUUAUCAAUAUACAAACCUGCUGGAACCUUCAAAUCCCGAUUCCGGGGUCGUUUUCUCAAAGUGUUGACCGAAGUCAAAUUUGCCCUUUUAAGGCUAACUUAAGUAACUAAGUGUUCCGAUUUCAACCCAAACACUUCCAAAUCCCGAACCAACCAUCCCCGCAAGUCAUAAAUCAUUAAAAAUACAUUCAGAGAGUUUUAUUUAGGGGAACGGGGUUCUAAAAGUCGAAACGACCGGUUGUGUCGUUACAGAUCGCCUCAAUUCGAGCUCCAAAUCGUUAAAAAUGGAAAAUGGUCCCAUUUUCUGAAUUUAAACUUUCUGUCUAGACCUCUCUUCUUCGCGAACGCGACAGGUCCCUCGCGUUCGUGAAGCACAAAAUGUGCUUCCCAACAUUUGCUCCUCGCGAACGCGAUGCUUUACGGAGCCCAUCUUCGCGAACGCGAGCUCCCCUUCGCGAACGCGAACGCGAUACCCCAAACGCGAACGUGAUCCACAACCCAACUCCUCUUCGUGAAAGCGAGAACCCCUCGCAAACGCGAAGAGUAAAUCCCGCCUGCCUGAAAUUCCUCUUCGCGAACGCGAGGGCCCACUCGCGAACGCGAAAGAGAAAAUCCGAAAAAUGCAGCAACAGAUAUCAGCAAUCUCACUAAGGUCACUAAUGAUCCGUUAACCAUUCAAAACUCACCAGAGCCCCUCGAAACCUCAAUCAAAUAUACCAAGUCCUAAAACAUCAUACGAACUUAGUCGAACCCUCAAAUCACCUAAAACAACGCUAAAACCAUGAAUUACACCUCAAUUCAAGCCUAAUGAACUUUAAAAUUUUUAAUUUCUACAAACGACUCUGAAACCUAUCAAAUCACGUCUGAUUGACCUCAAAUUUUGCACACAAGUCAUAAAUGACAUAACAGAGGUAUUCCAAUUUUCAGAAUCGGAUUCCGACCCCGAUAUCAAAUAGUCAACCCCCGGUCAAACUUUCCAAAAAUUGAACUUUCGGCAUUUCAAGCCUAAUUCCUCUACGGACCUCCAAAUAAUAUUUUGGGCAUGCUCCUAAGUCCAAAAUUACAAUACGGAGCUAUUGGAAUUAUAAAAAAUUCAAAUCCGAGGUUGUUUACACAUAAGUCAAUAUCCGGUCAAUUAUUUCAACUUAAGCCUCCAACAUGAAAAUUCAUUCUUCCAAGCUAACUCUGAAAUACCUUAAAACCAAAAUCGACAAUUCACACAAGUCAUAAUACCUCGUAGGAAGUUAUUCAAGACUUCAAAUAGUUGAAAGGCGCGUAAAUGCUCAAAACGACUGGGCGUGUCGUUACACCACAUAAUAAAUAUAUACAAAUCAGGUACAAUAUACAAAAGACAUAUUGUAUAAAAUUUGUAUAAAAAUUGUAUUUAAGUUGUAUGAUAUUGUAUUUGUAUUUAAUUGGGUAAAAAUAAUGUAUAAAAGUUGUAGAUAAAUUAUAAAUAAGUUGUAUAAUAUAUAAUUAGUUGUAUGAAAUAUAGUUUUACUAUGUAUAAAUCAGAUACAAAAUAUACAAAAGAUAUAUUGUAUAUAAAUUGUAUUUAAAUUGUGUGAGCACCUAAUUUUUGACAAUAUUUGAAUUUUUAUCACCUCCUACUAUGUAAAUAAUUUUAGAAAUUUAAUUUAAAUUUGUUAGCUUUGUUACAUUUUUUUAUAGAGGGUAAAAAUUAAAAAUAAUUUAAAAGGUCAAUUAUUACUAUUAGUAUUAUUUUUAUUUUCAAAUAAAAUAAAUUUUAAAAAAACGAAACAAAUAAAUAUUUUUUAAAAUUUUUGGAUGGGAAUAAAAUAAUAGGAGAAUUAAGAGUAUGGAAUAAAAAGUAAAAGUAAAAGUAGGUGGAAAUUGUUUUUUUAAGUAAAAGAAAGUGAAAAUUUAAAAACAAAAAGGAAAAUAAGUGAAAAAUAAAAAAAGUAAAGUAAAAAAAGUGGGAAUAUAAUUAUAAUAAAAGUAAAAAGUGGGAAAUUAAAAUAUAAAAGUAAAGGAAAGUGGGGAAUUUAAUUAUUUUUAAAAAGAAGAAAAAUGGGAAGUGGGAAUUUGUUUAAUUAAAAUUUUAAUAAAAUAUUUUUAAAAUAAAAUCUGAAAAAAAUACGAAUUGUUUUCUAUAAAUUGAAGAGAAAAUGUGAGGGGGAGAAGGAAGAAAAAAAGAGAGGAGGGAAUGGAAAGAAAAUUGUUUUCUUCUACUAAGGAAAUUUCUACUCGUGUCAUUCUUUCUUCGUCUUUCUUUCGAAAACUCCAGCAAUAUAUCACCCUGUUUUAAGGCCCAAAAUGCCUCAAAUUCAAGACUAAAAGUACCACGUGAAGCUUCGAUGGUAGUCACCUCUCUCACGCCAAAAAGCAAUAGCUUCACGAGGCACAGUCGAGUUUCGAUCCAGGCUCGAAUUUUAGAAGGUUCGUCGCUAGAUUUUCUGCUAAUUUGCCGAUUGGCCCUUGGUUUGGUGUACGUAUUUGGCUCAGAAUAUUUUUUUUUUUUUGCGUUAAUCAAGUUCUGGAGGAACGUUUUGCUUAAAGGUUCAUUACUUAUCCUCCCUUUGUUAAUUAUUUUAUUAUUUUAUGUGAUUUUCUUAUAGAGAUUCAUGUGAUAAUUUUUUAUGUUGUUUAUACACAUUGUCAUGUUGUAGUUUCUUUUUACAUGUUUCAAGCUAUUUGUCAACAGAUUAUUUGAAUAGGAUUUCAUCUUAAUGAGAUUUUCUAUUUAAAAUUAAGAAUGAAUAUCUUUCCAUAUUAAUGAGUCAUGCGUUGGAGUUCAAUUAAGUGAACCACAAAUGAGUUACGACAUUUAAUAGGAAAGAAAGAAUUAGACAUGGGUUGGAUUUAGUAUAAAUCUGUCAGGCCUAAUAAUUUUUGUCACUAGAUUAAUAAUUAGCCCAUUCUUCCAUAAUAGAUAAAUGUCUCAUAAUUUCAAAGAUAGUGCAGUGAGUUGUAAAUACUUCUAAGUGUGGAUAACUUGUCAAUACUUUAGAUAGCUAAAAUAUUUUCCGACAAAUAUUUUCCGACUUUAAAAUAAUUUCCUAUCCAUAAACUCUUGGUCUUAUAAUAAUUUCAAAUUAGUUUAGGAAAAUAAUACAAGCGUGCAUUCACGUGACUUGACCAAUCAACUUCGAAUAAUAAUAAAUGUGUUAUUGAUUGUGUACACAUACGCGUGACAUGAUUCUUGACGCCAAACAAAAAUACGUAUGCGUGACUUAUUUCAAGAUAAUUUUCAUAAAUCUAAUCAAGCAAUAAAAGCGGACAUAGGUAAAACAUGAGAACCAAUAAAACACAAGUUAUCCAACAAUAAUAUAAGCCAAAUAUAGUCAAUAAAGCGCCUGUGCUAGAACCACGGGACUCGGGGAAUGCCUUACACCUUCUCCCUGGUCAACAGAAUUCCUUACCCUGACUUUAUCUUUGCAGACCAAUAAUAAUAGAGUCAAACCCUCCUUUGAUUAGGGAUUCAAAUAAAAGGUGACUUGGAAUACCCAAAAAAUCAAUUCCAUGUGGUGACUCUAUAAAUAAAAUAAUCCCUACUCAAAUUUGUCACUUUAAUUGGAAAAACUUCUUAACACAUAAUAAUCCAUAAUACAUAUCUCUUGGGGCAAAAAGGGGUGUGACAGCUCUAGCGACUCUGCUGGGGAACUCUCAAGAAUUCGAGCUUGUACAUUGCCUUUAUUUGUCUUUAUUAAUUUCUGUAUAUAUUGUGAUUAAUUUGAGCCUAAUGUGCUAUGUGUCACUUAUUUGCCGCUUUAAUAUUUAUUUGAACAGUGAUAUAAAUUGUAUCCUCUCUCGCACCCCUAUGAGUCUUCUUAUAGUUAGUUAUGUUGUGUUUGCCUACCAGCAUCAUAAAAUUUCUGUCUUGAGAUAAAGCCAGUUAGCCUACCAGCUUUUGGUGAAGGAUUUUGUCACACAUGUUAAGGCGGGAGAGCCGUUAGCCAGCCAAUGUUGUUCUACUACUGGUGAUACUUGACGCUCCUCGGCUCGGGUAGUCUGCCCGGGUAAGCCAAUCUAGAUACACUUCAUCCCCUAAAAAUUUUUAAAAACCUAGAAGUACAAGCAGCAUGCCUGGUUAUCCCUAGUAGGAUCGUUUUAUUGCAUCAUGUGCAUUUGACUUAGCGAAACUCGGCAUAGGGAUCGAGUCCGUAUAAGACAGAUACCCUUUUUGAGACCAUCAUGUUCACUUAUGUGCUACUUGCUACAUCAUUUGGAAGACUUGCUUGUAUUAUUGACCGGCUUUAGAAAAUUGUUUGAGCGGAAUUAUAAAAAACAAAAAUCAUUCCCCCUGUUUUGUAAAAAUAAUUCGUUUUACUAUAAAUAAAUCAAAAAAGUUUGAAAAAAAUAAAAAAAUAAAAAUAAGUCAGACUAUUCCCGAUCUUACCGAACUACGCGGGUUUAAUACUCACCGGAUGUGAGAUACGUAAGCAACGUUCAUCGGGUUCAACCCCAUUUGUUUGUCUUAAAAUUAAAAAAGAAACAUUACAAAAAAGUGUCUAUGAAUUAUUAUAUUUUUCAAAUAAUAAUAAUAAUAAUAUAGCCGAUUUGUCAGUUUUAUCUCUUUUGACCAAUGUUUUCUUGCGUCCACUUCUUUUGUCAAAUAAGCCUUGAAACCUUCCUCAUAAAUGUGAAAUGGUUUUGUUUAACAAAAGCGGCCUGUUUUUUUGUUUGUUUUCUUUAGUUUUUUUUUUAAAAAAAAAAUUAUAGAAUCAAAACCUGAGAAAUCAAAAAUUUUGUGUGUCAAUAAUAUAUUUGAUCAAAUCCUAACCCCGUGUCUGGAUAAACAUGUACACCAUGAGUGGGGGAAAAGGUAAGUCUGAAAAGAGGCCCAGAUCAGAAGGGAUACCGGAUUUUCUGAUUGUCGAUCAGAUACCACAUUAGUUGUGGGAUUGGUGGAGAGACUUUAAGGAAUAUGAACGAAACUAGAUAAAGAAGUACUUGGGACAUUUGGUUCACAUGAUUCCGAUCAAGCCCAGGAGGGAUGUGAUCGAAGCUUUGAUUCCGCACUGGGAUCCUGAAAAUAAUGUGUUUCGUUUUACCGACUGUGAAAUGACUCCGACCUUCGAGAAAAUCGCCCAUUUCUAGGGGUGGGGACACAAUCUUUGCCGCCAAAGUCCCAUAGUACCAAAAAUAUGUGAAUGAGAGUAGGUUUCUGAAACUCUUGAACAUAAAUUACAGACAAUAUGUAGUUUUAGGAGGCAAGUGGGUUAAGUUGGGAUAUUUGUUUACUUGUAUGGCCUAGAAUGCAAUUUCAAAAGGAAUGUGGGAAAAUUAAAAUCAAAGGAAGAUAAGAAAACAUGGAAGGUACACAAAAGGUUUGCAUUUAUGGUUAUUCUUUUGGGACGUGUAGUUUUCCCGGAAAGGGAAGGACAUAUUGACAACCACUUGGCAGGUGUAGUUGAGGCUCUGACCUCAGAAGGGGAUGAUUAUACUUUAGUCCCUAUGAUUCUUUCUUGCAUUUUUCUUGCUUUAACUAGAUGUAAAUUGGGCGCGCGAAACUUUGAUGGUUGCAACAUUUUGUUAUAGAUAUUGGUUUUGGAGCAUUUUUAUCGUCAUCCUACGAUCACUGAUUUUAGUGUGCUAUGGCCCAAUCAUACUUAUGAUCACCAAAAAAGAAUUGACGAAUGCGACUUACCGAAGGGAUUGGCACCUGUAAAGAACUACUUCUUACUCUAUCCGCCAAACGGAUCACUUGGAACUACGAUUGGUUCUCUUCUAACGAGGUCAUUUGUGAGUCUGCAUACCAUUCUUAUUUGGUACUCAUAGGAUUGGAUGGUGUUCAGCCCUAUGCUCCACUUCGGGUAAUGCGCCAAUUUGGACGACUACAUGAGGUGCCACCAACACGAGAUAUGAGCAAGUUCUGUUAUGAUUUUGGUAAAGAUCAGCCUCAUGACGAAGAAGAAAUUAUGAAAAUUAGGUAUGCAAGUAAGGUCUCGGAGUUGAAUGAUAUGGUAGAAGACCGAUAUUGUGGAGAGGUGAUCCCUGAAUAUAUUACUUGGUUUCAUGAUCCUUCGUCGUUUAGAGAUAGGCUUGAGGGGUCCAACAUGAGGAGAAAUGAUCAAGAAACUAUAGAAAGGCUAAAAGAGGAAUUGGAACAUGCUCGAAUGACCAUAGCCAAACAAUAAGCCCAACAGCAAGCUGGAGUCGCUCUAAUUCAUUUAAAUAUUGAGAAACAUUAUCAUUCUGCCUUACGGGUCACGGAUAAAGAUCUAAAGCAUACUAAGAAUGAGGUGGCCCGCUUAGAAGAAGAACUAGCAAUCACGAUUAGUUUAGUCAGAAGAGGCAAAUAAAAAUGCUAAAAUUCAUAAGCUGCAAGAAGACUUGAGUAUCAUUGAAGAGGAAGAGCACCAACAAUAAUUGGAGUUUGAUCAGCAGAGAGAGCAGUUUGAAAGAGAACGGGCCCAUUGGAUACACUCAAAGGGUCAACUUCAUGCACAAUUGGAAGAAAUAAAAAGGUAGAAGAGGGAUCAUCAACAUACAUAUUUUGCGGCAGAGCGGCGUCAAUGGAUGAUUGAGAGAGGUGUGGUAAACGGUCGUAUUGAAGAAUAUGAGGGGUGUAAGGUUCAGAUGAGGCAUACCCUCAAUACUAACCAGAUGUGGUUGCAGAAUUGUCACAUGAUAAUGGGGCAAGCCAGAGAGCAAGUACUUCAAUUGGCAGAGAAAGAAGCAUAUAUUCAUAAUGAUUAUCUUCAUCUAAACAAUGAGAAAGUUGGUCAACAUGCACGUGCCCUCGUUCCACAGUUAUCGACGGUGUUUCAGAAUUUGUAUGAGACUUUGGGGGGGAGGGAGGGAGUGGAGGCCAAAUGAUGUAGACCAUUGAUGAUAUCGGUUUAAAGUUUUAGUACAGUCAAUUAGUUUUUAGUUUCAUUUUUCAUUUGUUGCAUUUUUAAUUUUAUAUUUGGAGGUUUUUAUUCAUAUCAAAGUUUGUUUUAUUCUAGUCAUAUUUAUGUCUUUAGAGUCAAAUGGGUUAGUUUCUAUAUAUUUUCCUUUUCUCUCAUUGUAUUUAAACAAAAACAAAAUUGAUUGAAAAUGAAUGAAAAAUAUUCUAUUUUGUUUUAUAAAAAAAAAAAUCAAAAAUCAUCAAAAUUGUUAUUAUUUCCCCCAUGAACUAUGUAAUGAUUUGAUUCAUGCGGCGACAUGAUACGUAGGCAACCCCCAAAAGGUUCUAUCAAAUAGUUUUCAAUGACUGUAGAAUGAGGGAACUAAAUGAGGCAAAUGAAAAAAAAAAAAAAGAAAUAAGAACGUCAAUAAGCAGCAACCUUAUAAGCAGGAAUGAAACAUGAAGCCAUCCAAAAUCAUGUUAGAGAUGGUAAUAAUCUUAGGAGCAUAGCAUAUUUACGUGUGAUUCGUAUAUGUUAAAUGCUUAACCCUAACACGUUUGUUGGCUCUUUAAAGUAAGCUUAAGGUGGUUGUUUUGUGGUGAAACUGGCAACAUAUCAUUACUUCACCAGAUCAAAGGAAACGGUAGUAAUGGAUAACAAUGAUGAAAUCGAUUUGGUCAGUCACAAUCCCCAGAGUCAAUCAGUUGAGCAAGAGUUAGAGGAAAUGAGAAAAUUGAGACAACAACUGUCUGAUCUAUAUCAAGCUUGGGUUUCCGGUCAGCCUCCACCCGAGGGUCCCUCAAAGGAAACUUCCACCAUACCUCGGGCUAAUAAACUACUGCUCCAUGCAGUGAGCGAUCACAUUCUAUCACCAGGGUAUGUGCCAAACUACAGCCUCCAUGCUAUCCCUAGUACCUCUAAUAUGCGACCUCCAAUUGAACCAGUCAGGAACACCUCUCUCGUCGUGUAUGGCGUGCCGGUAUAUACAAUCCUGCCACCACCUCCUGUUACGAGACCAAACAAUAAGAUACCAUCUCAUGCUUAUGAUGGACAAUACUAUAUGGCUUUCAAGGUCUCGUCUCCAUACAAUCAGACUCCUCAGUAUGAGUCACCAGUAGAAAAUGAAAAACUUGCCAAAACGGUUGAUCCGGAUGAGAUGGCCAGGAAAAUAAAUAGUCUUGAACAGAACAUAAAGAACAUACAAGUACUAGGUGGUCACAAAAGUGUUUCAUUCAGCGAUUUAUGCAUGUUCCCUCACAUCUAUUUCCCACCAGGGUUCAAGACCCCAAACUUUGAGGAGUAUGAUGGACACGGCUACCCUAUUGCCCACUUGAAAAGGUAUUGCAACCAACUCAGGGAUGCAGGUGAAAAAGAAGAAUUGUUGAUUGCUUAUUUUGGAGAAAGUCUUGUCGGGGUAGCCUCUGAAUGGUUCGUUGACCAAGAUAUCUCUCACUGGCAUGUUUGGGGCGACAUGGCCCAGUCCUUCGUCAAACAAUUUCAGUACAAUAUUGAUAUUGCACCAGAUCGCAAUUCCUUGUCCAAUAUGAAGAAAAAGCCGACGAAUAGCUUUAGGGAGUAUGCCAUCAAGUUGAGGGAGCAAGCGGCUAGAGUUAAGCCACACAUGGAUAAUCAUGAGUUGAUCACUAUUUUUCUAGAGGCUUAGGAGCCUAAUUAUUUCCAAAACAUGAUGUCUGCAAUGGGUAGGCCUUUUACAAAAGCAAUCAAGAUAGGGUAAAUGGUUGGAAAUGGCCUCAAAACCGGCAGAAUUAUAAGUCAGGCUGCUCUCAAAGCCACCACCAAAGUAAUCCAAAAUGGGUAGGGAAGUUUGGCAAAUAGAAAGAAGAGAGAUGAAGGGUCCAUGAUGACUUUAGGAUCCAGGAAAAUUCAAAGAGAGGCAUCGCACCCUUAUGUGCAAGUUCAGCAGGGGCAAACCAGCUACCCUCAACAUUAUUAUCCUCCGUCAAUUCCUCAGUAUUCUGUGGGCCCACCACAAUAUAAAAUUUUUAAUGCUCAAUCCUAUACUCGACCACCCAAUCAAUAGGUACGGGCACCAGCUCCAAGGAUCCCCUGACCUCAGCAGCAAAAUUUUUGGGCACCCUAUAAUACUCGUCCUAGGAAGGAUUAUGGUCGAGAGUAGAGGCAGAUGGAAAAAUUCACUCCAUUGGCUGAAUCAUACUCUAGUCUAUUCCAGAAGUUGAAGCAAAUGGGUGUGAUUGGACCUAUUGCUCCACACUAUAUGUUUCAAUUUGGCAUGGAAGCGAAGGAAGCAUUUCUUGGGCCAAUUGCCAAGCCCAAAUGCAUCGUGUAGGCAACGGUCUAUUAAAAUUAAUUAUAUUUGGAAGAAUUAACCUAAAUAGCUGUCCACCCUACAAUUUAAACUAAAAAUAGCCAGCGAACAUAUAUUAUAUGUAUAAUUUAUGUAUUAAAUAUGUAUAAUCUAUGUAUAUAGCUAGAAAAAAUAAACAAUUAAUAUGGCCGACUAUUUGUGUAAAAAUCCCAUGAUACAAGCUCAAGUUUCAGUUACGAUAAUCAUCAAUAAAACCAAUUCCAUCUAGAUUCAAACACUACAUCCAGAAGAAAACAAUUCAUGCUUUAAUUCAGAAAAGUAGCCACUCCGUCUUUACACAUCUGAUCACUAAUCCAUGUACCAAAGUUACGUACAAGGCUGUGAGCUUGAUUAAUUACAGACCAGGAUUUAUUCAAUUUCAGGCUCUUCCUAUUGUUCAUAUUUAAACUAAAUUAUGAUCCAACUACUUUCGUUCAUACAUUUGUAAUUACUCAAACGAAGCAAACACAGAGAUUCAUUUUAUUACAUGGAUAACAAUUCACCUAUAAUGGUUAAAUCCUUAAACAUGAGAUAAUUUCCCACUAUCUUGCCAAAGGUGAGUUUUCCUCUCCAGAAUACUUCCUUAGCUAGCUCCAAUGCUUUCUUGUGGAACUACUUUAAAUCUAACAUCCUAGUGUCGGAUUGACAAUAAAUUGUGCAGCAAUGAUUAACAAUUGGCAAAUUAGAUCCAAGCAUGUUCAUUUAUAAUUGUUAAACAAGCAUAUGAAUUCAGCAAGAGGAAACAUCUCAGCUAUUGACAACUAGCAAGUAGAUCCAAGCAUAUUUGAUUGAAGUCAUUGCCUAUCAUGGUAACGACCCAAUCGGUGAUUUUGAGUAUUUGCAUUCCGUUCAAUUGUUUGAAGUCUUGAGUAGCUUGUGUGAAUCGUCGGUAUUUGAUUUUCAGGUGAUUUGGAGUUGAUUUGGAAGAAUGAUUAUCAACUAGGAAGCUUUAUGUUGGAAGAGUUUACCAAGUUUGACUUUUGUGUAUUUGGCCUCCGAUAUGAGUUUUGAUAGUUCUGUUAGGGCCGGAUAGUGAUUUUGGAAUUUGGCAUAUGUCCGGAUUUGCAUUUGGAUAUUUCUAGAAGGUUUAGGCAAUAUUUUGGCGAAAGUUGGAAAUUUGAAGUUUGGAAUGUUCAUAAGUUUGACCGAGAGUUGGCUUUGAUGAUAUCGGGAUCGAAUUAUUGUUCAGAGAGUUGGAAUAGGUCUGUUAUGUCAUUUGAAACUUGUGUGCAAAAUUUGAGGUCAUUUCGGAUUAAUUUAAUAUAAGUCGGCACGAGUUUUUCAAGUUGAAAGUUCAAAAGUUCAUUAAAUUCGAUUUGAAGUGUGAUUCGUGGUUUUGAAGUUGUUAUGUGCGAUUUGAGGCCUCGAGUAAGUCCCUAUUAUAUAUUGGGAUUUGUUGGUAUAUUCGGACGUGGUCCCAAAGAGCUCGGGUGAGUUUCGGACGUGGUUUGGAUCGUUUUGGAUCAUGUUUGUUGAUAUUGGUUUGUGCAGGGACCUGGUGUAACCGUACCUGUGGAGCCGCAGAAGGAACACUUGUAGCGCAGAAGCACAAAUUGGAGUUGGGGGCAGGAGUCUGCAAAUUCAGAGAUUCCUUCGCAGAUGCGAAACUUUGGUCGCAGAACCGAAGGUGGCCCGUUGUCAAGAAGUCGCAGGUGCGAGGAGUUGGGCCGCAUCUGCGGAAGUGCAGAAGCGGUGAGUUGGGGCGCAAAAGCGAGAAUAUUCACAGGAGCGGUUGGUAGCUCGCACCUGCGAUGUCGCAGAAGCGGGUAUAUUUUUUACAGGUGCGAGGGAUCGAAUUUCAGAGAUUCUUCCUCAAAAUCAGAGUUUGGUCGCAAAAUCGACGCCGCAGAAACGACAAUAUUUCCCAGAUGCGAAAAUGCUGGGAAGAUUGUAUUUAUAUUCGAGGGUUGGUUCAUUUUAUCAUAUUUUGGGAUUUAGAGCUCGAUUUUGGGCGGUUUUGGAGAGAAUUUUUAACAUAUGGAUUGGGGUAAGUGUUUUCAACUCGGUUUUGAUUAUAUUUUAUGAAUCAAUCAUCGACUUUGCAGUUUGGAUUAUGAAUUUAAAUGAGAAAUUGGGGUUUUUUGUCUAAGCUUUUUCAAAGUGAAUUUUGAGUUUUGAACAUCGAUUCGGAGUCGGAUUUAAAUAAAAUUAGUAUGGUUAGACAUGUAAUUGAAUGGGUUAUCGAAAUUUGUUAGUUUUAUUGGGUGCCGAGAUGCGGGCAUGGGUUAGACCUUUUGGUUGAUUUGGUGUAAUUGAUUAAAGAUUCGACUUUUAUUAAUUGGGUUUGUCUCUUAUGGCAUUAUUUGAUAUUUUUUAGUUGCUUUUGGCUAGUUUCGAACGGUUCAGGGGUUGAUACGCACAGGAUGGCAUUUCUAGAGUGGUGUUUGGCUUGCUCGAUAUUUGUUUUGGCUUGUUUGAGGUAAGUAUCUUAUCUAUACUUGGUUGAGGCACUAGUUGCCUGAAUUACUUGUGAUAGCUACGUUCUAUGGGUGCCCAUAUGUGUGGGGUUUAAGCCUAUGUGCGAGCACCAGGGUGUUUAUCCAUGCUCGAGGUAGUGCUUAGACUAUGAUAUGCCUAAAAUUGACUUUUAAGCUUUAAGCUAUAAUAUUUCUCAUAUUUAUAACACUAUUGUGAACUAUUUGAGCCAUGUUUGAGACUACGAAGAGGCUAAUUCCCUGAAUAAAUUUCCUAUUUGUUAUUUUUGUGAUGAAAUUGUCGAUUUGAGCUAUGAUAGCACACUUUGCAUAUGCCUACAAUUUUGUUACAUCUCGUAUUUUAGUACGUUAAAGUUUCGUCUUCAGAUUAAUCGACGUAGACGCGGGGAUGAGAUUAUCUCGAGGUUCACGUAUUUAUGCUAUUUAUAAUAAGCGAUAAGUAAGUGCCAUGAAGGAUAAAGGGUACACGAAUUAAAGAAAAUGAGUUUCGUUGAAAGUUGUCGAUUUGAGAUAAAAUACGGUCCGAGCUAUACCCGAUAUUUAUGGACUAGUACCAUACAAGAUACCAUAUGACCAUGAUAAGUAUGAUGUAUAAAGUAUAUUAAAAAUAAGUAUUAUUUUAAGUAAUUUGAGAUAAUUCUUAAUUAUGUGGAUAAUUGAUUAAUUUUCGGGUAAUGGGACUUUACCUAAUUAACUAAUGAGUUUGGGAUAAGAUUAAAACUCCACCCCACCCACACGUGGCAGCAAGCCACUAACAAAAUAAAUGACUCUUAGUCAUAUUAGAUAAGGUGGCAACCCAAUUCCAAGACAAGCUAUGUAAUUAGAAAAGCUACAAAUCUUUUAAUAACUAAAAUACUUAUCUACCAACAUUUUUUAAAGAGUAGAAAUCUUUUAUCUUCCAACAUUUUGAAAGAAUAGGAAGGGCUCUACGUAAGGCAAUCUGAAACUACAAUCUGAAGCUAACGUAAGAGACAACUGGCAGUUAAAGUAGAAAGGUACGGAUCUUCAAUAAAUCAAACAGAGAUUUUGCAAUUUUAAGGGAGUACGGUGUAAUCCUUCUCAAGAAUAUCAUACGGAGUUUUCCCUACUUCAGGUAUGUUAAGGCUAAUCCUUCUUUCUUUUGGCAUGAUCCAAGUAACGAUGCAUACAUGAUAUUUCAUAAAUGGUUCUACUCUCAACAGUUAAGGAUGUCUAUGUUAUUCAUUCUUGUAAAGUGAUAUUCAAGCAUAUCUAAGUAUGCAUGUAGUUCCCUAUUGAGGUAUUUGAUAAAGAUGUUAAUAUUCAUAAUGGUAUUAUAUGCAUUAUUAUUUACCACCGGGAUAUGGCCAGUUGGGUAGUUACAUAUUUACUACCGAGCUACGACCGGUCGGGCAGUCAUGCAUUUACCAUCGAGCUAUGGCCAGUAGGGCGAUUACAUACUUACCACUGAGCUACUGCCGGUCGGGCAGUUACCACUUAUCAGUUGGGCAGUUAACGUCAUGAGAAUGAUGUAAUCAGAAUUAUUAUAUUGUAGUUUUAUUUAUAUAUACUAGAUGGGUCUUAUUCUAUAAGUUAUGGCCCUUAACGGAAAGUCAGAGGUUUUAAGUUGACUUUUAUCCCUCCCCGAGAUAGUAUCUUAUUACUACGUUUCAUUUCUGCCUUACAUACUCGGUACAUUCUUUGUACUGACGUCCCUUUUCCUGGGGCACUGUGUUUCAUGCCACGCAGGUGUAGAUAAGUGAGGUGAGGACCAUCCACUGUAGGCUGCCUCCAAAUAUCAGCUUUUGGUUGGUGAGCUCCACAUCUUCCUGGAGUAUUGCCGAGUCAGGUUCUAUAUAUGUUAUUUUGUUUUAUGAGGAUGUCGAGAACCUUGUCUCGACUUAUAUAUUAUGGUCAAGUUUUCUUAAAGGUUUUGCAGACAGUGUCUUGUUUAUAAUUUUAGGUAUGACAUGUCAACGGCCUUGUCGGCCCCUAUGUAUCUAUAUAAAUUAUUUUUUUGAAUUAGCUAUGUGAGUUAAGUACUAAUAUUGUCAAUUUUAUAUAUAUAUAUAUAUAUAUAUAUAUAUAUAUAUGUGUGUGUGUGUGUGUGUGUGUGGUGGGGGGGGUGGGUCUAUCAUGGACCGUGACGGGUCUUAUAGAAAUAAAAAAGGGAUAAGGUAUGUGGCGCUCAGUUGAGUAGGCACCGGGUACCAGUCGUGACCCUCUGAUUUGGGUCGUGACAAAAGUGGUGUCAGAGCAGUUCUGUCCUAGGGUUGUUUGGAAGCGGUGUCUAGUAGAGUCAUGUUUAUGAAUGUGUUGUGCACCGCGUUGUAUAAACAGGAAUCUAUUAGGAAUUUAGGGAUUGGUUACCCUUCCUUCUUGAUAUUAGAUCGUGAAAUAUAGCACGUCAUAGGGAAUAAAGCCCAUGACCUUUGACUUGUUUUAUAUAUACAACGAUUCCUAUGACCAGGAAAGCUACGGCUAGUGAUAAGGGUAAAGCAGUGGCAUAUGUGGGUAUGAGUAGAGUACCAAUGUCUAGUGAGGGCCAUAGUGAGGCCCCGAGGGGAAAUACGACACCCUCGUAUAGUUCUCCGAUUUCGCCAGCACCCGAGGAGAUGAGGAGGAACCCAGUACCUCCACCUAUUGUUCAAGAUAAGGAUAUGGAUAUGCGGAGUGCAGUACGGUUGUUGACUAGAUUGGUAGCCGCUCAGGCUCAGCGCCAGGUAAGUACAGGUGUUGGUCACAUUGACAGGAUUAUUAGCGCGAGAGUUCGAGACUUCAUCAACCUGGACCCUAAAGUAUUUACCGGAUCCAACAAGGAUGAGGACCCGCAAAACUUUAUUGAUAGGAUUUAGAGGACUUUGAGGGUGAUGCAUGCAUCAGACAUUAAGUCAGUAGAGUUGACCUCUUACCGAUUGCGGGAUGUUGCGGUUCAGUGGUAUGAAACUGUAGAAUUGUCUAGAGGGACAAAUGCUUCUCCAGCGGUAUGGGAAGAGUUCUCAGUGGUUUUGUUGCGUCAUUACUUGCUGGUGGGGAUUCGUCAGGCAAGGGUAGACAGGUUCUUGGCUCUUAAACAAGGGAAUAUGAGUGUGCGGGAGUAUAGUCUCCAGUUUGAUUCCUUGGCGAGGUAUGCCCCCUNNNNNNNNNNNNNNNNNNNNNNNNNNNNNNNNNNNNNNNNNNNNNNNNNNNNNNNNNNNNNNNNNNNNNNNNNNNNNNNNNNNNNNNNNNNNNNNNNNNNNNNNNNNNNNNNNNNNNNNNNNNNNNNNNNNNNNNNNNNNNNNNNNNNNNNNNNNNNNNNNNNNNNNNNNNNNNNNNNNNNNNNNNNNNNNNNNNNNNNNNNNNNNNNNNNNNNNNNNNNNNNNNNNNNNNNNNNNNNNNNNNNNNNNNNNNNNNNNNNNNNNNNNNNNNNNNNNNNNNNNNNNNNNNNNNNNNNNNNNNNNNNNNNNNNNNNNNNNNNNNNNNNNNNNNNNNNNNNNNNNNNNNNNNNNNNNNNNNNNNNNNNNNNNNNNNNNNNNNNNNNNNNNNNNNNNNNNNNNNNNNNNNNNNNNNNNNNNNNNNNNNNNNNNNNNNNNNNNNNNNNNNNNNNNNNNNNNNNNNNNNNNNNNNNNNNNNNNNNNNNNNNNNNNNNNNNNNNNNNNNNNNNNNNNNNNNNNNNNNNNNNNNNNNNNNNNNNNNNNNNNNNNNNNNNNNNNNNNNNNNNNNNNNNNNNNNNNNNNNNNNNNNNNNNNNNNNNNNNNNNNNNNNNNNNNNNNNNNNNNNNNNNNNNNNNNNNNNNNNNNNNNNNNNNNNNNNNNNNNNNNNNNNNNNNNNNNNNNNNNNNNNNNNNNNNNNGGGAUUCGUCAGGCAAGGGUAGACAGGUUCUUGGCUCUUAAACAAGGGAAUAUGAGUGUGCGGGAGUAUAGUCUCCAGUUUGAUUCCUUGGCGAGGUAUGCCCCCUCGAUUGUGGCUGAAAGGAGUGACCCAGUGCAUCGGUUUGUGGUAGGACUUGGGCCGCACCUGAUUAAUGAGUGUUUCACGGCCGCUCUACUCGAUAGUAUGGAUAUUUCCCGCAUCCAAGCUUAUGCUCAAAAUUUGGAGGAUAGAAAACGACAGCAAUACGAGAAUCGUGAUAAGGGUCAGUGUAAGAAGUCUAGGUCUGCUAGGCAACCUGAGGAUUUUCCGGACGAUCCUAUGUCACCAUAUCCUGUAGAAAGUGUCCGACAAUUGCAGAAGCCAUAUUAUGAGGGAUCUGUCUAUUCUGAAUCAGGCGAAGGCUCGAGAAUUUUUGGUUUUCAGAAACGGAGGGAUUCAGCACAGAUGCGGCCGCCUCGUCCGCGGUGCAGUCAAUGCUAUAGAGCUCAUUCUGGACAAUGUCGUCAGGGAUCUAAUGUAUGCUAUACCUGUGGAGACCCUAGUCAUUACAUGAGGGAAUGUCCUAUGAAUGACAAAAGCGGGAUGGUUCAGCCUACCAGAUCUAUAACAGUCUCCUCCUCUUCAGUACGCCCUCAAGAACGAGGCCCUCAGGCAUCCGCUGGUAGAGGUAGAGGCAAGAGUGGAGCAUCUAGCUCCGGCGGUAGUCAUAAUCGCAUAUAUGCUUAGGCAGGUCAUCAGGACCCAGAGGCUACACCGGAUGAUGUGUCAGGUACUGUGACUAUGGGUAAUGUUCGAUCUUAUUAAUGCAAAUUGCCCAGUUAAUAUGAUUAAUAUAAGAGUGAGUUGGCAUUACGUCUGAAGGGUUAAGGGAAACCAAGGCUAGCUUGAAAGCAAAGUAAGAACCCGAGGAUAGUGGACUAAGGUAUAAAAGGGGAGUAACCUAGAACAUUAAGAAGUUAGAACCCUGAUAGCUGUAACGCCCAAGGGAGGAAACAACAUAUAGUACGCAAGAUUUUGGGAAAGUUAGUAUAAUGGAAUAAAAAGUUCUGAACCCGGUUAUUAAUAUUACAACUAGUAAGUGUCAGCGCCUAGAAGAUAGAUUAACAGAGUCGUAGGUAACGAAUGGCUUAGGAAGUAGUUUUAGGGAGGGACGACGUCCUGACCCCGUGAGAGCCUGAUAUUUGUUUCAUUGGAGUAUAGCCCGGGAAUAUAUAUAUAUUUAUAAUUAAUGAGUAUGUAUGUACAUCUUUCAAGUUUAAACAUUCGAGGACGAAUGUUUCUAAGGGGGGAAGGAUGUUACAUCUCGCGUUUUCGUACGUUAAAAUUUCGUCUUCGGAUUAAUCGACAUAGACGCAGGGAUGAGAUUAUCUUGAGGUUAUCGUAUUUAUGAUAUUUAUAAUAAGUGAUAAGUAAGUGCCAUGAAGGAUAAAGGGUACAUGAAUCAAAGAAAAUGAGUUUCGUUGAAGGUUGUCGAUUUGGGAUAAAACACGGUCUGAGCUAUAAUACCCAAUAUUUAUGGACUAGUACCAUACAAGGUACCAUAUGACCAUGAUAAGUAUGAUGUAUAAAGUAUAUUAAAAAUAAGUAGUAUUUUAAGUAAUUUGAGAUAAUUGUUAAUUAUAUGGGUAAUUGAUUAAUUAUCGGAUAACGGGACAUUACCUAAUUAACUAAUGCAUUUGGGAUAAGAUUAAAACCUCACCCCCACGUGGCAGCAAGCCACUAACAAAAUAAAUGACUCUUAGUCAUAUUAGAUUAGGUGGCAACCCAAUUCCAAGACAAGCCAUGUAAUUAGAAAAGCUACGAAUCUUUUAAUAACUAAAAUACUUAUCUUCCAAUAUUUUUUAAAGAGUAGAAAUCUUUAAUCUUCCAACAUUUUAAAAAAAUAGGAAGGGCUCAUAUGAAGCUACAAUCUGAAGCUAACGUAUGAGACAACCAGCAGUUAACGUUGUCAAGCACGUAUCUUCAAUAAAUUAAACGGAGAUUUUGCAAUUUUAAGGGAGUAUAGUGUAAUCCUUCUCAAGAAUAUCAUACGGAUUUUUCUCUACUCCAGGUAUGUUAAGGCUAAUCCUUCUUUCUUUUGGCAUGAUCCAAGUAACGAUGCGUACACGAUAUUUCAUAAGUGGUUCUACUCUUAGCAGUUAAGAUGUCUAUGUUAUUCAUUCCCGUAAAGUGAUAUUCAAGCAUGUCUAAGUAUAUAUCUAGUUCCUUAUUGAAGUAUUUGAUAAAGAUGUUAAUAUUUAUAAUGGUAUUAUAUGCAUCAUUAUUUACCACCGAGUUACGGCCGGUUGGGCAGUUACAUACUUACCACCGAGCUAUGGCCUGUUGGGAAGUCAUGUAUUUACCACCACGCUAGAUCGGUCAGGUAGUUACCACUGAUCAGUUGAGCAGUUAACGCCACGAGAAUAAUGUAAUUAGAAUUAUUAUAUUGUGUUUUUAUUUAUAUAUACUAGAUGGGUCUUAUUCUAUAAGUUAUGGCCCUCAACGGCAAGUCAGAGGUUAUAAGUUGACUCUUAUCCCUCCCCGAGAUAGUAUCUUAUUACUACGUUUCAUUUCUGCCAUACAUACUUGGUAAAUUCUUUGUACUGAUGUCCCUUUACCUGGGGCGCUGUGUUUUAUGCAACGCAGGUGUAGAUAGGCGAGGUGAGGACCAUCCAUUAUAGGCUGCCUCCAGAUAUCAGCUUUUGGUUGGUGAGCUCCAUAUCUUCCUGGAGUAUUGCCGAGUCACGUUUUAUAUAUGUUAUUUUGUUUUAUGAGGAUGUCGGGAACCCUGUCCCGACUUAUAUAUUAUGGUCAUGUUUUCUUAGAAGUUUUGUAGACAGUGUCCUGUGUAUUGUUUUAGGUAUGACAUGUCAACGGCCUUGUCGGCCCCUAUGUAUUUAUAUAAAUCUUUUUUUUUGAAUUAGUUAUGUGAGUUAUGUUUUAAUAUUGUCAAUUAUAUAUAUAUAGAUGUGGCCUAUCAUGGCCCGUGACUGGUCUUAUAGAAAAUAAAAAGUGAUAAGGUGUGUGGCGCUCAGUUGAGUAGGCAUCAGGUGCCAGUCGUGGCCCUCUGAUUUGGGUCGUGACAACUUUAGCAUGUUAUUAUACCAGUCCAGGAGCAGAAAAUCGAUAUGUAUUCUUGUAUACUUGCUUCUGUGUAAUUUGAUUUAGAGUGGAUGCCUAAGACCACACCUGGCAGUUUAUAUUGUUAUGAUGUGACCACACCAGGCGGAUUGUAUUGUUAUGCCUUUGAUCACGCCGGGUAUAUUGUGUUGUAAUACGUGUGACCACGUCGGGGGGAUUAUGUUGAUAUGACUAUGACCACGUUGGGCGGAUUGUGACAUAGCAUGUAACCAUGCCAGACGGAUUAUGAUAUUGAGCAUGUGACCACAGUGGGUGGAUUAUGAUAUUGAGUCUAUGACCACGCCAGGCUGGUAGCAUGUGGAUAAGGAUAUAUCCCUUUAGUGUCACCCUCUCACGUUUCUCUCUUAAUGGUGUACAUGCGGAUUGUGAGAAAUCGAUGGCUUUCUGGUUGAUGUAAACUCCGGGAUAGCUGGUUACUGUAUUUGGAUCGGGUUGCAAGCCGCAACAGGCCUUAUUGGUUUAUUGUUAUUGGUCAGGUUGCGCACCGCAACAGACAGAUAUUUGGUUAUUGUAUUUCAUCUUUACUUAUAAUUUCCUUGACUCUUUUUCCUGAUUUACUUGCAUAUCUUCUUUAUAUGUAGGAUUGUUGAAUGAGUAGAACACUUUAAAACAAAGAAUUGUGAGCAUCUGAGUGGUUUUACCUGAGAUUUCCUGAUUUGAUCUUAUAUUUGUUCUAUACUUGUUGAAAUUAUGACUUGUACAGGUGUUGGUAAGUAUCAUGUAUAGUUCUUGCUUCUUUUACCUCGUUGAGGUUAGUUAGGAUACUUAUUGAGUACAUGGUGUCAGUUAUACUCAUACUACAUAUGCACAUUGCGUGUAGAUCUUGGAGUUGUUGAUGAUAUGUAUGGUGGGAGUUGACAUUAAAGUUGUACCUGUAUUCCAAUUGUGGCUAUCACUUGUCCUUGGUAGAUUUAGAUUCAAAUUAUGUUCAUGUACAUUCCAAACAGAUAUUGUGAUUAUUUCAAUUCAGGUUUUUAAAUUGAAGCCUUAGUGGCUCAUGACUUGUACUACUAGUUUUUGGGUUGUUAUAUGAAAGUUCAGUUAUCUCAUCAUUUAUUUCUCAUUAAUCUCAUUUGGAAUAUGUUAAUUGUUAGCUGGCUUACCUAGCAUGUAGGGUUAGGUGCCAUCAUGACUAGUGGAUUUUGGGUUGUGACAAGUUGGUAUCAGAGUUCAUGGUUUAUAGGUUCGAUUAGUCAUAAGCAAGUGUCUAGUAGAGUCUUGCGGAUCGGCAUGAUGAUGUCCAUACCUAUCUUCAAGAGGCUACAGAGCAUCUAGGAUAAACUUCCCAUCUUUCAUUCCUUAUCGUGCGACAUUGAUUCAGCUUGAAUCGUAUCUCUUUGAAUUCCUUCCAUUCAUUCGUAUGGUAUGUGAGCGCUCGGUAUAGGCUGUGCAUCGAUGACUUGUGGUUCUAUGGAUGAGAUAUAUUUGCUAUAUUUUGGUUAUGGUCCAGUCUGGAGGACUUGAUGUUGGGUUUUGACUGCAACUUGGUCUCGGUUGUUGCAAUUGUGCGAGUAUGCGCUUGUUGGACUCAUAUGUCCAGUGGUGUCCUAAAAGUGGGAUUUACGACUCGAUGAGUAGUUUAGUAGCUAUAUAACGUGUAUAAUGUGACUGCGAGGUGAUUUUAGGUGGUUUUUAUAUGAUGAGAAGGGUUGCUUUUGGAAUGCAAAAAGGACUAUUGGGUGCUUGAAUUUAAUCUUGAAUUGUUUUACAGUCUCGAGUUCUGAGCUUGUUGAGGGAUCUUCAUAUUGUUCGUUUAUAGGAUGAAGUAGAUUCUUAUGUCUUGUUGACUAUUUCAGAAUCGGGAAGAUUUAGUGAUUGCAUAGUGGUUGUGGACAUGAAAGGGCAUAGAGAAAUGCAAGUUUGAGACUAAGCAGGUGGGUUAUCUCCUGCGUGAUAUUCUAAGUCUAUGUGAUCCUUAUGAUGUUAUGUGAAGAGUUUUCUUUCAAUCAGUGGGUUAUAUGCAUUGCAAUUUGAGUAUGGAUUGCUUGAGUAAGUUGUCUUGAUUGUCAUGAGGAUGAAUAUAAGCUUAUCUGAUGAGUUGAGGUAUUAUAUGAUUAGUGAUAUAUGAUUUCAUGAAGGAUUUAGCUGAGUUUUGGUGCGAGAUUGUGGUAUUCGUGAAGCAAAAGUUAUUGUGGUUAUCAGAUGUUUUGUUCUUGGCUUCGAGCCAAGUAGAGGAGCAUGCUAUCAACGAUCAGAUUGCAUAGUUAUGUGUUGUAUUGGUUUCCAUCUGAGGUAUGUUUGUGAAUCAGUUAUGAUUUACAGAGGUUGGGAUCGAAUAUGUCUCGAGUAAGAAAUUUUUUGGAUAAAUGAUAUAUUACACUUUAUGGAUAUAUGGAAAUCAUGGAAUGGUUUGAAUUGGUUUCUUGAAUGAUGUAGUGUUCGUGGAGUAGAGCUUCACUCAGUUUGUUAAAAUGAGGUUACUUCUUUGAGUGUGGAAGACAUGAUGAGGCACAGAUCAUUAGCUUGUUUGGGCGGUGCAUGUGAGAUUAGAAUAGGGUGGAUGACUCUCGAGAAGGUUCUAAUGGGUUCAAGGUUUGCAUUUGGUAUUUGAAGAAUUUCCGAAUUUGUGAGUGGCUAAGACCUAAGAUUUGCAUCGGAGGAUGUUGGGACUCGCAGUAUUUCUAUAUCAUUAUGGAUUCUAGAUUUCAGUAUCAUAAAGGUAAAGGAAACAGUUUUAGAUUCACAUAAGGUCUCUUCAUAGUGGGUAUCUCGGAUACGGUUUUCUAAGUGUUAAAUUGGGAAUACAACGCCUUAUGGGCCUUAGGGUGAUGUGGUUAUAUACUAGGAUCUCUCGUGGUGGGCGUUGAGUUAAGGGUCAUAGUGUUGGCAAAGAAAAGUGUUAGCUUAAAGGAAAUUCAGAAGAAACUAGGAGGAAAUAGAACAGCUUGGUAGAAAGUUGGAUCAGUAUGGUAAUUGUAUGCUUGGUUCUUUUGGUUCUUACGAUGUGAUGAGGCUUUACAAGUGUUUUGUGGCAAUACUCUUGGGUUUGGUGACUUGAGUGACUUGGUUGAGUUAGAGGGAUUUAGUUCUGAUGGCUUGGUUAUGUGCAUAUGGCUUUCGUAGAGUUCUCGAUGAUUUCUAUCAUGGUUUGAGAUGGAUAUUUUAUACCGGCAUGAUGAGUAUGUUGCGGAUUAUGAUUUUCUCCUAGAUGGGAUCAAGUGGAAGGUUUACGACUGAUUAAUUAUGUAUUCUACUUAUGACUUAGAGUUGAUAAUGAUGUUCUCGUAUUUUCAUAUGAUGGCAUGACAGACACAGUGCGUUGUGUGAGAUUGAGAUUUGCAUGUGCAAGUAUACGGUUCAGUUUCAAAAGGAAGGUUAUGGUGUUCUAGACGGCAUUGACAGUUUCAGAUAUUUAGAGGAAUGCUAGCACUAUUUGGUAUCACAUGAGAAGACUAUUUGCAUUUUAGAAGGCGCCUUGUAUUUUGACUUACGGAUAUUCCAUGGUAUUGCGGUACUCGCAUGGUUGAUCGACUACUGAUAUUCGGAUUUAUCUAUGUAGACGGAAGAAUUAUGGAAGUAUUUCUCAUGGAACGAUUUUAUAUGAAGGAUGUGUUAGUCAUUUGAGUGGUGGAGAUAGGAUCAGAUCUGGUGAUUCUUUUGUAUUCUUGUGGUUUGGAGACUGGGAGUCUCAUAGGUAGAUUGUUUCAUGGUUGCGGAUUGCAAAGAUAUGGCCAAGUUGGCCAGCUGUAAGUAUGUGUUAUGGUUAGAUUAUUGUGGACUUUUAGAGGGCUAUUUAUCUAUUUGAGUAUUUUUGAAAUCGAUUUAAAGGCUACUAGUAGGCCUAAUGAGGAUGUGUAUUCUACAUCGGGUCAUAUUUGUUGACUCAGCACGGCUAUUAUUGAGGGGUGUGUCACUCGGUUAAAGUUAAGCUUGUUCGUGUUAUGAGAUGAUAUAUGUGUUACUCUUCUCUGAUACGUUGGGUUGUGAUUUGUUGGUUAUUUGAACGCAUGAUGUGAUUUUGUUUGGGUCUUGUGGCGGAAUUCGAGCGAGAUGGUACUUGGGAUAUCGAAUGGUUGAUUGCACCUUGGUUAUGGUCUUUCUUGUUGGUGGUAUAUUGUGCUAGUCAUUCCUCUGUGGUUACGUUCAUGUCCUUCAUGUGUUUGUUGUUGAUUUGCAUAGGGUUGUGGAUUUGAGCAUUUUGGUUUGACGUAUUUCAAGUGGACCGAUGUUUGGAUUGGGUCACGCACUGUGACAGAGUCAUGUUGGGAUAUGAUUCUCUGUGUGAGGCUCAUUUCUUUUAGUGCUACUAUGUAUGAUGGGUUCAUAGCAUUGUGCUUGUGGCGGUAUCCGUUGAGCUUGUGGGACGGCUCUUUUAAUUGAUUCUCUUUCCAUUACUGGGAGCAUUUAAGUUGUUGCUCGUUUGGUGCAUUGAUUGUACGGUAUGUGCCUUGAGAUGGAAUUGGUGUGGCAUGUUAGUAGAGUAACUGUAUUUGAUAGGAUAAGGUCAUCCGACCUGGAAUAAGUAUUGUCGGAUUUGAUUAUGGUAUGUUUGAUAGAAUAAUGUCACUAAUCAGCUUAGAAUGUGACUAUGGUUCUUGUCGGGCUAGAGCGCUCCAUGACUGGUUGAUCUGAUGAGUGAUUAUGAGUUUCUGCGUGUUUUAUUCACCAUUUGGAAGUAUACGAAGGUUUCGGACACGGUUUUAGUUUAUAUGAUGCUUGUUACUAGUAUCAGGUUUGUUUUUGGGAAGUUAAUGCGGUCGGAAAUUAUUUUGGUGAGUAUCUGAGUUAUAUGGUAUAUCAUGUGAUUACAUCUUGGGUUAUGGUUAUGGCUUGGUACAGCUUGUUCAGACUUAUAAAGUGUGUGAAUGCGAAGAUCGGGUCUUGUAAUGGAUUUCGGAUGUUGGAGAUUUGAUUCCAAGGUUUAUGGGAUAAAGUUGGACAAAGGAUCUUCAGUUAGGUUGUGGUGGCAGGCUUAUAUUAUUAGGGUGACGUGGGAUCACCCACGGGCAUAUGCAUGUUGAGGUUACACAGUGAAGUGAUGGCUUUGGAACGACUCUUCACACGUUUGAGGACGAACAUAUGUUUAAGUGGGGUAAAAUGUAACGACCCAACCGGUCAUUUUGAGCAACUGUAUUCCGUUCAGCUGUUUGAAGUCUUGAUUAGCUUCAUAUGAUGUAUUAUGACUUGUGUGAAUCGUCGGUUUUGGUUUUCAGGUGAUUCAGAAUUGAUUUGGAAGAAUGAUUCUCAACUAGGAAGCUUUAAGUUGGAAGUGUUGAUCAAGUUUGAAUUUUAUGUAUUUGGCCUCGGAUCGGAGUUUUGAUGAUUUUGUUAAGAUCGUAUAGUGAUUUUGGACUUGGGAGUAUGCCCGGAUUUGCAUUUGGAUAUUUCUAGAAGGUUUUGGCACUAUUUUACUGAAAGUUAGAAUUUUGAAGGUUUGGAAUGUUCAUAAGUUUGACCGAGAGUUGACUUUGAUUAUAUCAUAUUCUAAUUAUAGUUUCGGGGGUUGGAAUAGGUUCGUUAUGUCAUUUGGAACCUUUUGUAAAAAAAUUGAGAUCAUUCUGGGUUGAUUUGAUAUGGUUCGACACGAGUUUUGGAAGUUAAAAGUUCAAAAAUUCAUUAGGUUCGAUUUGAGGUGUGAUUCGUGGUUUUUAUGUUGUUAUGUGUGAUUUGAGGUCUCGAGUAGGUCCGUGUUAUGUUUUGGGACUUGUUUGUAUAUUUGGAAGGGGUCCCGAGGGGAUCAGGUGAGUUUCAGACAUGGCUGAGAUCAUUUUGGAUCAUGUUGGUUGAUGUUUGUUUGUGUAGGGACCUAGUGUAACCGCACCUGCGGAGCCUUGGGCACAGGUACGGAGCCGCAGAAGGGACACUUGUAGUGCAGAAGUGCAAAUUGGAGCCGGGGACAGGAGUCUACAAAUGCAGAGAUUCCAUCACAUAAGCGAAGGCGCAGACGCGAAACUGUGGUCGUAGAAGCGAAGGUGGCCCGUUGUCGAGAAGUCACGGGUGCGGGGAGCUGGGUCGCAUCUACGGAAGCACAGAAACGGUGAGUUGGGGUGCAGAAGCGAGAAUCUUCACAUAAACGGUAGGUGGCUCGUACCUGCGAUAUCACAGAAGCGUGUAUAUUUUCACAGGCGCGAGGGGUCGAAUUUCAGAGAUUUUUCCACAAAAGUGGAGUUUGGUCGCAAUAGUGACGCCGCAUAAGCGGCCAAUAUUUCACAGAUGCGAAAAUUCUUGGCAGAUUGUAUUUAUAUUCAAGGGUUGAAUCAUUUGAUCACAUUUCGGGAUUUAGAGCUCGAAUUUGGGCGACUAUGAAGGGGAUUUUCACCAUAUGGAUUGGGGUAAGUAUUUUUAACUCGGUUUUGUUAAUAUUUCAUGAAUCUAUCUUCAAUUUUAGCAUUUGGAUUAUGAAUUUUAAAGAGAAAUUAGGGGUUUUUAUCUAAACUUUCCCAAAGUGAAAUUUUGAAUUUUGAACAUUGAUUCGGUGUCAGAUUUGAGUGAAAUUAGUAUGGUUUGACUUAUAAUUGAAUUAUUUGUCGGAAUUUGUAAGUUUUACGGGGUUCCGAGGUGCGGGCCCUAGUUUGACUUUUUGGUUGACUUUGUGUAAUUGAUUAAUGAUUCAACCUUUAUCGAAUGGGUUUGUCUCCUAUGGUAUUAUUUGAUGUUUUUGAGUUGCUUUUGUCUAGUUUCGCGCUGUUGAGAGGUUGAUACGUGCGGGAUGGCAUUUCUAGAGAGGUGUUUGGCUUGCUCGGUAUUUGUUUUUGCUUGUUUGAGGUAACAAUCUUAGCAAAAUUUGGUCGAGGCACUAGUUUCCUGAAUUAUUUGUGAUAGCUAUGUGCUAUGGGUGCGCAUAUGUGUGGAGUUUGAGCCUACGGACCAAUGAAGACACCAUGCCCAUUGUGUUUACCGAAUCUGAGAGUCCGAGCAUACAAGUCAUGGAUCAAGACAUUGCACGACGAAUCGAGGACGACGUGGGACACAGCUGCAACAUUUGGUUCACCCCACACGUGGAAUGUGAGAGGCAAAAGGCAACCGAUUAUGCUAGAUAAUGCCUGGGCAUUAGGUAUGGAACACAGAAAAUCGACGCUGAACAAGCCUAAUUUGCGCUUGUUCCAUGACUGAGAUGGCAUGCGGGCUAGGACGUCGCGGUACAAGCAGGGAUCCAACCCAUUCACAUAAGCCGAACACCACUCAUGUGUCGCACGUUGACUUUCCUCGCCGAUGCAUGCCGAUAACAGCCCCAACAUGUGACGCACAACCAUGUGUUGUUGCCAAUGCCAACAUAGCAAAGCCAAAACAAGCCCCGUCAGGCACGAACAGGGGGUUGGAGUGUAGAAACGAAGAAGGUGCCACAAGUUAAAGACACAGACACAACCCACAACAACCGAUGGACUUCGGCGGGUACUGAACUUAGCCCCAUGUGCACGGCACCUUGUGGCGCUACUUGCACGAGGCCUCUCCAUUCCGUUGCCAAAAGCCAUCAACUGCCACAAGCGAUGUCGCCACCCGAUAUUGCCCACAAUAACCGAUGGCAUUCGGCAUGUACUAAGCUUAACACAUGCGCAUGGCACCUUGCAGCGCUACUUGCACGACGCUUCAUCAUUUCGUUGCCAAAAGCCAUCAUCCACCACGAGUGAUGCCAUACUCAAUACACAACAAUCGAUGGCCUUCAGCAUGUACUGAGUUUAGCCUCAUGCACACAGUACCUUGCAUCGCUACUUGCACGAGGCCUCAUCGUUUUGUUGCCAAAAACCAUCAGCUUCCACGAGCGAUGCCGCCACCCGAUAUUGCCCACAACAACCGAUGGCAUUUGGCAUGUACUGAGCUUAAAACAUGUGCAUGUCACCUUGUAGCACUACUUGCACGACACUUUGUCGUUCCUUUUCCAAAAGCCAACAGCCGCUACGAGCGAUGCCAUACUCAAUCCACAACAACCGAUGGCCUUCAUCAUGUACUGAGCUUAACCCCAUGCGCACGGCACCUUGCGAUUCUACUUGCACGAGGCCUCAUCAUUCCAUUUCCAAAAGCCAUUAGCUGCUAUGAGUGAUGCCGCCACCCGAUGUUGCCCACAACAACCUAUGGAAUUCGGCAUGUACUGAGAUUAGCCCCAUGCGCAUGGCGUUAAGCUCAGUACAUGCUCCAUGUCCUGCCAUUUCCUGCCAAGUCCACGCCCUGCUAUGUCCUGUGUCGGGCCAUAUCCAUGCCCUGCCAUGUCCUGCGUCGUGCCAUGGCCAUGUCUUGCCACGUACGACGUCGUUCCAUGGACAUGCCCUGCCACAUCCUACGUCGUUCCAUGGUCGCGUCUGAUGGCGAGCCAUGUCCUGCGUCGGGCUAUGACCAUGUACUGCCACGUCCGUCGCCAUGCCAUGGCUAGGACCUACCAUGUCCUACAUUGUGCCAUGGCCAUGUCCUGUCGCAUCCGACGCCGUCCCAUGGCCAUGCCGCCCUGCAUAGUCCGACAUUGGGCUAUGGCCACGCUAUACCAUUUCAUGUCAUAUCCUACGUCGUGCGUUAGGCAUGUCCUUCCACGUUCGACAUCGCGCCAUGGCAACAUCCGACCAUGCCCUAAUAUGUCAUCGUGCCAUGUCCAUGUCCUUACAUGUCCGAUAUCGUGACAUGGCCAUGUCUUUCCAUGGCCGUAUCCGACGUCGUGCCAUGGCCACGUUUGACAUCGUGCCAUAUCCACGUCCGACAUCGGGCCAUGGACACGCCCUGCCAUGUAUUUCCAUUUCCUGCAUCAUGCCAUGGCCAAGUCCUGCCAUGGCCGCGUCGGACGUCGUGCCAUGGCCACACCCUGCCACGUUCGACGCCGUGUCAUGGCCACGUCUAACAUUAGGACAUGGCCAUGCCCUGCCAUGUCCUGCAUCAUGCCAUGUCCAUGUCUUGCCAUGGUCGCGUCCGACAUCGGGCCAUGGCCACAUCCGACGUCGGGCAAGGGCCAUGCCUUGCCAUGUUCUGCGUCAUUCUAUGGGCAUGUCCUUCUGCGUCUGACAUCAAGCCAUGGCCACGCCCUACUAUGUCCUGCCAUAUCAUGCGUCGUGCCAUGUCCAUGUCCUACCAUAUCCAACGUCGUGCUAUGGCCACAUCCGACCAUGUUAAAAUUCCUGAACCGGGACGUGGCAGUUGACGGCAACGUUAGGAAGUCCGGAGACAUCAUCGGGGGCCUCGGGAAGAGUUUUCUUUACUGUUUAACAGCCUGCCUACCCUGGAAAUGACUCAGUCGGAGUUGUUGCUACAGACUUAUGGGUAGGCCGGUACCCUGUUCCAUUUGAUGUCAAAUAGUCUUAGAAUCUUUGUAGACAGAGGUUCAUUUUGUACAGUAUGUCAGAGGCCUUGAUGGCCGAUAUGUAUUCAUGUUUUAAGAACGAUAGUUCAUUGAUUAGUGUUUGCUCACUUAUAGUUAUACAUUACGAGUUGUGGACAUGUUGACCCAAUAUAUUUACAAAAGAAAAGUUACAGAGUGGUUCGCUCGGGCCAGUACGCCAUUGUCAGCCAUGCCUCCCCGGGUUGGGGCAUGACAAAGUGGUAUCAGAGCAAGUCAUGUCCUAGGGAGUCUACAAAGUCGUGCCUAGUAGAGUCUCACUUAUGGGUAUGUUGCGUGCCACAUUUAUAAUCGAGAUGCUAUAGGGCAUUUAGGAAAUGUUACCCUUCUUUUGUUUUCAGAUCGUGCCAUAAAGCUAAGUCAUAAUAAUUCAUUAUAAAGCUUCCACCGAAUUUUGUAUGCACCAGAAAUGCUAUCACAAUAGAGCUUUAACGCGUAGAUAUAAUUUCUACCUAUGUGGAAGGGAGGUUAUGAAAGCGACAGAAGAUACGAUGCGAGAUUGAAAAGUGAGUAAGGUAAAGGUGAAGAAGAUACGAGAUACUCAAGUACAAAAGGUUGUGAAUAGUCCAGACAUCAGAUAGAGAUUGGGUUUUAGAUUAGUUUACAGAGGAGACCCUAGCAAAAAAUUUGUAAAUCUCUAAGAGUUAACAUUCAAGGACGAAUGUUUCUAAAGGGGGGAAGGAUGCUACACUUUAAUACUAGGAUGAGUCGUAGUAAUCCAUAUGAGCUUGAAGGGACUAAGACCAUUCACGAGGUUAUAAAGGAUUUGUGAUUAUGUUAUUGUAAGACCCUGUAAGAUUAACAACCUUGAUGUCGUUAUAUACAUUUGAUAUGGUAUUUUGAAUGGAACAUUUUUUGUAAAAAAAAGAUUUGAAAAAUAUGAUUUUAUGUAGUUAUUAAUAUUACUACUUUCGAAUAUGUUUUAAAUUAUACGCAUAAUACGAGAAAGUUUAUGAGAUUUUCUUUAUUGUAAAGAUAGAAAUUAUUUUCUCACAAGAAAAGAAGGUUAUCUUUUACCAUUCUAAGAAUUAAGCGUACGAAAAUUUGUACUCUUUAUAUGAGAUUCGGAAAAUUAGAAGUUGAGAAAAUAUAUGUAUUUUUACAUGGAUGUUUUAAUGAAAUAAUAGUGUUUGCAUUGAUUUUAUAUGGUACCACAUGACCAUAAUAUUAAGGUGUACAAAGUGUGUUAAAAGUGAGUAGUAUUUUAAGUAAUUUGAGAUAAUUCUUAAUUAUAUGGGUAAUUGGUUAAUUACUAGAUUAGUAGAGGAUUAAUAAGUUGAUUAAGGAAAAAGGUGUGAAAAUUUGGAUAAGUUUAAGUGCAUUAACGUGGUCGCAUGGGCUAUUCAACCAAAUGACUCAUUAGUCUUUAUAAAUCGGUGGCAUGUUAGGAGAAUUUUAGGACAAAAUAAUCCCCACAAGUGGGGCCCACCCCACUAAUAUACAAAGCUUCUGUAAACUACAAACACUGAGAGCCUACUACAAAGUAACGUAUGGGAUUUAUCAAAGAAGAAAUUCAUAUGAAUCCUUUACAAGGCUUAGAUGGCAAUGUGGUUUUCUUCAGCAAACUUAUACAAAAGUAUGUCCAAGACAAGCAAUAAGAAGCCACGAAAUUCAUAUAAGAUUAGACGAUAGCAACGUGAUUUUCUACAAAACAAUUUUAUAAGAAGUUAUACUACACAAUAGCAGCGGGAUUUGCAAUUCUAAGGGAGCCCGGUAUAAUCUUUCUCAAGAACAUCAUACGGAAUGUUUUCCUACUCCAAUCUGCCGUUAUGUGUUUCGUCGCGAUUGGCAUUUGUUAGAAGGAUUGUCAAGAGAAUCGGUCCAGGUAUGUUAAGGCUAAUACUUCUUUCUUUUGGCAUGAUCCAAGUAGCGAUACGUAAACGUAAUGCUAUUCCAUAAGUGGUUCUACUCUUAACAGUUAAGAAUGCCUAUGUUAUUCAUUCCGGUAAAGUUAUAUUCAAGUAUGUCUAAGUAUGUUCCUAUGUUUUUAUUGAGGUAUUUGAUGAAUAUGUUAAUGUUUAUAAUAUAGUGAUACAUGCAUCUUCAUUUACCACCGUUCUACGGUUGGUCGGGCAGUUACCACCGGUUGGGCAGUUAUCCAUUUACCACCGAGCUACGGUCGGUCGAGUAGUUACCACUGAUCAGUUGGGAAGUCAUGCAUCAUACGAUAUGGAUAAUAGUCUCAAAGAGAAGUAUUAUAUAUAUAUAACUAUACUAAGUAUGCAUAUUCGGUGGCACUUCAGAGAUUCAGGUUGAUUCUUAUAUGUCUUUAAUCAAUAUUGACUUAUUGUUAUAUUGCAGUUCCGCCUUACAUACUCGGUACAUUUUUUGUACUGACGUCCUUUUGUUGGGGACGCUAUAUUUAUGUCUGCAGGUAUAGAUAAUCAGUUUGACAAGCCCUCAUAGUAGACGAGGUUAGCAUUCAACGAAGGAUCGGUAAGACUCCACUUCAUUUGGAGUGCAUCCGAGUGUAUGAGUCAUCGUGUCAGAGUUGUUGCUACAGACUUAUGGGUAGGCCGGUACCCUGUUCCAUUUGAUGUCAAAUAAUCUUAGAGUCUUUGUAGACAGAGGUUCAUAUUGUACAGUAUGUUAGAGGCCUUGAUGACCCAUAUGUAUUCAUGUUUUAAGAACGAUAGUUCAUUGAUAAGUGUUUGCUCACUUAUAGUUUUACAUUACAAGUUGUGGACAUGUUGACCCAAUAUAGUUACAAACCGAAAGUUAUAGAGUGGUUCUCUCGGACCAGUAUGGCACCGGGUGCCAGACACCCCUCCCCAGGUUUGGGGCAUGAUAGCUCAGUACAUGCCGAAGGCCAUCGAUUGUUGUGGGUUGUGUCUGGCAUCGCUCAUAGCGGCUGAUGGCUUAUGGAAAUAGAACAGCGAAGCAUCGUGCAAGUAGCAUCGCAAGGUUCCAUGAGCAUGGGGCUAAGCUCAGUACAUGCCUAUUGCCAUCAGGUGUUGUGGCCAAUAUCGGGUGGCGGCAUCGCUCGUGGCAGCUGAUGGCUUUUGGCAACGGAACGACGAGGCCUCAUACAAGUAGCGCCGCAAGGUCCGAACGCAUGGGGCUAAGCUCAGUAUAUUCCGAAGGCGAUUGGUUGUUGUGGGUUGUGUACGUGCCUUUAACUUAUGGCACCUUAUUCGUUUCUACACUCUAACCCCUUAAUAGUGCCUGGCGGGGCUUGUCUUGGCUUUGCAAUGUUAGCAUUGGCAACAACACAUGGUUGCGCGUCACGUGAUGGGGAUGUUGCCGGCAUGCAUCGGCAAGGCAAGUGUACGUGCGGCACAUGAGUGGUGUUCGGCUUGAGUGGCUAGGUUGUAUCCCUGCUUGUGCAGUGACAUCCUAGCCCGCAUGCCAUCUCAGUCAUGGGACAAGCGCAAAUUAGGCUUGUUCGGCAUCGGUUUUCUGUGUUGCAUACCUAAUGCCCAUGCAUUAUCAAGCACAAUCGGUUUCCUUUCGCUUGCGAUCAUUCAUGAUAACUCGACGGAUCGCAUGGCCAUCAUGCCGGCGACACAUCAUUCAAAUUUCUACCCUGUCAACUUUCGAUGGUAGGAUAGUGGUCUACCAUAGUGGUGACGGGUGAUGGAGAAUUAGGGUUAGAUUCCGGAGAAGGAGCCUGAGAAACGGCUACCACAUCCAAGGAAAUCAGCAGGCGUGCAAAUUACCCAAUCCUGACACGGGAUUUAAGUUGUUACCCAAAUUACCCAAUAACGUGUAUUUAAGUUGGUGCAUUUAAAAAGCUCGUAGUUAGACUUUGGGAUGGCCCAGCCGGUCCGCCUUAGGUGUGCACCGGUCAUCUUGUCCCUUCUGCCGGCAAUGUAUUCCUGGCCUUAAUUGGUCGGUCGUGCCUACAGCGAUGUUACUUUGAAGUAAUUAGAGUGCUCAAAGCAAGCCUACACUCUGUAUAUAUUAGCAUGGGAUAACAUUAUAGAAUUUUGGUCCUAUUAUGUUGGCCUUCGGGAUUAGAGUAUUGAUUAAUAGGGACAGUUAGGGGCAUUCGUAUUUAAUAGUCAGGGGUGAAAUUCUUGGAUUUAUGAAAGACGAACAACUGCGAAAGCAUUUGCCAAGGAUGUUUUCAUUAAUCAAGAAUGAAAGUUGGGGGCUCGAAGUCGAUCAGAUAUCGUCCUAGUCUCAACCAUAAACGAUAUCGACUAGGGAUCAGCGGAUGUUGCUUUUAGGACUCCGCCAGCACCUUAUGAGAAAUCAAAAAUUUUGGGCUUCGGGGGGGAGGUAUGGUUUGCAAGGCUGAAACUUAAAGGAAUUGAUGGAAGAUAACCACAAAAGUGGAGCAUGCGGAUUAAUUUGACUCAACACGAAGAAACAUGCCAGUUCCAGACAUAUUAAGGAUUGACAGAGUGAGAGCUCUUUCUUGAUUCUAUGGGUGGUGGUGCAUGACCGUUAUUAGUUGGUGGAGUGAUUUGUCUGGUUAAUUAAGUUAACAAACGAGACCUCAGCCUGCUAACUAGUUAUGCGGAGGUAUCCCUUCGCGGCCAGCUUCUUAGAGGGAAUACGACAUUUUAGGCCGCGGACGUUUGAGGCAAUACAGGUCUGUGAUGCCCUUAGAUGUUCUGGGCCGCACGCACGCUACACUGAUAUAAUCAACGAGUUUAUAGCCUUGUCUGACAUGCCUACAUAAUCUUUUAAAUUUUAUCGUAAUGGGGAUAGAUCAUUGAAAUAUUUGGUUUUCAACGAGGAAUUCAUAGUAAGCGCGAGUCAUCAGCUCGCGUUGACUAUGUCCCUGCCCUUUGUACACACCGCCCGUCGCUCCUACCGAUUGAAUGAUCCGGUGAAAUGUUUGGAUCAUAGUGACGUGGGAGGUUCUCUGCCCACGAUGUCACGAGAAGUCCAUUGAACCUUAUCAUUUAGAGGAAGGAGAAGUCGUAACAAUGUUUCCGUAGGUGAACCUGCGGAAGGAUCAUUGUCGCAACAUGUAAAGCAGAACGACCUGCAAACUUGUUUAAAUACUGGGGAGUGCCGCGACCGAGGUGCUUUGGCCUCCAUCAGCAUGGCACCCUCCUAUCCCCAGUGCUCGCGUGCGUGCCAGGUGAUUAACGAACCCCGGCACGGAAAGCACCUAGGAAUACUAAAUUGAAAGUUUAUCUCUCGUGCACCAUUCGCGGUGCGCGCGGGGUACUUGUGCUUCUUUUGAAACACAAACAACUCUCGGUAAUGAAUAUCUCGGCUCUCGCAUCGAUGAAUAACAUUGUGAAAUGUGAUACUUGGUGGGAAUUGCAGAAUCCCGUGAACCAUCGAGUCUUUGAACGAAAGUUGUGCCUAAAGCAUUACACCGAGGAUGCGUCUGCCUGGGCGUUACAUAUCGUGUUGCCCCUGUACACCGCACCUAGAAUCAUGGUCAUUGUGGUGUCGCGGGAUAGAUACUGGCCUCCCUUGCUCCCCGAGCGUGCAGUCGGCCUAAAUGCAAGUCCACAGCGACGGACGUCACGACAAGUGGUGGUUGAAACUUAACUAUCGUAAUGUCGCGGCCCCAACCUGUCUCAUGUUUGGGCUCCCCGACCUUUAUUACGCUUAGGUGAUCCAACUGCGACAGGUCAGGCAAGACCAGUAAUGGCGAGCGAAGUGGGAACAGCCCAGUCUUAGAAUCAGGCGGCUCCUUCGUCUGAAUUGUAGUCUGGAGAAGCGUCAUCGGCGGCGUACCGGGCCCAAGUCCCCUUGAAGGGGGCGCUAGAGAGGGUGAGAGCCCUAUUGUGCCCGGACCCUGUCGCACCACAAGGCGCUGUCUACGAGUCGGGUUGUUGGGAAUGCAACCCAAAUCGGGCGGUGAAUUCCGUCCAAGGCUAAAUACGGGAGAAAGACCGAUAACGAACAAGUACCGCGAGGGAAAGAUGAAAAGGACUUUGAAAAAAGAGUCAAAGUGUGAUUGAAAUUGACAGGAGGGAAUCGGAUGGGGGCCGGCGAUGCACCCCGGUCAGAUGUGGAAAGGUGUUGAGCUGGUCCGCUGAUCGACUCGUGAUGUAGACCAGCGUGGAUUGGGGGGCAGCCAAAGCUCGAGCUUUCGCUAUGCUCGUGAAAUGUCGUCUCCUUGAUUGUGGUAGGAAGCUCGUGCAUCUGGUGUGCUUCGGCAUCUGCAUGCUCCGGAUGCUAUCAUGUGGGCUUCCCAUUCGACCUGUCUUGAAACAUAGACCAAGGAGUCUGAUAUGUGUGCAAGUCAACGGGCGAGUAAACCCGUAAGGUAUUAGGAAGCUGAUUGGUGGGACCCCCCUAAGGGGUGCACCGCCAACUGACGUUGAUCCUCUAUGAAAGGUUCGAGUGUAAGCAUACAUGUUGGGACCCGAAAUAUGGUGAACUAUGCCUGAGCAGGGCAAAGCUAGAGGAAACUAUAGUGGAGGCCCACAACGAUACUAACGUGCAAAUUGUUCUUCUGACUUGGGUAUAGGAGAGACGUGCCAUGGUCGCGUCCGACGUCAGGCCAUGGACACGUCGUGCCAUGUCCUACAUCAUGACAUAUACUGUAUCGUGCCAUGGUUAUGUCCUUCUAUGUCCGAUGUUGUUCCAUGGACAUGUCCGACACCGGGCCAUGGCCACGUCCUACCAUGUCCUGCAUCGUGCCAUGGAUAUACCCUGCCAUGUCCUGCGUCGUGCCAUGGCCACGCCCUGCCACGUCUGACGCCAUGCCAUGGCCGCAUCCGACAUCGGGCCAUGGCCACAACUUCCAUGACACUGCUCUAUGGCCACAUCUGACGUCGUGCCCUGGAUGCGUCCUCGUACACGACACCCCGAAAAACCUCUAUUUGCGACAUUGCAUUGGCACAUCACUCAUGGCUUGUGUUGACUGUUAAUCUUUAUGCUAUAAUAUUUCUCAUAUUUAUAACAUUGUUGUGAACUAUUUGAGCCAUGUUUGAGAUUACGAAGAGGCUAAUUCCUUGAAUAAACUUUGUAAUUGUUAUUUCUGUGAUGAACUUGCUUAUUUGAGUUAUGCUAGCAUACUUUGCAAACGCCUACACAUUAGCAUGUUAUUAUACCAUUCCAGGAGCAUGUAUGAUAUUUAUUCAUCAUAUAGAUGUGUUCUUGUAUACUUGCUUCUGUGUAAUGUGAUUUGGACUGAAUGCAUGUGACCAUGUCGGGCGGAUUGUAUUAUUAUGCAUGUGACUACGCCAGGCGGAUUGUAUUGUUAUGCAUGUGACCACGUCUGGCAGAUUGUGUUGAUAUAUGUGUGACCACGUCUGGCAGAUUAUGAUAUAGCUUGUGACCACGUCGGGCGAAUCCAUUACAUUAAGCAUGUGACCGCGCCAAGCAGAUUAUGAUAUUGAGCCUGUGACCAUGCCGGAUGAAUUAUAAUAUUGAACUUGUAACCACGCCGGAUGAAUUAUGAUAUGUUUGUGCUUACGAAUGGAUAAGGAUCCAUCUACUAGGGUCACCCUUUCAUGUUUCUCUAUUGAUGGUGUACACGCGGAUUCUGAGAAAAACACUAGUUUCUCGCUGAUGUGAGCUCUAGGAGAGCUGGUUACUAUAUUUGGAUCGGGUUGCACGUCGUAACAUGCCUUAUUGGCGUGUUGUUAUUGGUCUGAUUGCGCUCCGCAACAGAUUGAUAUUUGGUUAUUGUAUUUCAUCUUUACUUCUAAUUUCCUUGAUUGUUUUCGUGAUUUAUUUGCAUAUCUUAUAUAUAGGUUGAAUUGUUGGCUCAGUAGAACACUUUAAAAACAAAGAAUUGUGAGCAUCAGAGUGGUUUUACCUGAGAUUUUCUGAUUUGAUCAUAUAUUUGUUCUAUACUUGUUAAAAUUAUGAAAUGUACAGCUAUUGAUGAGUAUCAUUUAUAGUUCUUGCUUAUCUUACCUCGCCGAGGUUAGUUAGGAUACUUAUUGAGUACAUAGGAUCAGUUGUACUCAUACUACACUUCUACACCUCGCGUGCAGAUCGUGGAGUUAUUGUUGUUGUGUAUGGAGGGAGCUGGCAUUGAUGAUAUACCCAUGUUCCAGUUGUGGCUAUCACUUGUUCUUGGUAGAUUUAGAUUCGAAUUAUGUUCAUGUACAUUCCAAACAGAUAUUGUAAUAAUUUCAAUUCAGUCUUGGAAAUCUAAGUCUUAGUGGCUCAUGACUUGUACUAACAGUCCUUGGGUAGUUGUAUGAAAGUUCAGUUAUCUUAUUAUUUAUUUCUCAUUAAUCUCAUUUGGAAUAUGUUGAAUGUUAGUUAGAUUACCUAGCGGGUUGAGUUAGGUAUCAUCACGACUAGUGGAUUUUAGAUCGUGACAAUCAUACUAAUUCAACCGGAGGAAACAUGUUUCUAAUACUACUGACGAACAUGCAUAUUAAAGAACAAAAUCAUUCAUCAUAGAUCUUUGACCAACAUAAAUUCAUUCAUAGAAGUAACAACAGAUGACAUAUAAACUUCGAAGAUACCUACAUUGCAGGAAAACAACAGGAAAUGACUAAAUAAAAGUCUAAGAGUUCAACGAUGGAGCUCAGUACUUCACAGCAGAACAAAUAGCAAAAUCAGCAGUGAGAAGCAGUUCUAAAGCUCAAUCAGCCCAUGAAAAUCCCAGAAGAUGUAAGGUAGAAGAGUAGAAUUUGAUUCAAUUUUCAAUCCCUUUUUUGGUUUCGUUUUUGUGUUUGGAGACCAUUUUGUUUUUGAAUGUUUUAAAUCUGAAAUUGAAUUCCAGAAUUUCGUAGCUGCUAGUGGGUGCUUCUCAGUGUGUGUGUGAAUGUGUAUGUCUCUAAAAUAUGAAAAGGAUCCUUAUUUGUAGGCUACAUUUAGAAAUUUCUUUUAUUUAUUUUGCACCCUUACUCCUCCCCAUUCUCUAUUUUUGAAUCCCUCAAGCCCCUCACACCCGACCUUUUCUCUUCUUUUUUUUGCAUAUUGGUCCCUUCUCCCGCUUCUACAAACUUCCUAGACAAUUAAUAAAUUAUUCCUUCACAUCUAAUUCUCCUAUUAAACCUUUAAACUUUUAUAAAUUGCACUUCACUGCUAGCCCUUGCCUGGGCAUCUGGCCAACAGGCCCAUGACCCAGGUUCAACCUUUUCCCUGUUGAAUUCUAAAAUCAACAAUCCUGCAUGUCAAGCAAGGCAGGCCCAAACCUUAUGUUCUAAUGAGCAGAAACAAACAUUCAAGACAAACAAAUAGAUUCAGAAGUAAUUUCACUAAUUAAUUAUACAAAUAAAUGUCAACUGACAACAUGUAAACAACAUGAUUGAACACUUAUCAAGACUAAUUUACUAAUUAUAUCAAUCAUGCAACUAAAAUCAAAUAUCGAAACAUAGCAGAAGUGACCAAUCUAUAGAAACAAAGAGGAGAAACGAGAAAUACGCCACGAGAUUAGCAGCAUGUUGAAGGAAUUAAAAGCAUAGCAAGAAUCUAGGCUCCGCCAAUUCGUCAUUUCAAAAUCAACCACGGAUUUUUGACCUAUGAGUACUCACGCAACCGUUAGGCUUGGUAAGUACUUCAUAGGUAAGAAACCUUUGAAGAUUUGAAAGUUUGUUCAUGAAGAGAGGUUAUAAUGGAAGGUUAUUAGGGUUAUGGUCAGUCAACGACGAGUUGACCGACCCCAGGUAGCCGAGAAAUGGGUUGUGACUUACACCAAUCGAUAGCUCUUACCAAGAUCUUUCUAUUGAUGUAAUUUCAAUCUUCAAAAGAGCCGAAAUUAGAGAGAAAUCGAAAAGGGGAUGUUUUGAGGGUUAUUAUAUUCUUAGAUCUACUAACCAUGGAGAUUGACUUGUUUCUAAAAGGAAUGGGUUGUAGAUUAAGGAAGAGGAUGAAGAGGAGAUUACAGGGUGAUGUUUUGGGGCGAUUUGGAGUCAGUUCGCCGCCGUAGGCAAUUUCGGGCGAAGGUCGGCAGAGAGAGGCAGAGAGAAUAUGGGGUAUAAGAGAGAGGUAUGUGAGUGGAGGUUAGGACUAGUCCGGCUUUUUUAAGGGAUAGGGAAGUUAAUUACCAACCAUUAAAUUGGAUGGAACGGAUGGUGAGGAUCAAUUUAAGUUAAACGGUGUCGUUUGGUCGUUGGAAAAGGCUAGAUCGGGUGACGAAGUGGACUGGGCAGGAUUUUAACAGAUCUGAGCCGAAGCAUUUAGCCCAAUUUGAUUUCAACAACAAAAAUAAAAAUAAGCCUCAUUCUUCCCUCUUUGUUUUAAUUUCCUCACUAAACAUCUAGUCUAAUUAGAACUAUUUUUUCAGAAUUAACCCCACUAUCCAUUCUUCUAAUCGAUUAAUUAAUGAACUAAUUAAUAUUGUAAAUUAAUGAAAAAAACUAACUAAUUUAAAGCUAAAAUGCAAAAAUGUCUAAUGUAAAAUGCAAAAUUUUGCCAACUAAUUUAAAGCUAAUUUUGCAAAAAUGUCUAAUUUAAAGCUAACUAAUUUUGCAAAAAUGCAAAAUGUCUAAUGUAUUUUGUGAUUUCUAUUUUUUUUAGAAAUGCGAUUAACAUGUGGUUAAAUUCUAAAAAUUCAAUUAAAAACCUACAAAUGCCAUGAAAUAAAGAUUAAAAUAUUUUUGAUGAUUUUCAUGAUUAAAAGUAUUUCUAAAUAUGCACGACUGCAAAUAAAAGCAAAUAAAUGCCAACAAAAAAUAAAGAAAAUUUUCUAAAAAAUCAAUAAAAAUCAAAAGACAAUUAGAAAACUAUUUUGUGGAAUGUUUUAGGAGUAAUCUUAUACAAUGCAAAAAUUAAGUGCUCACAUAAACUAUUCCGCUAGCUAAUCGAUUUGCAUUUUUAAUUGCAAUUGAGCCUCCUUUGUCCUCUCUCGCUCUGUUUGGUCUUACAAAUCAACACAAGGUUUUCAUCUCUUUCUCUCCUAAUAGUUAUUGAUUAGCAAUGGAUUCUCAAUCUGUUGAGCCAGUCAAUUGGGAUUUCUUAGUGGGUGGGUGUUGUUAGUCUAUGGCAGGUUCAACUAAAAUUCAGUGUGGUCGAGUAUUGUAGAAAAUUUUAAACAUAGUCUUGUGGAAAAAUCUGUCAUAUUAAUAUCUUAAAGAAAAAUAAUGUCCUUGGUGCUUUAGAAGUUACAAAUCACAAAUGUAACUAGGAGGUGUAUCAUGCUUUUUGGCACUAGACACGAAAAUUUUGAGUGGAAGUGGAUUAAUUCUUUGGAUCCAAGAAGAUGUAUAUUAGUUGGAGAAGGCAAUAUUUGCCGGAAGUAAAUGGGACUUUAGUCUUUAGGGUUAAUAUAUACUUUACAUACAUUGGGGUAGAAUUCCUAACGUAUUAACAAUUUAGCUGAUUAAGAAAUUGAGUAAUUUGUUCUCAAACCAAUAAACAGUUAACUAUAAAAUUUCAAUUUGUUCACCAACCGUUAAUCCAACAACCUGUACCAAUAAGCCAGUAAGUCAAUUUUACAAGGAUUAUUUACAUUCCUAUACAUUAUUUGAAACCUUAUUACCCUUCAUGCUCAAGUUUCAAUUUAAUUACAUUGUCAUAUAUAACUUACCAAUUAUAUACAAAUAAGUUUUAAAUGAUUAUCCCUUUAUAUUAGGAAUUGAAUAAGGAAUAUCAAUUAUUUCAUUUUUCCUUUAUACUUGNNNNNNNNNNNNNNNNNNNNNNNCUCUCUCUCUCUCUCUCUCUCUCUCUCUCUCUCUCUCUCUCUCUCUCUCUCUCUCUCUCUCUCUCUCUCUUCGUGUCUCUCUCUGAUUUUUCUAGUAUACCCAUGGUCUAGCUUUCUUUCCAAUAGUAUGAUCUUAAUAAAAGAAUAUGAUUUAUGGCAAUGGAACUUUCAUACUUAAUUGGUUAUUAUAAAAUUUAGAGUUCACAGAACAAAUAUUGCAACUCAAAAGUGCGGAUUGCAAAUAUUGAAAAGAAUUACCAAAUAUAAGGCGAAGAUAUUGUAGUAUAUUCAUCAAUGGAUUUCUUGUUGUAUAGAGAUUCCACAAUUGACAUCCAUUAAAAAGCUUUGAAGCUUUGAAAUUGAAUUUGGGUUUUCAAAAAUCAUUAUUUUUUUGGAUUGGGUGUUGAUGCAAACAAUUGGGAAUAUUGUUUGGAGUUUAUAUCUCAAUUUUUAAGGUGUUUUAGUGAAGAUUAGACUUGAUUUUGACUAAAUUUCAGAUUGAAACUCGAAGAAGAAGAAGAAGAAGAAGAAGAAGAAGAAGAAGAAGAAUAUAUGGCAUACAAUAUACUUACGAAAUUAUAGUAAAGUUGUAGUAAAAUUGUAGGUAAAUUGUAUUCUGUUGUAGUUUUAUAUAUAUAUAUAUAUAUAUAUUUUUUAUUUAAAUAUUGUAUGAAAGUUAAAAAAUAAUUGUAUUAUGUAUGAAUCGUUGUAUAAAAUUUGCAUUUAAGUUAUCAAUGCUAUCUUUUUACAUAAAGUUGUUGAUAUGUAUCAAAAUUAUAUUAAGAGUAAGUUUUGAUUGGAAUUUUAGAGAGGAAGAAUCAUACCCCACACACAAAAUAUAUACAAAUCAGAAACAAAAUAUACAAAAGAUAUAUUGUAUAAAAUUUAUAUAAUAAUUGUAUUUAAGUUGUAUGAUAUUGCAGUUGUAUUUAACUGGGUAGAAAUAAUGGAUGAAAGUUGUAGAUAAAUUAUAGAUUGGUUAUAAAUAAGUGUAUAAUGUAUAGUUAGUUGUAAUUCAAUAUUACAAAAUCAAAUGAAAUGUGACUAAUUCAAUAUUACAUUCCAAGUCGCAAUUGACUAUAAUUUCAUUGAGGGUAAAAUUGAUUAUGUAAUUUGACCAAAUAACUUGUGACUAUAAUUGUCAAAAAUGUCGAUAAGUUCAAAAUGUCUCUGUAACAAUUCUCUUGUACUAAGAAUUGCCAUUUGUCUAAUUAAUAAGGAGCCCUAUUUUCAAGUUGGUUACGUGAUAGACCUGCAGGCUUUCGUGCUUAUAAUAUAGUUUUGAUUUCCUCCGCGAUACGAAAAGUAUUGCAUGUUUAAAGAAAUCAAUUGUGUUAAGCUGAUAGCGUAAUCAAAUAAAUAUUAUUUAUUGAAAGACAUUUUCUAAAGAAGAAUUCUGUGGUGCUUAAUUGUGUGAAUAUUAGAGUUAAAUGCCAAGAGGUAUUAAUAUGUCAAAUAUCACCAGUUUCUCAAAUUAUAUAUGGGGAGGAAACUAGAUUUUAUCACCAUACAACUAUUUUUCAACUUUUAUACAAUAUUCAAAUAAAAACAUAUAGAUAACUACCACAUAAUACAAUUUACCUAUAAUUUUACUACAACUUUACUACAAUUUCGUAAGUAUAUUGUAUGCCAUAUCUUCUUCUUCUUCUUCGAGUUUCAAUCUGAAAUUCAGUCAGAACCAAGUCUAAUCUUCACCAAGCACCCUCAAAAUUGAGAUAUAAACUCCAAACAAUAUUCCCAAUUGUUUGCUACAACACCCAAUCCAAACAAAUAAUAAUUUUUAAAAAUCCAAAUUCGAAUUCAAAAUUUUAUGAUAGAUUAGUGUUCGAAUCUUCAAUUCCUACAACCUGGAGGUUACUUCAAUAGGUUGAUUGGCAGAAGAUAAUUUUUAGGCUUACCUUAUUGAGAGAGAAAAAUGGUGAGAGAGAAAUAUGAAGAAAUAAAGAAAAGUUGAUGAGAGAUGCGGUAGUGAGGAAAGAGGAGAGGAGAAAAAAAAGAAAAAGGAUGUAACUAAAUUCCCUAAUACAAGGCACUAAUAAUGGAUUGUAUAUAAUUUGUAAGUAAUCUUUGUUUAGGGUGGGUAAUAUACAAAACUAGGACAAUUUUGGUAAAUAAAUUUUUAAAUAUUGUAUAGGAAGGAAAAAAAAUCAUUUUACAAUUAGAUUAUCGAUUACAGUUCGAUUUAAAAUAACCCUAGUUUUACAGCCCGUUUGGAUUGGCUUAAAAAAGUAGCUUUUAAACACAAGCGCUUAAAAGCACUUUUUAAGUGCUGGAGCUUGUUUUAAAAAUAAGCAUUUAAGUAUUUGGAUAAAAGUGUUAUUGAAGUGUUUGGUAAACAAGUGCUGGUAAAUACUUGAAUCUGUUAAAAUGACUGAAAUAUCCUUAAAGUUGUUAACACUAUAAAGACGAUGAUUACUAUAAUAUUAUAUUUUUCAUUAAUCCAUAUACAAAUAAUUUAUAUCUUAGUUCACUUUCAAUUAAAUUGAUUGUCUAAAUAUAAAUUAUUUGUUUGACCAAAAAUUAUAUUUUUUCCGCUCAUAGCUUCAAAUUCUAGGUUAAAAUGUAAACUGGGUGAAAGAUUUGAUUUAGAAUAUAGUUUCACAAAUUUAAAAAAGAAAAGAAAUAAUUUAACAGCAAAGUUUUGUUUAAAAAUAUUAUAGAACCAAAAAAGAAGCUAAAAAAACAAUAUUUAUAAAACAUUAAUUUACAAAACUACUGUUGGCUUACGUUUAACUCUUUGAAGAAAUUGACAAAAGUUUGAAAAAUAGCAAUAGAAAGCUUGAAAACGGUGAUUAAAUGACACGAGAAUUGGUAAGAGAAGGGUAGUUUUGGGGUUCAGAAAAAAUGAAAGGGAUAAUAGGGUAAAUUACUUGAUCAAAGAUAAGGAGCUUGUAAGCCAAAAACUAAUAAGUUGGACAACCCCAACUUAUUGUUUUUGCCUUAUUUUUUGUGUUUUAACUUAAAAAUAUUUGACUUAAAAAUACUUUUAUGAUCUAUUCAAACACUCAAAUAAACCCAGAAGUACUUUUAAGAUGAUUUGACCAACUUUUAACCCAAUUCAAACGCCUUCUUAGCCCAAAAGAAUUGUGGGUCGUGGGCUACUCACACAAAAAGGAAAAGUAAAGAUUUCCUAUUUGAUCGCGUUAAUUUAAUAUAUUGCGACUUUUCUCAAAAUAUUUAACUGGUACCGGCGUAAGGACACAUAACACUUUACAUAUAGUUUUUCCGGCUUCUUUCUUCUUAUCCUUCAAACACCCAAUCUCCUAUAGUAAAGAAAUUCCGAUAGAGACAUGCAAAAGGUAACGUGUCCAGCCGCAACUCAAGCGUUGACCACAACCAUUUGUUUUGUGUGAUACAUUGGGAUUUCGGUUCUAUUUAAUAGUCAGCGGUGUUUGUGGAUAUAAGUGUUAGAACAUUAACAGCUGAAGUAAGUAUACAAUUCAUAUACAUCAAAUACAUGUAAACUAGACAAUGAUACAAUUAUGAGAUUAGAAACCACUAACCUCUUGAAAUCGUUGCACAGGUCUUCCACAAAGCAAGAAUCCACGGCUGCAAUCUUCUACUAUGGUCCUAGUAAGACCUUGGACGAAAUUGCUUUGAGUGGGAAGAACAAUACAACUCUAAAAAGUAAUUUAUUGGGUGAAAAAAGUCUUCCUUAUGUAGACUCGUUUUUCAACUAAAAAGGGUUCAAAAAACGUAUAGGAUUCUGCUUGUGCAAGUAGAAUCCUACUCUAACUCUACUGGAUGACUUUUCUCUCAAAUCACCUUUUACCCAAGUCAGUCCAGGUUUUUACUAGGUAUAGCAGGGACCACAGAAAUAAUAAGAGGCUACUAAUUAUAGUAUUAAUUCGAAAUUUCACAUGAAUUAAUUCCUAUUAUAAUUAAUUGCAGUUUAUUCCUCUAAAACUUCAAUUGAACUCCUCAAUAUGAAUUUCGAAAAUUCACUAACACUUAUUUUAACUCCCCGUGCUAAGAUCCAAAAUAUCAGUCAAUUAAAUUAAAUCACUGAUAAUUUAAUGUAAUCAACUAAUUAAAUCCUUUAUAAUUUCGCUUACACUAUUUCAUGCGACAAAUACAAAAUGCACCGGUCGGGUUUUCACAUGAAAACUUAUAAGCUUACAUAAAGGGGUAUCAUCGAACUCAAAAACGAAGCAUGGAUUCUGAAAAAUCAAUCUAAUUUUUUGUCCAAUCUAUCAAACAUACACUAACUUUGAAUAGAAUUGUACCUUCUGAAAAAUCAAAACAAUAAACAAAUCACAUUGAUCAUAAUAAUUAUAUCAAGAUUAGGAGUAUAAGCUCAUUCAAUGAAUUAGAAAAAAUAUUUUAUAUAUAUUCAGUACAAAAAUAUAUUUUCUCUACUUGGUUUGUUCAAUAUACACUAAGUAUAUGUCACGGCCCAAAAUCUCACCCGUCGUGAUGGCGCCUAUCUCAUACUAGGCAAGCCAAAAAUCUCAAUAAACCACAUAUCUUUUAAAUUUGAAAACACAAUAAUUAAAUUCAGCGGAAGAAAUCUCACAAAUCACUGACAUAAAAUAUAUUCCCAAAAGCCGGUGUCACUGAGUACAUGAGCAUCUAAAUGAUAACAAAGUCUGACUGAUAAAAACACUGUCUGAAAAAUAUAGAACUGUACAACAACUUAAAAGAAGAGAGUCAAGGUCUGGACGGACGCCAAGCAGCUACCUCCAUAAACUCUAACAGAUAAAACUCUGAGAACUAACAAUCGUCGUGUCCAGAAGCACCUGGAUCUGCAUAGGAGGUGCAGGGUGCAGUAUGAGUACAACCAACUCAGUAAUUAACAAUACUAAAUAAAGAACUGAAAGUAGUGACGAGCUUCACAGCUGAGUCCAAUUACAGUAAUUUCCAACAUAACAAGGUAGGCAUGCUUUCAAGUUCAACAUUUAAGACCAAAACAGUAAUUUCAUGUCAAGUUCAACUGAAACAUAUGAUAAUAUCUCUCAGAAAUUUCUAAAAUAGUGAUAUAUGCCAGCUGAAGUGCAACAAUAAUGAAACCAAAUGCACCCUCUCAGGACCACAGUCACUCAAGCAUUCCAUUCACUAAGCAUUUAGCACUCGCACUCAGUAGGAACCUGCGCUCAAUGGGGUGUGUACAGACUCUGGAGGGGCUCAUACAGCCCAAGCGCUAUAAUCCGCACGGACAACUCACGUGCUGAACGGACAACUCAUGUGCUAUAGUAUCAAUAUCUGGAUCUGCACGGAUAACUCACGUGCUGCACAGACAACUCACGUGCUAUAGUAUAAUAUCUGGAUCCGCACGAACAACUCACGUGAUAUAGUAUAAUAUAUGUAUCCGCAUAGACAACUCGCGUAUUGCACGGAUAACUCGCGUGCUAUAAUAUAAUAUCUCACAAUCAGGCUCUCGGCCUCACUCAGUCAUAAAUCUCUCCAGUCUCUCGGGCACUCAAUAAUCAUGAAAUCANNNNNNNNNNNNNNNNNNNNNNNNNCUGUGAGUGAGUACAAAACAACAAUUAAGCAGAUAGUUCAACAUGUACACGACCUCUGAGUGUCCCUACAGUGCCAACAUAUAAUCUAAACAUGAUUUGUGGUUUAAUUUCUCUACUACAUGGAGAAUGUACAUAUAACAACAGAUUAUUCAACUACACAGUUCCAUAAAAUUUGACCAAGUCAAAAUUUCUUAGAGUGCACGCCCACAUGCCCGUCACCUAGCAUGUGUGUCACCUCAAACCGAUCACAUAACACAUAAUUCAGGGUUUCAUACCCUCAGGACAAAAUUUCAAACUGUGUAAUUCUUUAUUCCGUUAUGCCUUUUCCUCAUGAAUUGGCUUCCAAAUGCCUCGAAUCUAGCCACAAAUAAUUCGAUUCAGUCAAUAAAAUUUAUUGGAAUUAAUUCCAUAAGAAAAUACAAAUUUCCCAACAAAAUCUAAAAUUUAGCUCAAAAAUUGCCCGUGGGGACCACGUCUUGGAACCCGACAAAAGUUACAAAAUCCGAAAGCUCAUUCAACCACGAGUCUAACCAUAUCAAUUUUACCAAAAUCCGACCUUAACUUGACCUCCAAAUCUUCAAAUCUUAUUUUCAAAUUCACAAUUUACACUACAAAAAUAUGUUAUCUAGUUAUAUUAUUCGAUGAUAAUUCAAUAUUAUAGAGUAGAAAUAAUCACAAGUGACUUACCUCAAGAUUUUCCGUGAUAAUUUGCUCAAACAUUUCCCUGCCCGCUUUUGGAAAUGUCAAAAAUGAUAAUUUCUCGGACACUUCUGUUUUGUACACUGCCUAGUGCUUUCGCACCUGCGACCAUAUUUCCGCAUAUGCGGUCCCGCUUUUGCAGUGAAAACACUGCAUUUGCGGAAGUCACUUAGCCCAGCUGUCUCCGCUUCUGCGAGCCUUGGACUGCAUAUGCGCCUUCGCAGGUGCGGAAAAUUCCAUCGCACUUGCGCGCCUGCACGCACCUGCGCCCGUCCUCCCGCUUCUGCGCAAGCGCUUCUGCGCCCACAGGUCCGCAUCUGUGGCCACUACCCAAAUCCUUCCUGGACGCUUCUGCAGCACCCUCCCCUCUUUUGUGGGCUCGCACCUGCUGUUCCCACUCUACGGGUGCGAUUACACUAGUAACAGUAAAACUUCAGUUGCUUCUUCAACUUACUUCCAAGUCCGUUAACCACCCGAAUUCAACCUAAGGCCCCCCGGGACCUCAACCAAACAUAACAAAAAGUCUUAUAACCCAAUACAAACUUAUUAGGACCCUCAAAAUUAUCUCAAACAACAUCAAAACACAAAUUUCACACGGAUUCAAGCCUAAUGAACUUUGAAACUUCCAAUUUUUACAAAUGACGCCGGAACCUAUCAAAUCAUGUCUGAUUAACCUCAAAUUUUUUACAUAAGUCAUAAAUGAUAUAACAGGCCUAUUCAAAUUUCCAGAAUUUGAUUCCGACUCUGAUAUAAAAAUUCAACCCCCCGGUCAAACUUUUCAAAAAUUCAACUUUCGCCAUUUCAAGCCUAAUUCUACUACGGACCUCCAAAUAAUUUUUCGGACACGCUCCUAAGUUCAAAAUUACCAUACGGAGCUAUUGGAAUCAUCAAAAUUUUAAUCCGAGUUUGUUUACAUAUAAGUCAACCUCCGAUAACUUUUCCAACUUAUGUUUUCAAUUAUGAGACUAAGUGUCUCAUUUCACUCCGAAAUCCUUCCGGACCUGGACCAACUAACCCGGUAAGUCAUAAAAUAACUGUAAAGCAUAACUUGAGCAGUAAAUGGGGGAACAAGGUUAUAAUACUCAAAACGACCGGCGGGGUCGUUAUAUUCUCCCGCUCUUAAACAAACGUUCGUCCUCUAACGGGUUUAGAAUCAUACCUGGAAUAUCAAAUAGGUGUGGAUAUCUGUUCCGCAUCUCCUGCUCAAUCUCCCAAGUAGCUUCUCCGACUGGUUGGCCUCUCCAAUGUACCUUCACUAAUGUUAUGUUCUUUGACCUCAGUUUUUGAACCUGGCGGUCUAAAAUAGCCAACGGCUCCACAUUAUCAAUCAAAUUUCCGUCCAGUUGUACUGUACUGAAAUCUAGAAUAUGAGACGGAUCCCCGACAUACUUUUGAAGCAUGGAUACAUGGAAUACUGGAUGAACACCUGAUUGACUAGGUGCAAAAGUAAGUUCAUAAGCCACUUCUCCAAUUUUCUUAAGUAUCUCAAAAGGCCAAAUAUACCGAGGGCUCAACUUGCCCUUCUUCCCGAACCUCAACACACCUUUCAUGGGUGAAAUCUUAAGCAGAACCUUCUCCCCAACCAUGUAAACAACAUCACGGACCUUCUUGUCGGCAUAACUCUUCUGUCUAGACUGUGUCGUGUGAAGUCACUCCAAAAUCAAUUUAACCUUCUCCAAAGCAAACUGAACUAUGUCAGUACCCAAUAGCCUAGCCUCACCUGGCUCAAACUAACCCACCGGAGACCGACAUUGUCUCCCAUAUAAAGCCUUAUAUGGAGCUAUCUGAAUGCUCGACUGGUAAUGAUUAUUGUAAGCAAACUCCGCGAGUGGAAGAAACUGAUUCCAAGAACUUCCAAAAUCUAUAACACAAGCGCGUAGCAUAUCUUCCAAUAUCUGAAUAGUGAGCUCGGACUGCCCGUCCGUCUGAGGGAGAAAUGUUGUACUUAGCUGAACCUGUAUACCUAAUUCAUGUUGUACUGCUCUCCAAAACUGUGAUGUAAACUACGUGCCCCAGUCCGAAAUGAUGGACAUGGGCACCUUGUGUAGGCGAACAAUCUCGCAGAUAUAAAUCUCAGCAAACCACUCUGAAGAAUAUGUAGUACCAACUGGAAUAAAAUACGCGGACUUGGUCAACCGAUCCACAAUCACCCAAACAACAUCAAACUUCCUCAAGGUCCGUGGAAGCCCGACUAAAAAGUCCGUGGUAAUACGCUCCCACUUCCACUCCAGAAUUUCUAGUUUCUGAAGCAAUCCACCCCGUCUCUGAUGCUCGUACUUCAUCUGUUGACAAUUUAAACACCGAGCUAUAAACCCAACUGUAUCUUUUUUCAUUCGCCUCCACCAAUAGUGUUGCCUCAAAUCCUGAUACAUCUUCGUGGCACCUGGAUGAUGAAUAGAGUACCGUGAACUGUGAUCUUCCUGGAGAAUCAACUCACGCAACCCAUCUACAUUAGGAACACAUAGCAUGCCCUACAUCCAUAAUACGAUGUCAUCCUCAAUAGUGACUUUCUUGGCAUCACCGUGCUGAACCGUGUCCUUAAGGACAAGCAGAUGAGGGUCAUCAUACUAACAGUCUCUGAUACGAUCAUAAAGAGAAGAUCGAGAAAUCACACAAGAUAGAACCCGAUCGGGCUCCAAAAUAUCUAAUCUCACGAACUGAUUGGCCAAGGCCUGAACAUCAAAGGCUAAAGGCCUCUCUGCUACCGGUAAUUAUGCUAAACCGCCCAAACUCUCCGCCUUACGACUCAAGGCAUUAGCCACCACAUUGGCCUUUCCGGGAUGAUAGAGAAUGGUGAUAUCAUAAUCCUUAAGCAACUCCAACAACCUCUGCUUCCGCAAAUUAAGAUCGUUCUAUUUAAACAGAUGGUGUAGACUCGGGUGAUCAGUAUAUACCUCACAAUGGACACCGUACAAAUAAUGUCGUGAAAUCUUUAAGGCAUGAACAAUAGUUGCUAACUCAAGGUCGUGGACCGGAUAAUUCUUCUCCUGUACCUUUAACUGUCUGGAUGCAUAGGCAAUCACCCUGCCGUCUUGCAUCAGCACUGCGUCGAGACCAAUAGCUACGCAUCACAAUACACAGUAUAAGACCCUGAACCUGUAGGCAACACCAAUACUGGGGUUGUAGUCAAAGACAUCUUGAGCUUCUGAAAGCCCUCUUCACACUCAUCUGACCACCUGAACGGAGCACAAUUCGGGUCAAUUUAGCCAUAGGCGCCGCAAUAGAUGAGAAACCCUCCACGAAGCGACGAUAAUAACCAGCCAUGCCGAGAAAAUUCCGAAUCUCAUUAACUGAAGAUGGCCUGGUCCAACUAUAAACUGCCUCUAUUUUAUUUGGAUCCACUUUAAUCCCUUCACUAGACAUUAUGUGUCCCAAGAAUGCCACUAAACUAAGCCAGAACACACACUUAGAAAAUUUAGCAUAAAGUCUCUCCUCUCUCAGCCUCUGCAAUAUAAUACCCAAGUGUUGUGCAUGUUCUUCCUGACUGAGUACACCAGGAUAUCAUCAAUAAAUAUCACGGCAAACGAAUCAAGAUACAUUUGGAAUAUGCUAUUUAUCAAAUGCAUAAAUGUUGUUGGGGCAUUGGUCAGCCAUAACGAGUCUUGAAUGUCAUUUCUAGAAUAUCUGAAUCCCGAAUUUUUAAAUGGUGAUACCCGGAUCUCAAAUAAAUUUUGGAGAACACCCUUGCUCCAUGAAUCUGGUUAAAUAAGUCAUUCAUACGUGGCAAAGGAUAUUUAUUCUUGAUUGUAACUUUGUUCAAUUGUCUCUAAUAACUGCACAUCUGCAUAGUACCAUCUUUAUUAUUCACAAACAGAACUGGUGCACCCCAAGAUGACACACUAGGCCUAAUAAACCUCUUAUCAAGGAGUUCCUUAAGUUGUUAUUUCAAUUCUUUCCAUUAAGUUGGUGACAUACGAUACGGAGGAAUAGAAAUGGGUUAUGUGCCCGAUACCAAGUCAAUACCGAAAUCAAUAUCCCGGUUUGGUGGCAUACCCGGUAGGUCUGCAGGAAAUACCUCGGGAAAGUCUCUCACGACCAGUAAUGCAUCAAUAGUAGGAGUAUAUGCAUCAACAUCUCUCACAAAGGCCAAAUAUGACAAACACUCUUUCCCAACCAUACGUUGGGACUUCAAAUAAGAAAUUACCCUGCUGGGAAUAUAAUCUAGAAAACCUCUCUAUUCAACCUUCGGCAACCCCGACAUCACCAACGUAACAGUUUUUGCGUGAUAGUCCAGGAUAGCAUAACAUGGAGACAACCAAUUCAUACCCAGAAUAUCAUCGAAAUCAACCAUACUGAGCAAUAAAAGAUCAACUCUAGUAUCCAGUACCCCAAUAGUUACCACAUAUGACCGAUACACACGGUCCACAAUAAUAGUAUCGCCCAUCGGCAUAGAUACACGAACAGGUGAAACUAAGGACUUACGGGGCAUAUCUAGAUAAUGAGAAAAGUACGAUGAUAUAUACGAAUAAGUAAAACUAGGGUCAAAUAAUAUAGUAGCUUCCAUAUGGCACACUAAGACAAUACUUGUGACCACUGCAUUUGAAGCAACAACAUUUAGCCUGGCAGGAAAAGCAUAGAAUCGGGCCUGACCGCCACCUGAUCGUCCUCCCCCUCUUGGUCGACCCCUAAUUGGCUGAGCUCCACCCCGAGCUGGCCGAGCUGGUGGUGUAAUCGCUGGUGCUGGUGCCGUCGGCCAAGAACUCUGUUGUGGAGCCCCACUCAAUAGCCGAGGACAAUCUCUAUUGAAAUGACCAAAUUCUCCGCACUCGAAACAACCCUCCUCUGACGGAACUGUUGCUCCUAAUAACCCGAGGAAUUACCUGUAGAAGCCUGAGCGGAUGAGGCAUGGUGAGAACUAUGCUCUAGUAGUGCACUGAAAGAUGACUGACCGUGAUGAGAAUUAUAUGGACCAUGGCUGGAUGAUACACCAUGAUGAACUGGACGACCCGUCUAAGCGUGCAUGUACGGACGACCCCUGUUGUGGUAGGACUGCCCUCCAGGAGGUACCCCACCAGAACUACCCAAACCUCGAGGACUCUUGGCCUCCCUCUCACCACGCUCCUAGCUAUGGACCAACUCUAUAUGCCGAAAAAUGUCAACCACCUCAUCAAAAGUGGCACCAGAUACCCUCUCCCUAGUCAUAAGCAACUGCAGCUGAUACGUGAGGCCAUCAAUGAACCUCAUAAUCCUCUCCCUAUUAGUAGGAACCAGCCAAACUGCGUGAUGAGCCAACUCAUAAAAUCUCAUCUCAUAUCGGGUCACAUACAUUCCAUCGUGAUGUAACUGCUCAAACUGUCUGUGCAGCUCUUCUCUGCAAGACUGUGGCACAAACUUCUCCAAAAAGAGAACGGAGAACUCCUUCCAUGUAAAUUGGUGUUGUACCGACCAUCCUGCGCCUCUCAUAAUCCUCCCACCAUCUGAAGGCAGCCUAAGAAAACUGAAAAAUAGUAAACGAGACCCCACUGGUCUCCAGUAUACUCAUUGUUUGCAGCAUCAACUGGCACUUAUCCAGAAAUCCCUUAGCAUCCUCUGACUCAGCACCGCUAAAUGAUGGAGGUCGAAGCCUCCCAAAUAUCUCAAGUCUCCUCUGCUCAUCAUCUUCCAUAACGGGGACUAUCGGGGCCUGAAUAGCUGCAACCGACAGGGCUGGUAGUGCCCCCGGUAUCUGAAGACCCUGCUCUACCUGCUCUAGAGUACGGGAAACAGGGGUAUGAGUACCUCCCCCACCCUGAGAAGUGGCUGGUGUGGCCUGAGGCGAAACCACUUGGGCAAAGCCAGUGCAAACUGUCAAUAUCUGGGCCAAAGACUCUUGAAGGCCUGGAAUCACAAUGGGCACAGGUGAUGCCUGAGCUGGUCCCGCCAACUCAACUAUAUUUGGAAUCUGCUGCUGAGGUGGAGUAACUGGUGGUGCUACAGGUGCUGAUACAACUACUGUACGAGCUACACCUCGACCUCUACCUCGGCCUUGGCCUCUACUACGACCCGGCCUCUCGCGGCCCUAACUUGUGGCACUGGUGGCCAACCGUCUGAUCUGGUAGUAUGUGUUCUCACCAUUUGUGAGAGAAUAGAAUAACAUAAAUUUAGUUUUCGGAAUCAACAAAUUCGCAUGACCGAAUACAAGAAAGUGAAAUUUUCCUAAGGGUUCGGAAACCCCUAGAAGAUAAGUACAGACAUCUCUGUACCUAUCUUCAAGACUCUAUUAAACCUGCUCAUGACUCGUGAGACCUAUGUAACCUAGGCUCUGAUACCAACCUGUCAUGACCCAAAAUAUCACCUGUCGUGAUGACACCUAUCUCAAUACUAGGCAAGCCAACAAUCUCAAUAAACCACAUAUCUUUUAAAUUUGAAAACAUAAUAAUUAAAUUCAGUGGAAGAAAUCUCACAAACCACUGACAUAAAAUACAUUCCCAAAACCCGGUGUCAUUGAGUAUAUGAGCAUCUAAAUGAUAACAAAGUCUGACUGAUAAAAACACUAUCUGAAAAAUGUAGAACAGUACGACAACUGAAAAGAAGAGAGUCAAGGUCUGCGGACGCCAAGCAGCUACCUCGAUAAACUCCAACAGAUAAAACUUUGAGAACUAAUAAUCGCCGUGUCCAGAAGUACCUGGAUCUGCACACGAGGUGCAGGGUAUAGUAUGAGUACAACCAACUCAGCAAGUAACAAUACUAAAUAAAGAACUUAAAGUAGUGACGUGUUUCACAGCUGAGUCCAAUUACGGUAAUUUCCAACAUAAUAAGGUAGGCAUGCUUUCAAGUUCAACAUUUAAGGCCAAAACAGUAAUUUCAUGUCAAGUUCAACUGAAACAUAAGAUAAUAUCUCUCAAACAUUUCCACAACAGUGAUAUAUGGUAGUUGAAGUGCAAUAAUAAUGAAAUCAAAUGCAUCCUCUCAAGACCACAGUCACUCAUCCAUUCCAUUCACUGAGCAUUCAACACUCGCACCCAUUAGGUACAUGCUCUCACUGGGGGGGGUGUGCAGACUCCAGAGGGGCUCCUACAACCCAAGCGUUAUAAUCCACACGGACAACUCACGUGCUAUAGUAUAAUAUCUGGAUCUGUACAGAUAACAACCGUGUUGCACGGACAACUCACGUGCUAAUUAUAAUAUAUGGAUCCGUACAGACAAUUCACGCGCUGCAUGGACAACUCACGUGAUAUAAUAUAUUAUCUCACAAUCAAGCCCUCGGCCUCACUCAGUCAUAAAUCUCUCCAAUCUCUCGGGCUCUCAAUAAUCAUGAAAUCAACCCAAACAACAAUGAUACGACGCAUCAAUAAUGAACAAUAGAGAUUGAGAUAAAAUAAACAAGUAAACUAUAAUCUAAACAUGAUUUGUGGUUUAGUUUCUCUACUACAUGGAGAAUGUACAUAUAACAACAGAUUAUUCAACUACACAGUUCCAUAGAAUUUGACCAAAUCAUAAUUCCUACAUUGCACGCCUCCACGCCCGUCACCAAGCAUGUGUGUCACCUCAAACCGAUCACAUAACACAUAAUCUGGGGUUUUAUACGCUCAAGACCAAAUUUAGAACUGUUACUUACCUCAAACCGUGUAAUUCUUUAUUCCACUAUGCCUUUGCCUCGUGAAUUGGCCUCCAAACACCUCGAAUCUAGACACAAAUAAUUCGAUUCAGUCAAUAAAAUUUAUUGGAAUUAAUUCCAUAAGAAAAUACAUAUUUUCCAAAAAAUCCAAAAUUUAGCUCAAACAUCAACGUCUCGAACCCCGACAAAAGUUACAAAAUCCGAAAGCCCAUUCAACCACGAGUCUAACCAUAUCAAUUUUACCAAAAUCCGACCUCAACUCGACCUCCAAAUCUUCAAAUCUUAUUUUCAAAUCCCUAAGUUCAAAUCCCCAAUUUACACCUUAAAACAUGUAAUCUAGUCGGAUUAUUCGAUGAUAAUUCAAUAUUAUGGAGUAGAAAUGAUCACAAGUGACUUACAUCAAGAUUUCCCCUUUUUUCUCUCUCAAAAAAUCGCCCCACCCGCUUUGGAAAUGUUAAAAAUGAUAAAAUUUCAUCGGACCCUUCUGUUUUGUAUACUGCCCAGUGCUUUCGCACCUACGGCCAUAUUUACGCAUCUGCAGAAGUCACUUAGCCCAGCUGCCUCCACUUCUGCGAGCCUUGGGCAGUAUAUGCGCCUUCGCUGAUGCAGAAAAAUUCCAUCGCACGUGCGCGCCUGCGCGCACCUGCGCCCGUCCUCUCGCUUCUGCACCCCCUGCCCAAAUCCUUCAUGGUCGCUUUUGCGGCUCCCUCCCCUCUUAUGUGGGUUCGCACCUGCGGUUCCCACUCCGCAAGUGCGAUUACACUAUCAGCAGUAAAACUUCAGUUGCUUCUUCAACUUACUUCGAAGUCCGUUAACCACCAAAAUUCAACCCGAGGCCCCCCGGAACCUCAACCAAACAUACCAAUAAGUCUUAUAACCCAAUACGAACUUAGUCAGACCCUCGAAUUACGUCAAAUAACAUCAAAACUCGAAUUCCACAUGGAUUCAAGCCUAAUGAACUUUGAAACUUCCAAUUUCUACAAACGACGCCAAAACCUAUCAAAUCACGUCCGAUUGACCUCAAAUUUUGUACAAAAGUCAUAAAUGACAUAACGGACCUAUUCAAAUUUCCAGAAUCAGAUUUCGACCCCGAUAUCAAAAAGUUAACCCCCCGGUCAAACUUCCCAAAAAUUCAACUUUCGCCAUUUCAAGCCUAAUUCCACUACGAACCUCCAAAUAAUUUUUCGGACACGCUCCUAAGUCCAAAAUCACCAUACGGAGUUAUUGGAAUCAUCAGAAUUCAAAUCUGAGGUCAUUUACACAUAAAUCAACAUCCGGUCAAUUUUUUCAACUUAAAUUUUUAAUUAUGAGAUUAAGUGUCUCAUUUCACUCUGAAAUCCUUUCGGGCCUGGACCAACUAACCUGGUAAGUCAUAAAAUAAUUGUAAAGCAUAACUUGAGCAGUAAAUGGGGGAACAGAGUUAUAAUACUCAAAACAACCAGUCGGGUCGUUACAGUAUACUAGCACAAGAAGUCAGAGUAAAACCACUCCCAUAAUCAAGAUAAAUUAUACUAUAAUUUUGUGCUACAAUCACCAAGAUAUUUUUCUCAAUAAUAUCUUUGAUUGUGAACAUAGUUUAUUAAUUAUGAGAACCGACAAUUUAAUCUUCUGUGCAUGAGCUAAGACUCCAUACACUAAAUUGUCUACUACAUAACUAAAGGACACACAUGUAACAAAUGAUCUAUUUAAAAUAGUGCUUUAUUGAAUUGAAUAAAUUAAAUAAAUAAUUGUUCCAUAAAUCAUAAAACACAAUACUAUGUUUAAACCUCAUGGUUAAUAGUAUAUCCCAAAAAGAAGAUCAGGUCUACGAGAGGGUAAUUCUCGGCUAAUAAGAGUAAAAAGGACUACACAGUUUUACACUUGCUUAAGGUGAACCACAGAAGCGAUUGUUUGAAGUUUGUACUGUUACAGGGAGGAUUUUAGACGCAAAAUUACCCAAAAUUUUAGGUGAAUUUAAUACGCGAUUGUCUAAAGUCUGUACGGUCAGGAGGAGAAAUUUAGACGCAAAUAUUAUCCAAAAUUUGUAACUUCGAUCACAUCUAAAGUUUGCACUAUCACAUCGGAAAUUUAGUAUAAAUUGUCCCAGCGGAUCACCAUGAGUUUCUGAUGGAUGAGCUUAUCAUAAUCUUAAAUUAUGAUGAUCACCAAGAGUUUAGUAUAAAAUUAUUCCGGCGGAUCAUCAUGGGGCUUUUAAUUGAUAGGCUUUCCACGAAUCCUAGCGGAUCGUCAAGACUUUAGUACAUAAUGUAUGGUAACUCAACCUAUUUUUGCUUCAAAAUCAAAUCAAAUUGGUCUAAAUUAACUCGACGUGGUUCCAAAUUUGAUAUCCAACAUUCUAAUAUCAAUUCCAAUAAUUUUCAAUGGUUAGAUUCAACCAAAUCCUUCUUUAACAAACAAGCUCAACAAAACUCAAUAACGGUAGUUCUUUAUAGGGGUGCUUAUCGGGCGGAGAAUUACGCUUAACGAUUCGGCUUAUCGAUUAUCGGAUUAUAAAUGUAGUAAUUCGUUCGCCAUCCAUUAAAAUAACGGGCGGAUUGAUAUCGGAUUAACGAUUAUCGAGCGGUUAUCGGACAGUUUAUCGGCUAAACCAAAUAGAAAAUUUUUAAACAAUCCUAGUCUUGUGAAUACCAAAUGGCCAAACAUGAAAAAGUGACUCGACUUCCUCGUUAGUAUGUACUGCACUUUAGUUUACCAGGCUUGUUAACAGUUGUUGCUAUAUGAUAGAAUUUGUUAACACUUGUAGUUUGUAUUGCACUAAUGCACUUAUUAUAAGUAUUUCUUUUUGUUGCAUAACUAACUGUUUCACGUCAGAAAAAAGGAAAGAUUGCAAAACUGGUCAAACUGAUUGAAAACUUAUAAUAUGCAAUCAAUCAUGUACAUCUAGGUAGUGUGUUUAUAUAUAAAUCCUUUUGAAGUCUUCAGAGGAGGUCGUGUGUAUAUAUAUAUAUAUAUAUAUAAAAAUUCUCAACGGAUUAACGAUUUAUCCGAUAAGAAAAUUGAAUAAUCCGCCCCCAAACCGUUAAGCCGUUAAUUAUAAAAUCUCAAUCUGUUCACCAACCAUUACCCUAAUAAACCUGAUACCAAUAAACCAAUAAGUCAUCGGUUCGAUUUGGUUAAUGGUUACGGUUCAAUUUUGAAUAGCCCUAGUUCUUUUCCAACCAAACCAUCUACUAACAAAUGGAUUUUCAAUUUUUUAUAGCACAUAUAAAGAAGAUGAAAAAGAACGAGGAAAAGGAGGAGGAGGAAAUGCAUAAGUUCUAGCAAAUAAUUAUAUUUAAUUUGUAUUUUUAACAGGAUCAAAAUUUAAACACCGGUCCUUGAAGAGGACACCUAGUGAAAUUUCUUGCAGUUUCAUCGUCUCGUAAUAAAUAAUUGGAAUCAAGUUUUCCUUCUUUAUUUUUAUUUUUUUUUCUUUCAACCUUUUUAGCUUCAAAAAAGCAUUGAUGUUUUCUAGUAUCAUUCAAACUUCUUUUAGCCUCAAAUAGCAUUUAUGCCUCUAGCAUAAUUCAUACUUUCUGUUUUCUCCACACACUUAUUUGGAUCAACCUGUCUAUUUUCCCGUUGUUUGAAAACUUGGAAAUUCGUGUUGAAAUUUAAAACCAUACAACCAAAAUAUAAUGCUUUGCCAAUAGAGGCAGGUUAUGUCCUUACAUUGUUUUUUUCUAAAGAAACUAACAAACGAAUGAAAUGAAGUCAUAGCCAUCACCAACUUGACAUCAUAUUUAUAUCGAAUAUUCACCAUCUUAAGGUGUGGUUUUUCUAUGUGGAAGGCGGCCGAUGAGCUAUCAGCUUCACAAUGGCAACUACUUGUGGCCUCAAAAUUUGGAAUUGUUCCCUGUUAUUGUGAUUUAAAAAUCCUAUACUCCACCAAGAUGUUAAGGCUGAAAACAACAGUACAAAGGUUUAUAUGCCAACUAAAACAACAAGAAAGAGAGUCAAAUUUAGUAUUUGUCCAGCAAAUGUAACUAGCAUAAAAAUCAACCUACAAGUAAUAAAUAGUAUUCGCUUUGAGCCUAAACUCGCACAACUUUAAAACGAGUAACGAUAGUUUAAAACUUGCUUCCUCAUAUAUUCAGCAUCUCUCGUAUGUUUUGCCAAUAUGGGGUUUGCCGGGAUAUUACGUACACCAUCCCUUAAAGUGUUGAUUAGCUCAGCCAUGGUGAAUGAGAGAGAGAGUUUCAGAGAAAAUUGAGAAAGAAGAAGCUCCAUUGAUAAGCUCUGAUGUACAGAGACAAAUGAAAAUAAAUCUCUGUGUAUUUACAGACUCUUUACUCUUUUAUAUACUAACCGACUGACAAUGACAUCUUAAUUAAUUCAACUAACUCUUCUCUACUUAACUUAAAACCUAAGUGACAGUUGUACAUUGCUAAGUGACAGUUGUAUCACCACUAACCUCACUUCCCCACAAGUUGAGGGAUGAAUACAAGUUCUUCAUUCACAUCUUGUCCAUCAGAUAGUCAUGUUGUGGUCUGCACAGACUCUUUGUAAGUAGAUCAGCAAGUUACUCUUUAGUCCCAAUGUGUUGAAUAUGAAUCUUCCCUUCUUGAAUCUUUUCUCUUACAAAGUGACAAUCAAUAUCUAUGUGUUUUGUUCUUUCAUGAAAGAUAGGAUUAGCUGCGAUUUGAAUGGCAGCUUUACUAUCACAGAACAACCUAACUGGUACAGGUACCUCUCUUCCCAAUUCCUUGAAUAUACCUAUCAACCAUGUAAUUUAUACUACAGUAGCAGCCAUACUUCUAAACUCAGCUUCGGCAGAACUUCUGGACACAAUUUCUUGUUUCUUAGAUUUCCACGAGAUUAAGGCAUCACCAAAUUUUACUGUAUAGCCAGUGACUGAUUUUCGUGUCUCAACACAAACUCCCCAAUCUGAAUCACAAUAGGUUGCUAGCUUCAAAGUGUUGUCAGAUGGCAUAAAAAGUCCAAGUCCAGGUGCAUUCUUGAUGUAUCUAACCACUCUCAUGGCUGCUUCCAAAUGAGAUUGCCUUGGUGCAUGCAUAUGUUGACUGAGUACUUGAACAAUAAAUGAUAUGUCUGGUCUGGUCAUAGUCAAGUAUAGUAGCCUGCCAACAAUCCUCUGAUAACCACCUUUAUUCUCAAGUUGUUGAUCAUCAGCAUAUGUCUUAUUGUUUACAACUCUGUCAAAUUCUAUAGAAGUGAGUUUGUGAUUGAACUCCAAAGGAGUUCCAACAGGUUUAGCCCCUGCUAGCCUUGUUUCUGAGACAAGUUCAAGGGCAUAUUUUCUCUUCCACAUGUGAAUUCCCUUUUCUGACCUGGAGAAUUCAAUCCCCAAGAAAUACUUCAGUUCUCCCAAAUCCUUCAUAUUUAACUUGUUCUGAAGGUCCUUUCUAACUUGCUGAAUGAGUGUUAAGUGACUACCUGUGACCAAGAGGUCAUCAACAUAAACAAGAACAAUGACCAACUCUCUUUCCUUCCUUUUGUAAAUAAAGAAUAAUCAUAGUGUGAUUGCACAAACCCCAUAUUAGUCAAAGCCUCUGUCAGUUUUAAGUUACAUUGCCUAGGUGCUUGCUUGAGGCCAUACAAAGACUUAUGAAGCUUAGAGACCUUCUUGUACUCCCCCUGGAUUGAAAAGCCAUCUGAAAUCUGCAUGUAGACAUCCUCAACAAGAUCUCCCUGUAGAAAGGCAUUGUGGACAUCCAUUUGAAAGAUGUACCAACUAAAGGCUGCAGCUAGAGCCACCAUUGUUCUGACAAUCAUCAUUUUGGCUACAGGAGAGAAGGUCUCCUUGUAGUCAAGACCCUCUUGUUGACUAUAACCUUUAGCAACCAGUCUUUCUUUGAAUCUUCCCACCUCCCCAGUAGACUUGUACUUCACUUUAAACACCCAUUUGCAUCCUAUGGGAACCUUAUCAGGUGGUAGAUCAACAAUACACCAACUCUUAUUGUCCUCCAAGGCUGAGAUCUCAGCCUUCAUAGCAUUCACCCACUGUGGAUCCUUUCUUGCUUCAGCAAAUGUCCUAGGCUCAAAAACAACAGAAUAUGCAGCAACAAAAUCUAUGUAAGCAGAAGACAAUUGAUCAUAGUUCACAUACAUAGCUAUUUGAUAGGCAUAGGUGGACUGCUUAGUGUGAAUUGCAUAGUCUUGCAUCCAAAUAGGAGUUUUGGACACUCUAUAAGACUUUAUGAAAGGCGGGGGAGAGGUAGGAGAAGAAGGAGUGCUUGGUACAUCAGUGGACUGAAUAGGAGGAGGCAUCUCACAUAUAGGAGCUUCAAUCUCCACUAUGGGUUGGACAACUUCAGGAGGUGAGACAGAAGCAUCCACUGCUGAAAGUUGUAGAACUGGGAAGAUUGGAGAAUGACCAGACUGUAGAUGUUGAAAAGGAAAGAUAUAUUCCUUAAACACAGUAUCCAUGUUAACAAAGAAGUGAUAAGUAGAGAGAUCAUAGAGAAGAUAACAUUUCUGGGAAGAUGAAUACCCAAGAUGAACUACAGGAAAUGCUCUAGGACUGAAUUUAUCUGUCUUCUCACAUUAGUAGCAUAACAUAGGCUACCAAACACUCUCAAAUGAUGCAAAGAGGGUGGUCGAAGAAACAAUUUCUCAAAGGGAGACUUGCCUUUCAGCAGAGCAGUAGGCAGCCUAUUCAGCAAGUAAACUGCAGUAGAAACACAUUCACCCCAAAACUUCAAAGGGAUGAAGGCUUGAAACCUUAAGGCUCGAUCCAUGUCUAGAAUAUACCUAUGCCUUCGUUCUACUAUACCAUUUUGUUGAGGAGUGUAGACACAUGAGCUUUGAUGAACUAUCCCAAAGUCCUUUAAUAGAGAAUUAAUAUGAGUGUUGACAAACUCAUAUCCAUUAUCAGUUCUCAAACAUUUUACAUUACAACAAAACUGAUUUCUAACCAAUACCGAGAAAUAUUUCAGAACAACAAUUGAGUCUGCCUUAGUACUCAACAAGAAAAUCCAGGUAUAUCUAGAGAAAUCAUCUACUAGGAUCAGGAAAUACCUCUUACCAUAAAGCGUAGAUACUCUGUAGGGACCCUAAACAUCAGCAUGCACAAGAUCAAAAGGAUGAACAGAACAAGUAUUACUGAGAGUAAAAGGUAAUCUUGACUGCUUGGCAAGUGGACACAUAGUACAUAGAUGAUCUUUCAAUUGUAUAGCGUUUAAACCAUCAAUAUUUUUCAAGACUCUCAAAGGAGCAUGGCCUAAUCUUCUAUGCCACAAAGAAGUAUUGUCACAAGUCUUAUUCAUUAUAUCACCAUUAGGUUUAUUACUUGAACUAGUAAUGAUAUUUACAAGUGAAUGAUGCAGACACUUAUCCCCUUUAUUAACUGGAUGGUGUGAGGAAGAAGCUAGACCAUUUGCUUGCAGAAUGUAGAGACCAUGACCUUCUCAACCAAUCCCUAUCACCUUCCCACUGAAGAGCUCCUGAAAUAAAUAGAAGUCGGGGAAGAAUGCAGCCAAACAACUUAGCUCCUUAGUGAUUUUGGAAACAUACAACAUAUUGUACUUAAACUUUGGAACAUUUAAGACAUUGUGAAUUGUUCUAUCUUGGAAGAUUGAGGACUCUCCUGAUUUAGUAAUAGAGACUUGACCACCAGUAUGUAAGAGUACCUUACUUCUGGUCUCUUUAGGUAAAUCAGAACACUUAUUAAGCAAAGCCAUAUUGUGUACCAUAUGAUCAGUGGCACUUGUGUCUAUUAUCCAAUUAGUAUCAACUAGAGUAGACAACAUGGCAGAAUAGGUAUCUGCAGUGUCAGAUUUGGCUAUAUUAGCCAUAGGUGCAACUUCAUUUCCUUUGUUGAGAAGCUGCAGAAUCUGAGAGUAUUGCUCAGGAGUGAAGAACUGAGCUUGUGAAGGAACUCCAGGUUGAGAGCAAUGUUGACCCCCUGAAUAUUGACCACCUGUACUAGUUACAUUGUUGGCAUAUGUGUUGUUAUAAGUAUUUGGAGGUCCUCCUUUCUUCUUAGGUUUAAAACCUACUGGAUAACCAUGCAAUUUGAAGCAAUUUUUCCUGGUGUGUCCCUUGUAGUUACAGUAGUCACAUUGAACCAAGGCCUUGCCAGAAUUAUUCUUUUGUCUGUAACCUCCUGCUGAAGUUUUGUUGCUCAGCAAGGCUGUAGGGUCAGUAACUUUAGCACCAAUACCAACAGUGAUUCCAACACCAUUUUUUCUCUAACUCUCAAUAUUAAUAAUCAUGGCAUAUGCCUGAUUGAUGUUAGGUAAUGGACGAGUCAUAAGAACUUGAUCCUUAGCAUGUUCAAAUGAUUCAUUUAAACCUGUCAAAAAUUGGUACAAAUUUUGUGUCUAAUAAUGUUCAACAUAUCUUCUAGACUCGAGACAACCACAAGAGGGUGGAGGUGCUAGGGCCUCGUACUCAUUCCACAAUUCUCUAAGUCUGGAAAAGUACACGGACAUAGAUGACACACCUUGAGUCAAAGUAGCCAUUUCCUUGUGAAUAUAGCAGUCUCUAGAGGCGUUGACUUUAUCAAACCUUUCCUUAAGAUCUUCCCACAUCUUGUGUGCAUUAGAUGCGUAAAUCACAGUACUAAUGAGAUUUGGUGAAACAGUAUUCAUAAUCCAAGCUAGAAUAAUUCCAUUACAUCUAUCCCACAGUUCGUGUAGACUAUGAUCAUACAUUUCCCUCCUAAAGGUACUGAGAACAAAGCCUAGCUUAUUUUUGCCAUGCAAUACAAUUUUUAUAGAUCUACUCCAAAUUGAAUAAUAUUCCGAUCCUUGAAGUUGAAUAGAGAUUAGUACCUAACCCUGCGUGUCUAAUGGAUGAAUGUAUGAAGAAUGAUUGUGAUGAACUAGAUCCAAGUCAUGAAGAUUUGGGGUUGGAGAUGUAGCACCCUGAGUAGCAGAGACGGAAUCAUAUUCCUCAAUUGCCAUUAUGUUUCUUCAGAAAACUUAGUUAGGUUACUGAUUUGGAACCACAACAAGCAAUUAGAGAUGAAUUUUACAGUAAUUUGUCGAGAUUCAACUGAAAUUAACAAGUUCCACAAUCCCUAGGUUGCAGAGGAACUUUUCCAGAUGAAGAAAUAGCUCGAUCUAAGAACAAAUACACUUCUCUAAUACUCCUCUGUAGUAGCUGAGUUGACCGAUUUACCAAAGCUCUGAUACCAUGUUGAUUAGCUCAGCCAUGGUGAAUGAGAUAGAGAGAGUUUCAGAGAAGAUUGAGAGAGAAACAGCUCCAUUGAUAAGCUCUGAUGUACAGAGACAAAUGAAAAUAAAUCUCUGUGUAUUUACAGACUCUUUACUCUUUUAUAUACUAACCGACAGACAAUGAUAUAUUAACUAAUUCAACUAACUCUUCUCUACUUAACUUAAUACCUAAGUGACAGUUGUACAUUGCUAAUUGACAGUUGUAUCACAACUAACUUCUACAUAAAGACUCAGCACCCUCGUUGACAUUCGUCUCUCCAUCACUUCAAGAUGUGAGAUGCCUAAAUUCAAUUGAGGUUCACCCUCACCAUCAUCUCAAAGAUGUGAAAUUCAUUAAACUCGGUUGAAGUUUGCCUUGUUGCUUAUAUUAAUGAUAUUGAAUUUCCUAAACUCAAUUGAGCACUGAAAUUAGGACCAUCGCCCAAGAUUGUACGAGAAGUGACUUGGACAAUACAUGCAACCAUGGGCGAUAAAAUAUUUUAUUUCUACAAGUACAAAUUUUGGUAUUAAAAUCUGAAACAUAGAAAGAAAUGUAAGUCAAACCAAAAGGCGAUAAACAUGUCAACUUGGAAACGGAAAGAAAUAGCUCUAAAAUAUUUCACUCUAGCUUUCACCAUACAUACAGUGUCAAUGUCAGGAAUUUCUCAAAGAGUGUUCAAAUUUGAAAGAAGCAAAAUAAAUUCCUCGAUAAAGGGUAUUCAAUAUAUAUUAUAUAUCUCUAACACCUAAUAUUUUUUUACAUAUAUAUACAAUGUAUACAAGAGUGUAGCUUCGCCCCUGCAUAUAUAAGAUAAAAAUUAAAAUGGUUCUUUCAGUUGUUGUAGCAAAGAUAAUAAGAACGUUCUAUCUCAAAUAACAAUAGAUUGACUUAAACAUAUCAUAAGGGGAGCCAAAAACUCCAUUUCUCCUCUUCCGGACUAAAAUACAAACGAAAAGGAAAUAUGAUAUUCCCAUUGACAUAAAAAUGGUAUUUUGAAUCCAACUAUACCAAAUGGUGACCUAACAUUGCAGAGAGAUGAACCAAAAUGGCAUGCAAGAGUCAACAACACGUGAUAGGGAAAAACAUAGAUUGAAAAUUAUAACAAUGCAAACCAAAUUUCAACAGUUAAGUCUGAUAUUUUCGUCUCUUUUCACACCUGCAUUAAAGGAGUUACCAUAUUAGAAUUAAGGGUUAUUAACAUCGAUUCUCCUCUCAUUACCACCGUCAAACCCAUGAGAAGAGCCAAAUGAGCACCUCCUCUUAUUCAUACCCGGAAGAUUCCACUCUUUCAAAAAUACAUGUUUUCAACCGCAUUGAUUAUUAGCUUCAUUUAUUGGAACUAAAGUAACUUAAUCUCAUAGUAAGGAUCUGCCCUAAAGAAACAAAGCUAAAAGAGGCAGUUGCAGCUAAGUUGCUUGGACACGGGUGCGGGUGUCUGACACGGGUACGAUCUAGAGGUCAGGUCCUUCGAGAUGUAAAUUAUAAGAUAAAAAUACAGGUGUUGGGAUCCGGGUAAAAUAAUUCAAUAUAAAUUUAAAAAUAUGUCUAAAUUAUGAGAAAUUUUGUGGAAUACUUAAGUAUAGCUUGUAAAGUGUGAAUUUCUUUUUUAUUCUCAAGUUGUAGAUAAGUAAAGGACUGAUUACUUAGAUAAGGUAUUUUAUUUUCUUCAAAUUUACACUAGUUUUGGUUCUGAUUUCGGGAAUCAAAUUGUAUCUCGUCUAGAAUUUUUUCCGUCCGUCGUGGUCAAAGUACCCAAAACUGUUUGAUCCAUUUCCCUUUUUUUUAGAAUACAAAAUCACGAAGUGAUCUCAUUAAAGCUCGGAACGUACAUACUUACAGAUCUCAUACCUGCACCCAUACUAGUGUCGCAUCGACACAAGUGCGGCACCCAAACUGCAGUGUCGGAGCAACUUAGGUUGCAAGCUGGAUUGUUUCCUGAGAACUUCCCAGUUUAAGAGAAAGUAAAAGUAAGAAACAAUAAUUUACUUUACUAGUAAUACUAAAUCUCAAGAAUCAAAGAACUUCCCAGUUUAAGAGAAAGUAAAAGUAAGAAACAAUAAUUUACUUUACUAGUAAUACUAAAUCUCAAGAAUCAACUAUUAAACUCGGGGAAUCAUGGAACAACAUUGGAGACUUAGUGAGUCAAAAGACAUGGUGGAGAUUGAUACCUACAUGCAUAUGGUGGACAGUAAGGAAGGAGAGAAACUCAAGAGUUUUUGAAGACCGAUACAAGUCCGUUCGGGAUGUCAAGAUGUACUGUAUUCUUCUAUUUUAUUUUUGGUGUAAAGAAAAUCUUGUAGAGGAUACAGAAUCUUUGGUAGACAUGUUAGGCUUUUUGAGGUUAAGAUAUAUCAAGAUUGAUACCUAAAGUAUCAAAAGUACAUGAAGUUAUCAGUGCAACAAACUUGGAUGUACAUUCAUUUGACUUCUCCCAGGUGCCCUGCCGAUGUUACUAUUUUGUAAACGUUAUAUCAAACUCAGAAACUAAGUCUUCUUUUAAUAUAUAUACAGAUGCAUCAAGUCGUGGUAGAACUUUUAACAGAAGUUAAAAAGUAUACAUCCAUGAUUUCUUGUGGAAGUAAAAGAUAAAACCAUAUUAAGGUCCAGCCUAAGACGCGAUAUCUCAGCUUCUCAAGCUAUUCCUGUCUCUUUAGCUUUCCAUUGGUAUUUUCUUACUACUUGUUUUCUUCUCUUUUCCUUCUUCUUUGGAAUGACUACUGUUUGCCUUUAUUCUGGGCUUAUAAGUUACCAACCAUUUUCCAAUUGGAUUCUAGAGAAGUUAAGAGGAAGAAAGCUCACUGCUGGGUCUUUCUUAGAAAAUAGUUAUGCUCAAUCUUUCUUAGAAAAUAAUUCAGUAAUUGUGCAAAUGCUGACAUGUUAUACGUUCUGUUUUUUUUUGGUUUCCUUUCCCUAAUUCCACUGUUACUUCUUUUUGGUAAUGAAAGAGUUAGCAUUCUGAAAGUAAUUUUGCAGCUAAAUUUACUGUUUUGAUUUAGCUGUAUGUGCCAUUUACACUAUCCAUACAAGGAAAGAAACCAAGCAUGUUUCCUCUUAUCCUGUCUUCCAUAGGAAAAGGAUUCAAUUCUGCUGGUGCUCUCCUGAAAUGCUGAACCAUGUUGUUUCUUGAAUCUUGCCUCAGACUUUAGAUCUUUUCGCUUAACUAUAAGCAAUCGUCAUCAAUAAAUUCUGAUUUCUGCCAAAGAUCUCAGAAGCAUUUCAUUCUCCUCUUCGGGUUUUACAUUCUUUGUUAUGCAUUUACAUACAACUCAUUGUGCUUCUUCUAAAGGCAUCAAAUUAGUUUCCAUGGGGUCAAAGAGAUAUGGAGAGAGGGGAACGCUUUGUCGCGUUCCUUUCUUUUCCAUUGGGUAAAAGAUCAGUCAUUAUCAAUAGAUUAAAGUAGCGACACUUGAUACCUAUUGGAUUUAAAAGAAAAAUUACCAGAGGAUGAGCAGCGAAGUAAAUACCAGAAAUGAACCAGAAGAAGCCUUCUCAAAAUAAACAAAAACAAAAAAAGAUUAUACGUGAAGAUCUACUCAUCAUCUCCUAAGCAAUAAAUCUUAUGAGAAUGCUGUUAGGACAAUUUGAGCUGAAUGAUAAAUCUACCCAAUGACGUUGCAACAUUAGCCAUUUUAAUACACUCUUAAUUGUCCAGAAUAAGGCAUGUCCCUCUCAUUCAUACUGCUUCUUUCCAAUUCCAAAUUGUUAAGAGUUUCAAAUUUGAUCUUCUUCCGAAAUUACUAAUCCCAUUGUAAUCUUAAUACUUGAAGCUAACAUAAGAUCAUCAUAAACAGGUGUCAUAACAGGUAUUUCUCCUUCAUUCUGUCUUCAGUAGUAGAUUACACAUAUGAUCACCACCUCUACUUGCCAAUUAGACAAGAAUGUAAGCAAAGGAUAAGAGACAAACCAUCAGAAUUUCACCAAUUACAUACACUAGAUAGGAACUUUGAGAUACUACUAUGACAACGUCAGAGCAGAAUAAGCUUCCCGACGUACAAACUAGAUAUUAAGAUUGGCUAUAGAACAUCGUGAUUCCUUGCUUCUAGUACAUUACAUUUAAGUAGUGCCAAGUAGUGAGAUUGAAACAAUGCAUGCAAUCUUAGACACAAGCAAGGGUCUCAAAGUGUUGAAAGGCUUGACCCCAUUUAUACUUGUACUCUAAGGGAUCCUGCUUGACAGAAGCAAAGUUUGAGACAUUACAUACCUCCUCAAAGGUCCUGCCAACGAUAUCGUAGUAAUAAAUUCUGCCUUGAGCUGAUACUAUAAGCAUAGUCUUCCCUUCUCUAUUUGCCUCGACCAAACAAAGUACAUCAACCUUAAUACCAUCAGCAUUACCUCCAAUUGCCCUACCAAGAUAACCAAUAUCAAUGCGAUACUUCAACGACCAACCGGAAUAAUCUAUCUGCAACUCCAUUACAUCCACCAGUGAAGCUGCUCCCCCAUCACAUUCCUGAAUAACAUGGAGGCGCCCGCCCCAAUCGCCAAAAUAACAAAUCUUUCUCCCAUUUUCAGGAACACUAGUACUAGGCAUUGUCCUAAACCUCUCAUUCUCGACAUCAAAUGCUAGAAAAGGCUUGUUUUCGCCCACCCAAUGAAGACAACCUUGCAAAAACACGCCCCUUUUCAACAAGUAAUCAUAUUUAUCAUUAAACCCCUUUCCUGUAUCCUUCCAUGUACCACUUUCUGAAGCAUAAAUCAAGAUAUGAUACACGUAAUCCUCAGAAGGGUCAUUGUCAUUUUCCGAAUUAUAAGCAUAUAUGCAAAUAAUUCUGUAAAAAUCGGAUCUUGACGGAUCAAAUGCUAAAUUUAUAGCUUUAAUAGUAGAGAGGCUAAAUUUUUUAGGCAGUGAAAGAGAAGCAUAAGAGCAUGUACAUGGGUUAUAAACAUAAAGGUUACAUUCACAAGGAGCCAACAAAAGUCCAAAACACAACAACCCAUUACAAGAAUGAAGGUGAUGAAAACCUGAAAAGGCUAAAGGGUAAUGAAACCUACGAAUGGAAGAAGGGAUGGUUCUAGAAUAACAUUUUUUGUCGUUGGAAUUAUUGGGUAAGUAUACGAGGUGGUCCAUAAGAUGUUUGAAGGAGAAUGUACGGAACAACAAGAGACCAGUGGCGGCGGAAGUGGAGGCGUGGCGGCGGCAGUGACGGCGGCGGAAAUGAGGAGCGGAGAUGAGAGAGUGCCAGUGUUUGGAAACGCAGCAGCAUUGGAGAAGAUUUUUUGUGGGUAAUCGGAGGAGAAUUUCACUUAGAACGUCUUCCUUGUCGGCGAUCACUUCGCCGCCGGCGGAAGCGGUGAGAUCACCGGCAACCGGCGAAGCAGCCUUGAGUAUUGCCAUUCAAAUUUGGGAUGAUACGCACAAUUUUUGUGAAGGAAAUGCGAAGAGUUUUUAGUUAAAAUCUCUCUUGCGUUUUAACUUUCCUAAACUUUGAACCUGUUUUUAAAUUUGCCUCUUAAUUAUUAAUAUUUAAAUUAUUAAAUAUAUUUAUUUUUUUUACUUCACAAUCAUUUAUUGGAUCUGAAUAUAUCUAUGUGAUUAAGAUUUAUAACAAAAACUUAAUUCCAUUAAGAUAUUAUUACUCAUAUUCAUUAUUAACUGUCGUCACCAUCUACCAUUAUCAACUAUCACCGUACCACCCACCAUAUCAUCACCUUCACCGCCACCGUCACCAUCACCAUGUCACCAUCACCAUCCUCAAUCAUAGACGCCACCAUUAUAGACUACCACCACCCAUCAUCCCUACCACUCUCACCACCGUCAUUCUCAACCACAACCAACACUCAUCCACCUCAACUACCACAACUAACCAUUCCAUCACCAUCAACAAUCAUAACCGACACUAUCCAUCAUUAUAAACUAUCACCACCACUAUCACCUUCCUCAAUCACAACUACCAUCACCUGUUAUUAUUAACUAUCACCACCCACCACUACCAUCCUCGAUCAUAAUCGUCACCACUAGCUAUUACCUUGUACCACCACCAUAAACCAAGACUACCACCAACCACCGCCUCUAGUCGACAUUCACAAACACUACCGUUAGCCAUCACCACCAGCAACUAUUAUAUUUUUAAAAACUAUAUAUUUUAUUGAUAGAAUAUUAGAUUAAUUAGUAUUUCGUAUGAAUUUAUGUUUAUUAAUUUUCAAAUAAAGAUAAAUUUAAUAUAUUCAAAUAUUAAAAAUUACAUAUUUAAAUAUCUUAAUCUUAAUACAAAUUUUGAUAUUAAAAUGUGUAUUCAGAUUCAUACGUAUUAAUCUUUAAAAAAACAAUAUGAGGCCUUAGUACACCUAACAGAAAAAAAUAGAACACAGAGCACUAAACUAACAGCACACGCAUGUUUCAUUCAAAAUGACACCGUAACACUUCAGGCAGACAGCAUAGACCAAAAACCAUUCACAUUGACGCCGGAAGCACUUCACAUAUUGGACAAAUUGACACUAGAAACUUUUAGCCACAAAAAUCAUUGCAGUCGGAUCUUUAGCCCAUGUGACAUGGAUUUAACAUUAAACCACUGUUAGUUUAUAGGUCUCAUUUGGAGUUUCUGUCAAAUAGACUAAAACUAGUGGCGGGUGUAAGGUAUAGUUACUGGAUCUCAGGAACUCAGUAACCUUUGCGAAGAUUUUGUAUUUUUAUUAAAAAAUUUAUUAAAUAUCUAUAAAUAUAUAAUUGUGAAUCCAGUUAAUAUUGUAUAUUAAUUUGAGAUUACAAUAGGAACCCAUAAAUUUUAAAUUUUGGAUCCGCCUAUAACUAAAACCGCUUAGUAAAGUUAAAGGAUGUGAAAGGAUCAAAUGAGACCUACUCUUAAACAUAAGGCACAAUUUUAGUCGAAAUCUGAGUAUGAAUUGUGCGCUGGACUAUAUAGUUAUGCUUUUACUGAAGAGGUUCAAUUCAUAUGCCCAAUUAAGUUUCAUCAUGUGGGGUUGUGAUGAUACUUAAUCUCUAAAAUUAGGUAAAUUUAUCAUAUAAUGUGUAAUGACCCAACUGGUUAUUUUAACUUUUAGAAAUCUGUUCCCUAAAAUAAAACUCCCCGAACAUGCUUUUAUUAAUUUAUGACUCGCGGGGAUGGUUGAUUCGGGAUUUGGAAGUGUGUGGGUUGAAAUCGGAACACUUGGUUCCUUAAAUUAGCUUUAAAUGGACAAGUUUGACUUCGGUCAACAUUUUGAGAAAACGACCCCGGAAUCGGGAUUUGACGGUUCCAAUAGGUUCGUAUGAUGAUUUUGGACUUAGGUGUAUGUCCGAAUCGGGUUUUGGAUAACCCGGGAGCGUUUUGACGCUUAAUAGUAAAAAUCAACUAUUUGAAGGUUUAAAAUUCUUUAAAUUUGGUUUGGAGUAGGAUUUUGAGUAAUUGAAGUCCGUUUGUAAUUUCGAGUUUGAGAAUAGUUUCGUAUAGUGAUUUAAGACUUGUACGCAAAAUUUCGUGUCAUUCCGAAUAGUUUAAGUAUACUUUCAGCGCAUUGGAAAUAAAUUGAAGAACUUGAAAUUCUUAAGUUUGAAUCAAUUUGGUUUGAGGUGUGAUUCAUAGAUUUGAUGUUGUUUUACACGUUUCAUGAGUUCGAGCGAGUCCGUUUUAUGAUUUUAAACUUGUUGAUAUGUUCGAGCGGGGUCCGGGGGGCUCCGAGUGUCAACCGGACGAGGCUCGGACCAAGUUGGAAAUUGGGAGCCAAAAUUGAAGCUCCCAACUACUAUCAGAAUCGCAUAUGCGCUUGGCCAGUCGCAGGUGCGACAUUCGCAGAUGCGACAGAAGCUCGCAGGCGCGGCACUCGCACAUGCGAGAUUUCUUCGCAAAAGCAGAAAAGGGAAGGGGAGGCCAUCACCACAGAUGCGGAAUUUUGGCGCACCUGCGAUCGCGCAUGUGCGAAGCAGUGUGCGCAGAUGCGAGUUUGGCCAAGGCUAGUGAGAACGCAGGUGCGGUACACUAUCCGCAGGUGCGAAAAUCAUUGUUGGGCAGAAUGGUUAAAAAUCGGGGCUCAGACAUUUUGAGCCCAUUUUUUCUCCAUUUCCGGGAGAUUUCAGAGCUUUUGAGAGGGGGAUUUUAACUAGCAAUUGGAAGGUAAGUUAAUUCUACACCCCUUGAGUUAAAUACAUAGAUUAUAGGUAGAUUAUAACUAGUAAAUCUUAAAAAUCAUGGGUUUAGGUGAAAAACCUAGAUUUUUAUAAAAAUAACAUUUUAACCACGAAAAUAGUUAUGGAAUUGGAUAGAAAUUAUAUAUUUGAGUUCUUGAGAUUAUAGGUGACGUUUCCAUCCAAAAAAUUCCGGAAUCCGGGUACGUGGGCCCGGGGUGAAUUUUAGAAAUUUUUUCAUAUUGGAUAGGCUAAUUUAUUUAAUAGAUGAAUUUUGAAUUAUUGAACAUAUAUUAAUUAUUUUAUAUAUCUUUUGGACAGUUUCGGAUUUUUCGGCAUCGAAUCGAGAAUUUUACGCGACGCGAUAAUCGAAAAGUGGAUUUUAAGACGAGGUAAGUCUCUUGUCUAAUCUUUGUGAGGGGAAAAUUAUCCUAUAUGGAUUAAAUUNNNNNNNNNNNNNNNNNNNNNNNNNNNNNNNNNNNNNNNNNNNNNNNNNNNNNNNNNNNNNNNNNNNNNNNNNNNNNNNNNNNNNNNNNNNNNNNNNNNNNNNNNNNNNNNNNNNNNNNNNNNNNNNNNNNNNNNNNNNNNNNNNNNNNNNNNNNNNNNNNNNNNNNNNNNNNNNNNNNNNNNNNNNNNNNNNNNNNNNNNNNNNNNNNNNNNNNNNNNNNNNNNNNNNNNNNNNNNNNNNNNNNNNNNNNNNNNNNNNNNNNNNNNNNNNNNNNNNNNNNNNNNNNNNNNNNNNNNNNNNNNNNNNNNNNNNNNNNNNNNNNNNNNNNNNNNNNNNNNNNNNNNNNNNNNNNNNNNNNNNNNNNNNNNNNNNNNNNNNNNNNNNNNNNNNNNNNNNNNNNNNNNNNNNNNNNNNNNNNNNNNNNNNNNNNNNNNNNNNNNNNNNNNNNNNNNNNNNNNNNNNNNNNNNNNNNNNNNNNNNNNNNNNNNNNNNNNNNNNNNNNNNNNNNNNNNNNNNNNNNNNNNNNNNNNNNNNNNNNNNNNNNNNNNNNNNNNNNNNNNNNNNNNNNNNNNNNNNNNNNNNNNNNNNNNNNNNNNNNNNNNNNNNNNNNNNNNNNNNNNNNNNNNNNNNNNNNNNNNNNNNNNNNNNNNNNNNNNNNNNNNNNNNNNNNNNNNNNNNNNNNNNNNNNNNNNNNNNNNNNNNNNNNNNNNNNNNNNNNNNNNNNNNNNNNNNNNNNNNNNNNNNNNNNNNNNNNNNNNNNNNNNNNNNNNNNNNNNNNNNNNNNNNNNNNNNNNNNNNNNNNNNNNNNNNNNNNNNNNNNNNNNNNNNNNNNNNNNNNNNNNNNNNNNNNNNNNNNNNNNNNNNNNNNNNNNNNNNNNNNNNNNNNNNNNNNNNNNNNNNNNNNNNNNNNNNNNNNNNNNNNNNNNNNNNNNNNNNNNNNNNNNNNNNNNNNNNNNNNNNNNNNNNNNNNNNNNNNNNNNNNNNNNNNNNNNNNNNNNNNNNNNNNNNNNNNNNNNNNNNNNNNNNNNNNNNNNNNNNNNNNNNNNNNNNNNNNNNNNNNNNNNNNNNNNNNNNNNNNNNNNNNNNNNNNNNNNNNNNNNNNNNNNNNNNNNNNNNNNNNNNNNNNNNNNNNNNNNNNNNNNNNNNNNNNNNNNNNNNNNNNNNNNNNNNNNNNNNNNNNNNNNNNNNNNNNNNNNNNNNNNNNNNNNNNNNNNNNNNNNNNNNNNNNNNNNNNNNNNNNNNNNNNNNNNNNNNNNNNNNNNNNNNNNNNNNNNNNNNNNNNNNNNNNNNNNNNNNNNNNNNNNNNNNNNNNNNNNNNNNNNNNNNNNNNNNNNNNNNNNNNNNNNNNNNNNNNNNNNNNNNNNNNNNNNNNNNNNNNNNNNNNNNNNNNNNNNNNNNNNNNNNNNNNNNNNNNNNNNNNNNNNNNNNNNNNNNNNNNNNNNNNNNNNNNNNNNGUGAGUGUCAAAGUCAGUCAUCUCGUCUCUACCACUUCGAGAUUAGGCUUGAUACUUACUAGGUACACGUUGUUUACGUACUCAUACUACACUUCCUGCACUUUUAUGCAGGACCUGAGGCAAGUACUAGUGGGGGACCUAUCGUAUUACACCCACGUUAUCCAGGGACAUAGUGGUGAGCUACACUUUCUGAGCCGUUCUGCAGCUACUAGGUCUCUCCUUGUAUUUUUUAUUCUGUCUAUUUUUAUUUCAGACAGUAUUUGAGAUUUUGUAUAAUCUAUUAGAUGCUCAUAAACUUGUGACACCAGGUCUUAGCACACACAUUGGUAGAAUUUGGUAUUUUAUUAUUUUUUGGGUUUUAAAUUUUGUCAAUAUAUGCUUAAUUUAUUAAGUUGGUUUGCCUAGCUGUAGUGUUAGGCGCCAUCACGACUUAUAGGUGAGAUUGGGUCGUGACAUAAUGAUGUCAAUCAAAAUAUAACAACUUCAAAUUAAUGAAAACUGCAAAAAUACGAUAAUACUAUCAAACGUGGAUACAAUAUUCAACUUUCCAAAAUCCGGUAGUACUUAGUCAUAAGCUCUAAAUGGAAUACACAUCAAGUCUCGAAGAGUACAAUACUGUUUGAAAAACAUAAACAGUAUAAAUAAAGUAAAGAGGGUGACUCUGACGCCUGCGAACGGAACAUCAGGGAUACCUUGAAGUCUCCAAUAAGCAUAACGAUCUGUCCGAUCAGAAAUAACUGGAUCUGCAUAAAAAAUGUGGAGAAGCGUAGUAUGAGUAUACCACAAUCGGUACCCACUAAGUAUUAAGACUAACCUCAGUGAAGUAUUACGAGGUUCAAGUCAUGUGAUACUCACUAGUCAAAUAAUAUAUAGAAUUUAUCAAAAGAAAACUGACAACAGAAUAUAUAGCAGAGACAACAUCAACAACCUUUUUUGGAUAUGUGAUAACAACUCAAAUAAGUAAAAGUUCAUCUUGACAACAAGUCAUCAAAUAGAAACAUAAACAUAUGGCACCUCGUGCCCAUAAUUUUGUCACAAUAACAAUGCCACAUGUAUCUCCCUGCCUUGACGAUAAUAAUAUCCCACCUUGUCGCUCCCGCCUGACAAAAUAAUAAUAUACCGCAUUGUCGCUCCUAUUUAACAAUAUCACGCCUUGUCGCUCCCACAUGACAAUAUAAUAAUAUCCUGCCUUGUCGCUCCGGUUUAACAUUAUUCUCAUCACAACAACAACAACAUCAAUCACAAUCGCACAUCAUAAACCUCGUGCCAACAUCCAACAAUCCGCCCAACACGUUCACAUGUGCCAUAAUAUCACAAAAUAAUAAUACCAAAAUUUCACCAAGAUAUAAGCUCACAACUUAAAAACAAAGUAUACAAGGAUAUGACAAUAACAUAAAAGUGUGGACGGGUGUUCAACAAAUAAAGCAUGACUAUGGCUAAGUCAAAUGUAGUGAUCAUGAUCAUGUAGUCACAAGUGGUUUAAGCAUGUUUCAUAUAAAGUAAAUUAUAAAAUUAAGGCACAUUAAUAGCCUACGGUCUAAUCCGGUCAUAAGUCAUACAUAGCACUCGUGUACACGUUCGUCACCUUAUGUACACAUCAUUUUUCACAUAACACGAAUAUGCAAUUAAGUCCAAAUCCAAAGGGUUAUUCCCCCGCACAAGGUUAGGCAAGAUACUUACCUUAAACAAACCAAAUCAAAUAUAGCCUAAAAUAAUUUAAUAAUAUCAAGCACGGCUAUAGAAAUUUAUUCCAAUUAAUAAAGCUCUGAUCUUUAUCAAAAAAUCAAAAGGUCAACCCAAGCCCGCCUUUCGGAACCCGACAAAAGUCAAAAAUCCUGAACAUCCAUUCAAAUACGAUUCCAACCAUACAAGUAUUAUCCAAAUCCGACUCCGAAUCAAGGUUCAAAUCCUUAAUUUUUAUUUUCGAAAAGUUUUGCCAAAAUUCCUAAUUUUUCUCACUUAGAUUCAUAAAUCAAAUGCUAAAAUCAAGGAUGGAAUCAUGAAUAAUAAUCAAAUCCGAUUAAAAAAUACUUACCCCAAUUCAAAUCGUGAAAAUUCCCUUAACAAUCGGCCAAAUUCGAGCUCCCAAUCUUAAAAUAUGAUAAAAUAACUCAAACCCUCAAAAUAGAAUAUUUAAAAUAUCGGCCCAGUUAUAUAAUUUGCGAUCGCGGGACCCACUUCGGAAUCGCGAAGGCCAAACUCUUGACCAGCUGUCGCUCCUCCUUCACGAACGCUAAGAUCAAUCAUGAACGCGAUGCCUGACCACCUGUUGAGCCUACGAGAAUGUGAGCCGUGUUCCACGAACACGAAGGCAUUCUUCCUCCUGGCAUCAUUCUUUCGCGAACGCAUGCCCCUCAAACGAUCACGCUGCUUCAUCUCCCCCCUCUCCGCAAACACGGUGCUUCUUCACGAACGCGAAGAGGAAAAUCCUCCAGACUGCUCCUUCUUCUCCGCGAUCACGAGGCAAGCUCCGUGAUCGCAAUGCACUGUAACUUAUCAUGAAACCAACAAUCCAAAACCAUGAAAAAUGAUCUGAAACCAUCCGAAAACACUUCUGAGUCUCCUCGGGACCCCGCCCAAUCACACCAACCAAUCUCAAAAUAUAAUACGGACCUACUCGAGGUAUCAAAUCGCAGAAAAUAACAUUAAAAUCACGAAUCGCACCUCAAUCCAAACUUAAUGAACUAAUACAAAUUUCUGAAUUUCAAACUUACGCCGAAUAUGCCUAAACAACUCGGAAUGACCCCAAAUUCUACACACAAGUCAUAAAUCACUAUACAAACUUAUUUCAAGUCUUGAAAUCCUAAACGGACAUCAAUAACCACAAAGUCAACUAUGGGUCAAACCUGUGAAUAAAACCUUCAAAUUGCCAACUUUCGCUAGUUAAAGCCAAAUCAAUCUAGGAACUUCCAAAUCCAAAUUUGGAUAUACACCUAAGUCCAAAAUCACCAUCCGAGCCCAACGAACCUAUCAAAACUCCGAUCUGAGGUCAAAUACACAAAAGUCAAACUUGGUCAAUACUUUCAACUUAAGCUUCUAAAUUAGGAACUAAGUGUUCCAAUUCAAUCCAAAAUCUUUCCGAAACAAAACGAACCAUCCCACCAAGUCACAUAAUAACAAAUACACAUACAAAAAGCAUCAAAUAGGGGAACAAGUCUCAAAUACACAAAACUAUCGGCCGGAUUAUUACAUUUUCCCCUCUUAAACAAACGUCGUCCUCUAACAAGUUUAGAAACAUACCUGAAGUGCCAAAAAUAUGAGGAUAUUUGCUCCGCAUAUCAUGUUCGGUCUCUCAAGUCGCCUUCUCGACCGGUUGACUUCUCCACUGAACCUUCACUGAUGUAAUGUUCUUCGACCUUAGCUUUCGGACCUGCCUAUCUAAAAUGGCUACCGGCUCCUCGACAUAAGUCAAAUCCUUGUCCAACUGCACCAAGUUGAAAUCCAACACAUGCGAUGAAUCCUCAUAGUAAUUCCGUAACAUAGAAAUAUGGAUCACCGAAUGAACUUCCGAUAAGCUGGAUGGCAAAACAAGUUUGUAGGCCACCUCACCAACUCUCUCUAUAACAUCAAAAGGACCAAAUACUGAGGGCUCAACUUGCCCUUCUUCCCGAACCUCAUCACACCCUUCAUGGGCGAAACCCUGCGUAGAACCCUCUCAGCUACCAUGAAUUCCACAUCUCAAGCCUUUCUAUCAGCAUAACUCUUUUACCUAGAUUGCACUGUAUGAAGUCGCUCCUGAAUCAAUUUCACCUUCCCCAAAACAUCACGAACCAAGUUAGUGCCCAGCAACCUAGCCUCCCUAUACUCAAACCAACCAACCGGAGAACGACAUCGAACCCUACAUAAAGCCUCAUAAGGAGCCAUAUGGAUGCUUGAUUGGUAGUUGUUGUUGUAGGCAAACUAUGCUAAUGGUAGGAACUGAUCCAAAUGGCCCCCGAAAUCAAUUACAUAUGCUCGCAACAUGUCCUCCAAGAUUUGAAUUGUACAAUCGGAUUGUCCGUCUAUCUAGGGAUGAAAUGUCGUAAUCAUUUUGACCUGUGUUCCCAACUCACGCUACAUAGCUCUCCAAAAAUGUGAUAUAAACUGAGUGUCUUAAUUCGAGAUAAUAGACACAGGCAUACCAUAUGGGUGAACAACCUCUCUAAGAUAAAUCCAAGUUAGCUGCUUUAAAGCGUAUGUAGUCAUGACUGGAAUGAAAUGUGCAGACUUGGUUAGUUUGUCCACAAUGACCCACACAACAUCAAAUCUCUUCAGGGUCUGUGGCUGACCAACCACAAAAUCUAUAGUGAUAUGCCUCCACUUCCACUUCGGUAUAUCUAGUCUUUGAAGCAACCCAUCAGGCCUCUGAUGUUUAUACUUAACAUGUUGACAGUUCAAACACUAUGCCACAUACUCAACAAUAUCUUUCUUCAUCCUCAGCCACCAAUAAUGUUGCUUCAAAUUAUUGUACAUCUUCAAAAUAGAGUCAUGGUGAAAUAAAAUUUCACCGGCUAAAGAAUUAUUUAAAUUUUUAUAUAGCCGAUUAAGGUGGAUUUUGAAUUAAGGAUAAUAUCUUCACUUACAUUAUUAUACAAGUAAUCCCCAUUGAAAUAGAAAGUUUUAAAAAUUAGAAUUUUCAAUUAAAAUAUCUUUAAAAAAAUAACAGCAUACCAAAUAAGGUUCAAGUCGUAUCCAAAGAUGUCACAACCCA
rnacentral:lncRNA from 1 species